rnacentral:lncRNA from 1 species
CAUUCUCCAUCGGUUUUUCGCUUUACUUCCAACCCUCCGACAUCAUCCUGGCCAAGGAUGGUUAAGGCUCCGGGAUCCUUGUGGCGACCAACGCCCAGAGCUAGGUGAGGGACAGGGCAAGGUGGGUAGUGAUUGAGGCGGACGAAGCUCGUUGAUUCUUCAAAGAAAAGAUUGAAUCUGUUUUCUGGCAAACCUAAGCUCAGAGAGAUGAGUCCCAUCAGCUUGAAAGCUAGUUUUUCCGUUUCUCUAGCAUAUUCUUCACAGAUCUCCCUGUAUAAAUCAGUUCAAUUAGAAUAAAAAAAACCAAGUAAUUCACUGAAGUGACUGUGCCUUAGCUGGUGAAAUUUGUACCUUAAUUCAGGAGGGUACUGAGGCCACCGAUUGGUCAGCUCUAUGAGCUCCUUGUCGUCAGGAUCAUCCGAAGCAGGGCCGAAGGCGAGGGUUCUCACCACGAAAUCAAAGACUUCUUUCCAGUCCCUAACGUUCUUGGUAUGCUCAAUAUCAAAGUACCCCAUAGGAUUCACCUCAUCUCUACUCACCUUCCUCUUCUCCUCCGCUGGCAGAGCGAAGAACUUCCUCGCGGCAUCCAAAAUUUUCCGGCGAGACUCCGAGGGCACCCCAUGGUUGAUGACUUGAAAAAAGCCCCAGUUCUUGCAUGCAUCAGCUAUUUGAGAAACAUGAUUGGAAGCAUUGGCGGAAGAGAGAUCAAUGAGGGGGAUGCCUUCAGCUUCGAUAACAGCGAGCUUAGGCCUAUGUUGGGCGUCUUGGACGAAGGCUGGAUCGACCUCUCCCAUGGCUGUGGUAGUGGUUAGAACUUAGAAAUGGCAAUUAUGCACUGGUAGCUGCAGGUGAAGAUGGUUACAGGACUUGGGCAACUCGGCAGGUGGUUUUUAUAGCUUAGGGGUGUUGGUUUAAUACCUUGAACCUGGACAUAAUAUGGGUUACGUGUUAAGUUUUAGUUCGGGGUGUGAGCUCAUGGAUUGCGCAUAUGUUAAUGAGAUUUGGUCAAGUGAUACCUAGCUAUUUCCAAAAUCUCUGUCAAUGAUUUAUUCACGGCACCCUCAAUUUUCAAAUAUUUCAUCCGUACUUGAUUUGGAAGGUUGAUUAGUAAAUCUGAUGGUGUAAUGUCUAUUUUUGAAUUCAAUGCUUUAUAUUUAACGGUGGAGAUAAGAAAAAUAGAAGAGUUGAUAACGUUGAAGAAAAAAUGCCAAAGUUUUAAGAAGGUAGAGUUUUGAUGAGAAAUAGGUAAAAUUAAAAUUGCAUUAUAAUAAUAUAAUUGAAUCAAAUCGUUAAUCACCCAUUUCAUCUCAUUCUUAUUCACAAUUGUUGAUAGUUGAUUCCUACAAAAUUCUAAAAAAAUCUUCCACAAAGACAAAUCACAAGAUGUUCAAUAACUAUGCUUUUGCACCAAAAAUUGUAUAAGGGAAAAAAAAAUGAUGCACAAAUAAUAAUAAUAAUAAUAAUAAUUGCUAUAUCUAAUAUUAUUUCAUAAGAAAACUAACUACAAUAAAUUUUAAAAGCAAAUAGCGUUUAACCAUAUUUUGAUUCUUUCAAAUAAUUUUUAAAAUUAAUAUUUUUUCAAUAUAAAAUUUUAAGAGUCUUUGUAUUUUAUAUAUAAAUUACUAAUAUUCUCUUAUUUUAAACAUAGAAAAUAAAAAUGUAACCAAAUGAAUUAGAAAAUAACAAAGUUGAAUAAAAAUUAGUCUAACCAUAUUAAUGCUAAUUAAUAAUGUUUGAUAGAAAACGCUUAAAUAUACCUUGUAUUUUUCCUCACUGGUCAACUCCUCCGAAGGCUUCACAUUCACCUGGUGUGUCGGUAAGAAGAAGAAUGGAAUCGAAACCCUUUUCUUCUUGUGUUGACCCACAUCGAGAUCGAGCUGUGUCUUUACAUCUUUAGUUGAGUUUGUUCGACUUUAAGUUGUGCCUUUAUGUUUCGAGUUUAGUUUGUUCAAUUUCGAGUUGUGCCUUUAUGUUUUGAGUUGAGUCUAUUUGGCUUCGAGUCACACCUUUAUGUUUCGAGUUAAGUCUCGCUUCGAGUCACACCUUUACGUUUCAAGUUGAGUCUCUUUAGCUUUGAACUGCACCUUUAUAUAUCUAGUUGAGUUUGUUUGACUUUUGAGUCGUGCCUUUGAGUUUUUAGUUUAGUCUGUGCGGCUUCGAGCCACACCUUUAUGUCUCUUGUUAAGUCAUAUUUGGCUUCGUUCUACACCUUUAUUGUUCAGCUUUGAGUCAUGCCUAUCUUUUCAAGUUUGUUAUGCUUCGAGCCACAUCUUUAUCCUUAAAAAGUUUGUUUGAGUUUAGUUGUGCCCUCACCCAUAUCCUUAGUUUUAAGUUUAUUUAGCUUCAAGCCAUGCGUUUGUCCUUGUUAAGUCAGUUCGGCUUUGAGCCAUGUCCUAGUUUUGAGUUUGUUCAUCCUCGAGCUGUAUCUUCCUUUCUUUUUUAGUUCAUUUAGGGUUUUCUCCUUUUGAGUUGAUCACUCCUUAUCUUGGUCGUCCUUAAAUUGUUCAUUGUGUCAUGAUUCAGUGUUUUUCAUUGCAUAUAUACUCCCCACAUUGUCUAUAUCUUUAUCUUGAUGAGUUUCUUCUCCAAUACAUGACCUCGAUCUUCGAGUUUAGCAUGUCAUGUGCUAAGACAAUUUCAAGUGCUCUUUUGUUCUUUGAUGCAAUUCACUUCAUACUAUUCAUCACUCAUGUUUCACUAUUAAUGCUCAUUUCAUUUGUGAUCUACAUCGGAGAGAGGCAUAUUUGUAGGUCCUUUAUUUUGUCCUAUAACACAUAUUUUCACAUUUUUUUUAUUUUUUUCUUGCCUUGUAUUUAUUUUUGGUGCUAGUUUUGGAUCAUUCUUACUUGAUCAUUCAUGGUCCCUUUCUUGUCCACUUUUACUCGACUCAUUAUUCAUUUUUUAGCCACAUUUUAGAGGCCAUGUUGGAGGAAUUUUGAGUCCAAGCUUAUUGUUUUUUAGAGACCCUUAGUAGGUGGCUCAUAUGAGGACACGUGUCCUCAUUGGGUAGGUUUUUUCAUUUUUUAAGAGGGGUUUUCUAGAGGCUUCUAGGGUACUGAGGACACUGUUCUCAUCUUGGCCCCCUUUUUUUUUUUUUCUUUUUUUUGUCCCUUGUUAGAGGGGUUUUCUAGAGGCUUCUAGGAUCAGCUAGGAGAGCACGUUGAUUGAUGCUUUGAUAUGGGUAACAGAUGCCACAUUUCAUCUUGCUGAACACCGGUUAGCUAUGGACUUGUUACUACUUUUCUCUUCUGUUUCGAGUUAACUUUGGAAAUGAAUCUGAAUAUAGACUGGUAUUUGCAGCUUGAUGUUUAGAGAAUCAUAUUUUAGCUGUUGUUUAAAAUUCAUUUUGGCAUGUUCGGUUGCUUCAAGCUCAUUGAUACAAUAAUGAAAUGAAGCUUUAUAUAUUUGUUACUGGGUUGGCUCUCUGUUUGGUUAUCUUUAAGUUCUGCAUCUUUUCUUUUCUCGUUGCCUUAUCUUCUCUAGGGGGUGUCGUUUGAGAAAUACAUAGUGGAAGAAAUGGGAAGCUGAAGGCUUAUCCUGGCAUCGACCUCGCGUUAGGGAACGACUUGAUCGAAGAACAUAUGAGUUUUUCAGAUACCCAGAACUCACAUCAAAAGAAGCCUCGGAGUUUAGGUCAAACACAUCAUCUGACAAGGAGUAUACCUUUGCCUCUGGUGAUUUUAUUGACUUCUGCAUGAUGGACAUCCGAGGGUGGGGACUGGAAGAGAAAUGAUGAAUCUGCCCGGCCAAGAUAGUUUGUCUAGAAAGGAACUUGUAUUAAAUGAUGGUUACCCACUAUGUUAGAUGCUGAAAUUUGGGUAUGAGUACUCCCGGUGGCAUCAGAAAGAUGAGUUGCACAAUCCUUCUCACAGUAGAAAGCCUGAACUCCGAAGUUGGGCUUUUUCAUGGCCGGACAAGAGGAGUGAUCACAAUAGUGCGAGCAAAGCCUGUCACGACCCAAAUUCUGGGUGAACUUAAGGUUUGACUUUUAAGGGUUGUACCUAUUCAAUCUACCAAUCAACCUUUGAUAACUUGAUUUUUUUUUCUCGAUAAAACAAUAUCUAAUCCCAAAUCAAUUUAUUAAGCUAAUAACUUGAUUUUUUUUUUUUUCAAUAAAACAACAUCUAAUCCCAAAUUAAUUUAUUAAGUUAAGAUUUACACUAUCAUAUUAUUUUAUUUUAUUUUUCAAAAAUCAAUCAUUACACUAUCACUUAUUCACAAGUAUAAUAAAUCUCUCAAACAUCUUAUCACCCAAAAUGAUAAGCCAAACAUUUACAAAAAAAAAGUUUUACAAAUUAAUAAAAUAUAGUGUAAGUUAUAAAAGUUCUUAUAAAUCAAAUUAAUAGUGCUAAAAUAUAAUAUAAUUGAAAAACAACUAUUAUUAUGGUUCUUUUACUUUUUGGAAUACUUCUUAUGGUUCCUUAAAAACUAUAUCUGCAUCUAAAAAUUUUAGAAAAUAAAAGGAUGAGUAUUUCCACAUUACUUAGUAAGGUGUUUUACGCCCACACAAAAUAUAAAUUCUAAUUCAAUAAAACACAAUCAUAUAUCAAAGUGUAAUUUUACAUCUAAUGUACUACAACUAUAUACAUUUAAACUAUUCAAAAUUAUCACUAACUAUAAUCAGACUCCAAAUAAUAUAAAUAAUAUUUAUUUUCUCCCAAAAACAUAAUAUGUAAUUUUGUUUCAAAAAAAAAUAUUAAAUAAAAGUUUUAGGGUUAAACCACCCUACAUUAAAUCUGAAAAUCUAACUGUUAAAACUAAAAUCAGAUUCCGUGAAAAUGUUCUUUACGUUAAAUAGAGUGUUCUAAAAUCUCAUACAAAACGGAGCUCAUUAUUUCUUCUCUUCCUUUGUGUUUCCGUUUGCGCUCUCUCUUUUAUAUUCUUCUUUCUUACCCCACAAGACAUUCCUAUUAUUAUUAUUUUUUUUCAUUUUUCUUUUCUCUCUCUUUUCAACUUUAAGCCACCGUUUUGCCCCUUUUUUUUUUUUUUUUAUUAUUCUUUAUCAACCAUACCUUGUUAAGAAAUUUAUUUAUUUUAAUCCAAAAAUCUACUUAAAUAUAAUUUCACAUUUUUCUUAAUAAAUUAUAUAUAUAUAUAUAUAUAUAUAUAUAUAUAUAUAUAUAUAUAUAUAUAUAUAUUAUUUCUUAUUAUAACAAAUUUAAAAUGUCACGCGUAUCAUUUUUUUAAUGAAUCAAAUUAUUAUUAUUUAUUUCAUAUUCUAUAAUUAUAAAUUAUACUCAAUAUAUGAUUUACUGUCUUACAAAAAAUAUUAUUAUAUUCUUAAUUAAAUUUACUACAAGUCUACUUUUUUUAAAAAAAAUAAUUUGACUUUAAUCACUUAAAAUAUUUUUAUUAUGAAAUUCAUUUAGGACAUGAUUUCAUUAAUUAUAUAUUAAAAAAAAAUUCAAUUUUAGAAAAAAUCUAAAGCAUAAAAUAAUUCUUCAACAUUAAGAAGCUAGAAUUCAUAAUAAUAUUUAAUCCUUUAAUUUUACCAAUAUUUAUUUACCAAUAAAAUUUAAGCAAUAUUCUAAAACUUAAUUCCAUUAGUUAUUUAGUCAUUCAAUUUAUACAAAUCAUAUUCUCAACCUUUGAUAUAACUUUUAUUUAAUUUACUUUAUUUUUCAAAUUUCUCAAUUGAAUCAAAAUUUCAAAAGUUAAAUUCACUAAGUAUUUAAUUAAUUUAGCCUUUUAUAUUCCCUAAAUUCAUAUAUCAUAAUUUACUCUUAAUUUAAUUUCAAUUCAAUUUUAUUUGAUGUUUUUUUAAUUCUAUAAGAUUUAAUUCUAAUUAUAAAAUUAUUGAUUUGUUAUAAAAUUAAAUUCGAUUUUUUUUAAUUAUCCAUUAUAACCAUUUGAUAUGAUAUAAAUUUUUACCAAGUUUUUCUCACUACAAUUCUCUAUAAUUAAAUUAAUGCUCAUAAUAUACUUAAUAUUCAAUUUUUCAAAAAUAAUAUCAAUAAUUAUUUGAUGGUUGAAUUUUUCUCCAAAUUUAAAUUUAUUUUUUAAAAUUUCUACUCUUUGCAUCUUACCUAAGAAAAUUUUAUACUAUUGACUUUUUAUUAACUUUUUCAAAAUAUUAACACUUGGAUUUUCGCCAUUCUUUUUUACUAUUCGACUAUAUGAUAACUUUGCUGAUCCUGAAUCUGACAUGUCAUUAAAACCCCGGUUGUUAUAGCGCCAGUCAAAUUAAGCCUGUUAUCCGAGGAGUGAAGCCACUGCCUUGUUCUUUCUCCGAUGGCCUGCUCAGCUCAUUCAAUCCCCAUCGCUCUCCUCUUUCCAAGUUCUCCAUUGUCAGUCUAGAGCCAACAAGGGUCGCAGAAAUCCUAAAGAUUGACCUACAUGGUAUUGUGAGUACCGCGAUGUGGAUGUUCUUAAUGUGUUGUCUACUAGAGCCAAAUGGGUGUUUGAUAAAACCCAGUAAAGGUGUAAAAAUUAUAUGACGAAGCUUGCAGAAAGACUUAGAGUUGAGGGAAGGCAUCUCAACGAAGUUGGGCUUUUGUAUUGUGAAUCUGGCAAAUUACCUAUAUUGCAUGGAUCAUCACUCUUUUCACGUGGAGGUAAACAGGUCCUUUGUAAUGUGACACUUGGGGCAUCACAAGCUGGUGAUGCUCAACGACUGGCUUCUCUGGACGGUCCUGCAACAAAGCGCUUCAUGCUUCACUGAAAUUUCCCGGAGUUCUCAAUUAAUGAAGUUGGCCAACUCCUUAACCUGCACUGUUCCGCAGCAGUCACAUAAAGAUUUGACAUUGAAAUUGAUCUGGUUUUUCCUUUGCCAAUGGUGGUGGGCGCUUUGUAUGUAGAUUCCGAAGGAACUUCCCAACUUGAUGGCUGUGAGUGGUAAGGUUGGAGAAGAUACUACUGGGUCUGCCCCAUUAGUUUUCCAUUGUUAAGGUAGUUUGGUGCACAGGUUCCUGGAUCAUCUACACCACUAGCACUUCCGGCCGCCUGUUUUGAUCAGUUUCUGGAUUUCCAUCUCCAAAUUGUGCAAGCAGUGACUGAUAUGGUGUCCAUACAAGCGGCUACUGAAAUGGUUCAAUCCCCAAAUGCUGAAGGGAAAGGAGCUUUUGGAAAAUAUCAUGAAGAAGACUCAUCCAUCUUACAUGAAAUUAUACACAACUCCAUGGACCAGAACCGGAACUCAGACUUAAAUUUGUCCACGAGAAGAUCAGUGUUAUACAAGUCAACUGCAGUCAUUCCUGAAAGAAGUGAUCAGAAGAGUAAACCUGGAAAAGCAGUGAGUGUAACAAGUUUUGUGACAUUGAACAAUUUGCAGAUGGUGUUCCCACAAGCUCCUUUCCCCUCUUCCCACGUGCAUGAAAUUCCUACGUGCAUGGGCCACCUUCUUAGGUGUGCAAUUCUGCGCAUAAUGCUCAAGUGUACUACCACCCUCUUCUUUUUUGAAAAAUUGAUUUUAAAUUUAAAUUUUUGACAAAAUUCAUUCCCCUUUUAAAAUCCCUCCUCAGUAAUUCUCUUCAAAUUAAUAAAAUCUAUUUUCAAUAAAUUUUUGCUGCCAUUUUCCUUUCGGCAUGGACCCUUUUUCUAUUUUCUUUGAUUUUUAAUAAUUUUCCAAUUUUUUUUAAUAAAUAUGAAUAAAUUCUAUGUUUUUAAAAAUAAUGGAAUUUUCUCCAAAUUUCUAUUAUCUUUUUCUCCAUGAUCAUUAGGAAGAUGAAAUUCCUAAAAUUAAUUCAUGCAAAUAAAUUGGACAUUGGUAGGCCCAACAUAUGAUUUUUUCUCCUUUGAUUAUUGUUUUUAAUUGCUAGGCUUGAUUGACUAACGAUUGAUCUUUGCCUUCUCCCUUAGCUUACUGCUCAAGUACGUUCGUCCUUUCUUUGCCUCUUUGUUUAAUUAUAGUCAAUGUUUUCAAAAUCGGACCGAUCAUUGAAUCGGAAAAGUUACUGGUUCACAGUUCACUAGUCGAAUCGGUGGUCGAACUGCGGUCGAAUCGAUGACGUCAUAAAUAUAUAAUUUAUAAAUUAUUAAAAUUAAAAAUAAUUAUAAAAAUAAAAAAAAUAAUUUAUAUGUUAUUUGAAAAUUUAAAUUUUAUUUAAAAAUAAGAAAAUUAGUUUCAAAUUAGAAAUUAAAAUUAAAAUCAUAAUUUUAAAUUUAAUUUUAAAAUUUUAAAAUUCAUUUUUAAAUAAAAACUUAUUUUAAAAUCAUGAAUUUAUUUAAAAUUAUAAUGUUUUCAUUAAUUUAAAUUAAAAUCAUAAGUUUUAAACAUCAUGAAAUAAAAAUAAUAAAUAUAAAAGAAAAUAAAUAAUAAUGAAAUGAGGUAAUAAAUAAUUAAAAAAAAAAUGGAAAAAGAGAGGAGAGGAGCACACAAAAAAGGGUUCCAACGGGGUUUUGGGGGGUGGGGUUUCCACUUUUAGGGCUAGGUGGGGGGGCCUUCCGAUGGGCAAAAAGGGGAAGAGCUUUUCGGCUUUUCCAGCGCGCGCGGGUGGGGGUGGCGACAAUGGGAAAAAAAAAAGUUGAAUCGGACGAUUCCAUCUGAAUAAUCCGGUUCAUUGGUCGGACCACCGAUUUAAUUGGUCCAAUUCUGGUCUAACCACUUUCUAGCCCAAUUGAUCAGACCAGACCGAAAUCAUGACUGAUUGAUUCGGUCCAAUUUUUAAAACCAUAAUUAUAACUCAAUCAUAAUACAUCAUUGAUCAUUACUUGGUAUUUGUUGACUUUCUAAUCAAUUGUCAUUCUUAUAUUAACUUGAUUAUUAGAGACUUGAUUUUAGGGUAUAGAGGGGUGUUAUGACUAAUCAUCCUACCUUCUCGAUAAGUAACCUGACCCUUGAACCCAAAUUCAGUUUUUCAUAAACUUGUCUUUUUCUUUCAAGUUUCAUACUUAGAAUUUUCAUUUUUAUUUUGUUUUCCAUUUAAAAAUAAAAUAAAGAUAAGUGGCCUAAAACCAUUUUCUAAAAAUCAAUUUUUCAUCAAUGCAAAGUGAGUCUUGUCCUUUUUUUUUCAAGUACGAACACGAUCGCAGGUUUACAAUACUAUUUUAAUAUAUAUAAUGAAAUAUAGAUAUUAACGCCAUCUUAAAGAUAUAAUUAAAUUUUUUGUUUAAAAUAAAUUAUAAUAAUUUAAAAAUAAUAUUUUAUUUAAAAUAAAUUUUAGAAUAAGCAAAGUUGAUAUGUGGACAUAGAGAAUCGUGAACCAUUGUAAAUGUAUUGAUUAUAUCUCUUUCUUCCCAUUUCAUUUUUACUUUAGUUUUUAUUAUUCGUAUCUUUUUCUACUAAAAUUUGAAAAAGAAAUUCACAUUCAAUUCAUUCACUUCUUCUUGGGUGUAUAUCAUAGGAUUCAAAAUGUUUUUAAAAAUUAUUAAAUUUGUUAAUUGUGACUACAUGCUUAUUUAGGAUCCAUUGAUCUUAAUAACUUUCUUCCCGAUAAAGGAGGAAAAUGACUAUUCCAUUAAUGCAGCAUGCAUUGCUGCUUAUUUAUCAAGCAAAUUACAUUAUUUUUUUCACACCAAACCUCAAAAUUCUCCAUGCAUAUACGCAUCCUAUACUGCAUGGCCAACUUCAGAGAGCUAAAAGAAGCUCUUAUUGAAUACAUGAUAGAUAAUGUCCCACUGACCCUUUUACUCUGAUACCUUGAAAUGAGAAAUUUGGAGGUUUUCCACAUCAAGCUUCUUGAAAUUAUUGCGCCUUCUCGUAACAAAGAACUUUCCCCAGUUGUAUGCUCUAUACUUUGGCUUUUCCCCCUUCGUCAGCUCCUCCAAGGGCUUCACCCAAACAUGGUGCCCGGGACUCAAAACGAACGGAAUCGAGAACCUUUACCUCUCUGAAUUCUCCAUCACCCUGUGCUCCACACUUUCAUAAGUAUCGUUGCUCCAGACCUGGUUUAAUAUCAGUAGAAUUAGCCAAAUGAGUGUAAAAUUCCUUGAGCCAAACAGUACUGAUAAGCAUGUACUUAUAAUUCAAAGUUCUUGGGUGGUACCUGAACUAUAUCCCCAACAUUGAUGAUAUAAGCAUCUGGGGUGGGCUUAACUCGAACCCAUUCUCCAUCGGUUUUUCGAUUUACUUCCAACCCUCCAACAUCAUCCUGAGCAAGGAAAGUUAAGGCUCCGGAAUCCUUGUGGCGACCAACGCCCAGAGCUAGGUGAGGAAUGGAGCAAGGUGGGUAGUGAUUGAGGCGGAUGAAGUUUGUUGAUUCUUCAUUCAGGGAUUAUUUCAUCCCUUUUAACCAAAUAUUUAACAUGAUCAAAGACUAUUCCCUAAAUGAAGGCAUACUGUAGCAAAUACCCUUAAUCUGAACAUUGAAAGUACAACUUAAACUAGUAUCAAACACUCUGUUUUUAAACCCAUAGCUACUCCAAAUAUCCCAAAUACUCUUUUCUAUGUAACCUCUCUUUGUCUCUUUCUCGCUCACACACACAUGCUUCCCCACAAAAAUACAUACACACAUAGAGAAGAACACAAUCUCUUAUCCGAUUCCCUUCCGAUUUAUGAUUCUAAGCUGGCGGGUCACUCUCUUAUUCUUUUGCUUUCUUGCGAUGGAGCUCCAUGCUCUCCUUUCCUCAUUUUUUUUCUUGGAUAAAUACUCUAUAAAACAUCCUCUCUCGAUGCUCUAUCUAAACUCACUUGCUCAUUUCACAUUUUUUUCUUUUUGGAUGCUUUCUUUAUGCUCCCAGGCAUAUGCCAGUUUUUUAUGACUAUUUUUGAAGUUGGGAUUCAGAAUUCACUAAAAUCUUUUCUCAAACUUGGAUUUUUCUCAACUCAACCCUAACUUCUUUUCUAUCAGUACCAAGGCUAGAGAAUAUAGUUUAUACCCUUGUAUUUCGUUAUGUACCAAGCCCACAAGAUGAUCAAUAAGUUUCUCUCUAGAUUUUACAUUGGAGUUGAUUGAUGACAUACCCUUAUUAGGUACUAUAUUCUCUUCCUUAGGUAUUGCUUUUUCCUUCCUUAGAUACUACCUUUGCAACCUUGGGUGCACGAUCGAAUCCAUCGUUUCAUGGCCACUUCAAGUAAGUCAGGAACUUAUGUACAUGUGUGCUACAUGUCUUAUAGGUAUUACCUUUACAUUCUGUAGGUACUACCUUUACCUUCCAUAGGUACAAAUAUGAUUAAUAAUAAGAAUUUUAACAUAAAAAAGGGAAAAAUCAUGUCUGAUAAUAAAAUUGCAUAUAUUUUCUUUCUUGCUUUUUUUUUUUUUUUUGGGUCUUUGCUUUGGUUUUUAUUUAUGUGUUUGUUUCUUUUAGUCUUUGUGUGUGUGUGUGUUUUAUUUUAUUUUAUUUUUUUCAUCCCUAUGCAGAAGAUGUAGAGGAAGCAACAUCACAUCAUAAGGUGCAUUUUUCUGUUCAUUUAAGCCUAAAGGUUCUGGAUUCACAAAAUGGUGGGAACUAAGGGUGAGAAACUGGAAAAAAAAAUGUUGGAUUGAGCUACAUUUGAUCAAUAGUGAAUUUGCAAAAAAGAUUGUAGGAGAGGUUUCUUGAGGUGGACAAGGUCAGAAGCAAGGAGCCUUUUCCUAGUUUUUGGGAAGAACUUAUUGUUAACGUGUGAAUUCAUUAAGGGUAAUUUAUGUAAGAUUUUCUAGAUUUUGCAAGUGAAUGCACCUUAGCUUUUCCUAUUGUAUUUGUGUUUUUUUAGGUUGAUUAUUUUAUUGAUCGUCACCACUCAAGGAAUGGAAGCAAUAGGGUCUCUAGAUGUACUGCGUAAAGGCGGGCAUACAGGCGUUGUUAGGAAUGUGUUUCCCAUGUCCAACAAGCAUAUUGACACCACCUAAAGCCAAGGCAUCUUUGGACGAGGAGUUCUAGCUUCUACUUCUGUGGACUUUGUAGAUGUCGUCUGGCUCUUCUAAAUAUUUAUUGUUAUGUAGUAGUUAUACACAUGUACUUUGUUUAAGUGAAUUGAUUAUUGGAUUUUUAGUUAAAUCAAAUUUAAGGGUAUGUUGUUUAAUUUACUAGUGAUCUCUUGUUUGUAAUUCUCGUUAUCAUAUAUAAAUCUUUGUUAGCAUUUUCCAAUUUCCUCAAUAGCAACUAUAUUAGUUUUCAGUGGAAUGAAUCUUGAGUAACUUGUAGUAUCAUUUUUGGUUUUGAAUUGACUAAUCUGUUUUGGAAGGAUGAAUUAGAUAUAUGAGCUUGAUUGCUAACAGUAGUUGAGUUUGUUUUGAUCUCGGGAUAUUUGCCUUGUUGAAUAGGACGUAGAUUUUGGGUCCAAAGAGUUGAAAAUUGAUGAGCUUAACCAAGACAUAGGAGAACCACAUGCAACACUAACCAGAGUUCCUACAACAAGCUAAUAACCAUGAUUUAGAAAUGUGAUUUCGUUAAAGGGAAGCAUUUCUAAUCUUAUUUGAAAGGAAACUUUGAUGUCUUCCCUAAUACACUAGAAUAUUAAUUUAAAAACAACAAUUAAGGUUAUAUUAACUAUUAUAAUAAUUUAUAAAUUAUAUAAAUAUGAUAAUAACUAUUAAAAUGAAAGUAUUAAAUGUAAAAAAGUUUAAUCUUGUUGGGUAAAAACUUCAUCAAUCUUUUAUUAUUGAACUUCUAUUAUAUAAUCAAACAUAGUGAUGAUCCUCGGUUGGAUUAAUCAACACUUGUUUCAUAAAUUGAACAACAUAUAACAUGAUCAACCAUAAACAAACAAGUAAACAUCAUACUAGAUAAAACUAUCUCUUAAGAUUUCUAUUAUUACAUGUUUAAAUUACAAAUCAUAUUUUUGCAACUUUCGUAAAAUUAUGCAAUAGAUAUGAUUAAAAUUACGAAACAUCGGAAAUGUAUAUUGAUUCAUUAUUCAGAUUCAUCAUAUCAUAUAUAUCCUUUAGUAGUCCAUAAGAUCAAAUAAUAACCAAAAUUCAAAAAAUAUGUUUUAUGAUCCAAAAUUGAUUGACACUAAUAUCAUUUGUUAAAUAAACUUUAUGUGAAAUAAUUAUUUUGGAAAAUCAAUUUGGAUGCAUAAUGCAUAAUAGGUAUAAGAAAUAAAGAAAUGACAAAAUAAUAAUUAUAUUCUUGUCUUAAUCCAUGAUACUGAUAACACUUGUAAUGUGAAUUUGAGUCAUUUUGUGAAUUGUUGGGUCAAGGUCUUCAACUCACCAUUCUCAUUUAGUAGAUGAGUCAAUUGUGUGGUAUAUGUUGUUAUAAGUAAAACAACUAAAAACAUAAGAAUGCAAUGUGACUUAGGACCUUAACUUUAUAAAAAAGAUUUAUAACUCUUAAUAUUCUCAUAAAAGAUUAUAUGAAAGUUAUACUCAUUAUUUAUAAACAUUAUACACAGAUUAAUGGACAAUGGUAAACUACCAACUUGAAUACAUUCAUGUAAUUGUAUAAAUUACACUUUUUCAUCUUCCUCUAUUAGUCAUAAACUUUAUGUACAAAUGAAAUCUCAUAAAGAUGGAGUUACACAAGUUGUAAUACCAUAUUCUUAUAAAUGAAAUUUUUCUAACUCUGUAUUUAUAAUUUUAAUCUUCUAUGUUAGAAGUUGAAUUUGUUCCACGUCGCCAAGUUAUUGGGUUAUUAUGUUGUUCAUAUAUGUAGAUUGGUCACCUCUCCAAGCUAGCUUUUGGGAAUGAAUUCUAUUCAAACCCAUUUAACAUGGUAUCAGAGCUUGGUUUGACUGUGGGUUGUGGGUUCGAGCCACCUCUCUGCAAUUCGCAUGUUUGUUCCUUAUUUGCAUGUUUGGAAGUCUAGAAAAGGUUAUUUGCAUUUGUUUGUCUCUUCACGUGUGGAUAUGGGACCACACAUAAGAGAGGGUGUUAAAAAGCUUGAUAUGUACGUAUAUUGAACCUAAAUCUUAUAAGUUUAAGCUUUUAGGAAAAUUAGUAAUUCAACAUUCUAUACAUAAAAUUAUUUGAUGUCCAAUCAAUUGAUUCACCUACCUAUCAAUUAAUAUACUUUUAAAUAAAAUAUAUUUCAAUCCAUUACACAAAUAUAAUUAAAACAAAAUACUAUAGUAAUGUGAGUAUGUGAUAAAUAAAUAAAAUAAAAAUAAUCACGUGUUACAUGUAAACUAUAUUCAAAGGAAAAACCCACUAUUAAACAAUCCAUUGUAUAAUGAUCAAUUACAAAGACCAAGUAUUACCAAACUUAAAAGUAUCUAAAUCAUACUCACUUUGCACAUUUUCUUUAUACUUGGAUCCUUUAAACACAUUUAUCCCAAUGUGGAUGCAUCUUGAGUUCUAAUCAAGGAAAUCAACCUUUGAGUAAAAUUUUCAUCAAGUUAAAGUCUCUUUAUAUCAUUGAGAACCAUAUCAAGAUUUCUUUUUGUUGGUUGCUUUCAAAGUCCCACUAGAAUUAGAAUGAACAUUUUAUAAAUUCUAGGACUUUAACAUAUGAAUUCUUCAAUGAGUCAAUCAAAUAUUAAAUUUUAUCUCCAUAGAUGGACCUCAAUGAAUUUUUCAACAAAUUAAAGGUGUUAACACUAAUUUCAUAUUAGAAAAAAAAAAAAAAUCAUGUGACACAUAUUGAUAUAUAUAUAUAUAUAUAUAUAUAUAUAUAUAUAGGUGUUGUCUGGGAUAAAUAGAUUGAAUUCAUGAGAAAAUUAUUCUUAAUUUUGUAAAAAUUAUAUAUAUAAGAAAGUUUUUAGACUUACUAAAACACAUUACUAAUCAAGUGGUAAUAUUUAUAUCUCAUUAUUUUGUAAUCAAGUCUCAUUCAUUUGUAUCACAUAUGAGUCCUAUUAUUUUAUACCUUACUCUUAUUAUAUUGUACUUUGAUCUUAUUUGUUUAUACAUCGAUUUCAUUUCUUUAUAUGUUCAUCAUAUUUAUUUAUAUCUCGAUCUUAAUUAUUUAUAUCUUUCAAUAGUUUAGAUUUCAAUACAUAUUUUUAAAUAUUUUAAUUGGAAAUUCAAUAUCUUACUAUUUUUCUAAAUAGCUACCUAUAAUCCUUUGUAGACUCAAAAUUCACUUCAAGCCAUCAAAAAAAUCGACCUCUCUUUGUAAGUUGCUAUACUCAUUGCUAAACUAUAAUUCCAAAAAUAGCAGAACUUUUCAUACUUAUUCUAGGCAAUUAGAGUCGAGAUGUUCCAGGCAUAUACCAUUGUCUUUCAAGAUUUGAAAGAAAUGUUACGAUUUCAGCAUGAAAUAAUGCAUGUCGAUUAACAAUAUUGCUCAGAUUCUUUAGGCAAAGGUCCCAGCCUAGAGAUUGAUAAUGUUUCUUUGAAGCAAAAUGACAAAAUGGAAUAACACAAGAAAGCCAGAACCAAUUAAGUGUCCACAGACAAAAAAAUUUAUUUAUUUAUUUUCUGAACCACCCCUGAAAUUGACACCUCCCAUACAGUCUGCAUUUCUGUGGCACUAUUUCCCUUAUUCCUAACCAUAAAUCUGCUGCCAUCUCAAUAAUUCACAUCCUUAUCCACUCCUUAUCUAGGGUUGUAACACUUUUUUCAAAAAGAUUUUUUUUUUUUUUUUUCUAAGGGGUGGAUAAGGGUCCUGAGACAAGCUGUGGAAUAAUUAUAAACCCACUUGGGUAAUGGUUUCAUUGUCAGGGUAAUACUAUUUAAGGUGAAAAUCAGCUGGGUCUAUCAUUCUUGUUUCCAUAUGACUGUUUCCAAGGAUAACUCAACCUUCAAAUCCAUCGAGCAGUCAUAUAAAAAUACACGCAGAUUUCAUAUUUUGAAGCUUGUCCUGUGUUCAGAUCGGAUAACUCACUCAUAUGCCUAAUCACCAAUCGCCAACUUGAGCGUAAAAAAAGCGUGGGGCGAUAUUAUUUGUAUAUGGGUUUGACUGUUUGAGAGAGAAAGGUGGGGUGUCCCUUGGAGGAGUCCAAAGGCCAUUUUUGAACCUGCCUUUGAUUAUCGCCAUGGCAAAUCAACAGCUUGUAGUGUAUAUAUAUAUAUAUAUAUAUAUUAAUGGAGACCAAGACUCAAAUAGAGAGAGAGACGCGGGAUGCGAUAAAGAGAACAGUAUAGCCAAGAGUAUAUAAGCAUUUCUAUUGCUGUAAUGGUGAUUCAGAGACUGGAAAUGUGUAUAUCACUGCUGAAAAUGGCAGUAGAGUUUGUGCUUGUUUUCGCGGAGGCAGUCGGGCUAGUCAUCAACCACAAUGCCACGCCGCUUUUGGCAAACUCAGCCUCAGUUGGCAAUGAUGUUUCUGUCCCUUUUAUCGGUUUUCUUCUUUGAAUUCUUCGUCUUGUAGUUUCCUUCCUUAGCAGAAUGCCCAUUGGCCAUUGUAUACGUUGAGGUUUCAUUUUUGUCUUGAUAGAUUUUGCCUUGGAAAGUGUCUGUACUACCAGCUAAAAGAUGUGAAUGUUUGAUAGGAGAGAGUACAUAUAACAUCUUUGUAAACUUCGAUUAAUUUUGGUUCUGGGUGAGCUUCAUCUUCUGCAAAUUCAUUUGCUGGUAGCUUUGGAAAUGAAUCUUCAGUGGUUUGGGUGGUGAUUAUUUGCUUGCUUCACACGAUUUUAUGUGUUGUUCCUUUGGUAAUAAUCUUGUUGGAUGGAUCAAGGAGGAGCGAUGAUCAGGAAAAUAAAGUCGGGAGAAAGAAAAGAUAUAAUGAUGAUUAAGAAAGGCUUUAAUAUACUUGCAAGAUCAGGAAAAAAUAUUUCUUGGUUAAUCAAUUAUUUUCUUGCUUGAUAUGGGUUUGAUACUUUUUGUCAAUUGGUGAUCAUUCUGGGAAGAUCAGGAAGAAGAAAAUGGGGUCUAGAUGAAGAAAAGCUAUAAUGGUGAUUAUUAAUUGAAAUCAGAUGAAAUAAAAGUCUGUUUCCAUCAUUCUUAAUAGGGUUUCAUAGUCCCCGCAGGACUUUAGUACUCAUCAAACUCAUAAAUUUUGAACAACUUUGAGCUAACCUUCUGCAUUAAUUUGGUGCAUCUGCGCAGUUGCAGAGUAUGAACACCCACAAAAUCUUAAUAUGAAUCUUUUGGGGCAAUAGCUUCUAUAUAUGAUGGAUGAUAAGAACAAAGCAAAUCUUGGGUUCUCCAUGGCCACGAUCAUUUAUCCGCCAUAUAAAAUGCAGAUUUUCCUAACACCAACCCCUUAUUUUAAUAAAGUCAAGUUAUUUUAAGGCCCCCAUUAUUAGACAUGCCCUAGAAGCAUUGGGUCUGUGAUUAAAAAAAUGUAGUAAUAUCAUUUAAAAUAUCUAACACUGAAAUUUUGAUAAUUUUGAAUGUCAUAGUGUGGAUUUGAAGAAAGAAAUCGUAUCCAAGAUCUCUUCCUUUUCCUGGGAAACAUUAGUCUUGGUCAAUUAUGAACUGUUACACGUUACCUAUCAUGAUCAUAUUUAUAUUAGCUUUGAUUUCUAUGGGGGUUAUAAUUUAUUUGUAUGCUAAUCAUAGAGGUGAUACAUGUGAUCCACAUGUCAUAUUUGGACUUGGAACCAAUCAUUGGAUUCCUUUGAUGAACUGGCAAUGGAAGAAUACUAAUUGCUCCGGUCCCUUUCUUUUUUCAACGUAGGAUGAUCAGGUCCUUUGAUCUCUUCCACACCCACUGGCUGUUUUUCUUUGUUCCUUUUUCAAUCAUCCAUAGCUGAAAAGCCUUGAUGCCCUCCUUGACUUUCCCAAGAUAAAACACCUUAUCUUCACUUUCUUUCUUUUCCCUUUAAAUUUGAUUUUAGAUCUGAAAUCCAGGGCUUAUGACCCUGUAGAAGAAAGACAGAUAUGAAGCUUGGGAUGAUUUGAACUUCAGUUUGAUUUUCUGCACACUGUUUAAAACUCCUGAAAUAUAGUUGUAUAUUGCAAUACAUUUAUAAUUGAUACAACUGAACCAUGAUGUUUCUAUUAGUAAAAAUUUCUUUGAAUCAAUCCACAGUUCAAAGUACCAAUUUCAAUUGAAACUUUUUUCUUUUCCUGCUUAUUCAAUUGUUUCGUUUUCCACAUAAUGGUAUGACAACAUCAAGAAUACUUCUCAGCAAUUGCCUGCAGGUGAACCCAAAGCUCUUUUGGCUGAGACAUCAUGACCAUGUGAUCAGAUCCUUUAAUCUCUUUAACAGCAUCAGGUGGGUUUUCUUCGAUCAUCCAGAGUUGAAAAUCCUUUUUCGCCAGCUUGUCUUCCUCAGAAAUAAUAAAGACACGUUUAACCGAGGCAUAUUUCUUCGACAACAUGAGAUCCUUUGACAUGUCUUCUUCACUGAACAAGCGUAAGGGUCUCAUCAACAUAGUCCCUAGUGCCAAGUCCUGGAAAAUUUGUGCCCAAAAUGAUAUAACAACAACAAUGAAAAGUCUCAUGAUUUUGGCUGUAAGGCCUGAAUUAAUGAAGUUCUCACCUCAGUUGGGCUCAACUGAUACACAUUCAGUGAUGAGAACAAGGGGCCAAAGGUGAAAGUGGUGGGAGGAUUGUUGGGGCCAUUAUCAUAUGUGAACUGGCUGUCUAGUAGAGGACCUUGUCUCCUGAGUGACUUCAAUAAGAAGUAGAAACCAGGCUAAAAGUCAGAAACAGGGGAAGCCUUCCCCUCUUAAUCAACAAGUAAAUUUCUGUAAAAGAAAAAUAGUAUGUAUGAAGUACCUCUUGAUUGAGAGUGGAAAUGUUGAGAGUGGGACCAGGCAUUGAGGCAGUAACAAAAACAGCUACAGAAACCUUUUCUGGGAACUUCUCCAUGGCCUGAGAAAUGGCCAACCCACCCAAGCUGUGUCCAACGAGAACCACCCUUUCAUCUGCAGGGAGUGACUCCAUGAAGUCCCUCAGUGGCUGGAAAUACUCAGAAAUAGAUCGCAGAUCACCCACUUGUUUUGGGUUAAUUCCAGAAGCAGCCAAGUCCAGAGCAGUGACUUUGUGGCCAGAUGAUUUUAGUAGUGCCACAAUCUUGUACCAAGACCAGGCACCAUGGCAAGACCCAUGAACUAGAACAUAGUGCUUGACGGGAUUAGCCUGUCUCCCCUCUGAUGCCAUUGAAUACACUGAAGAAACAAGAAAAAUCAGAAAGGAAACUAAAAUCGUAUGCUUCUUCCUUUCCUGCGUACUCCUUUCCUGUUACAGAGAUGGUCAGCACCCAAGCAUUUUAAAGGGCACAAUUGGCUUUCACUACAACUACUAAUCUAAUGGAUUAAAAUUUUUCCUGUGAAAUUGACUCUAGAAAUAAAAUAAGGAUUAAGGAUUCAAGAAUAUGUACACAUAGACUGCCAGGGUUUAAAAGAUGACACAUGCACCUGCGUCACACUCUUUUUCAAUGAUAAAGAAGUUAUGCAAAGGAAGAAAGAAUGAAAUAUACAGAGUCUAGUAGUUAACUCCUCCCCUUGAAUUCUUCUGUUGCCCGGAUUGGUUUGUAACUGCAAACAUUUUCUUUUCCCAAUGUGAUCUGUGGAUUGAGUUCUGAUCUCAAUUUGUUUUUGGCAUUUUUGGUUUUGCUUCUGCAAAUCUUGAGAUGUAUCUUUCAAUUAAUAUAAGUAAGUUAUGCAGUAAAGGUUUUUGGACAUAUAAAAUGUUAGCCAAACCUUUCCCAUGGCGGGUUGAAGGUACUUUGGGGUAGGCUUGGUCACGCUUGAUACCUCAAUCGGACUGAAACAUGAUGUUUUCACCCAUUUGAAUUGGUCAAAGCUGUGUUGACUGGCAUGAUUCCUUUAAUAAAGAAGUUGUUUUUGGAUUAAGGCCUACAACACCAAUUUCACUUAAAUACAUCUAUUUAAUAAUUAUGUAUUAACAUAAUUAUAAUCAAUUGAGUCGAAAACAAUUAAAUUAAAAAGUUAAUUAUAUUGACUUAAAUAAAAUCUGACUCAACCAGAUUAUUAAAUAAAUUACUCAACUUAUUACAUGUUUAAUAAUUAAGUCGUAUUUGGGUUUAUACUUUUAACUCAAUUAUUAUUCAUGUUAUAUUUGUGUUGACUUAUUAAGUCACAGUAUCUAAAUUUAAUUUGAUAUGACAUGAACACUACCCACCAACAUUAAUUGUAUCCCCUGUUUUAAGUUCCGGUGGCAUCAUGAGUUUGGCCUCUGUUUUGAGUGUUGAAUUAACCUUUCCCAUGGUUGUCAAGUUCUUCAUAAAUUAUUGGUGAUUGUAAUAAUUUCCUCAUAAAUUAAUGGCGCUAUAUGCUUCUUUAGGAUCCAUUGAUCUUACUAAUUCUCUUCCUGGUAUGGGAAGAAAAUGACUCUUCCAUUAAUGCAGCAUGCAUUGCUACUUAUUUAUCAAGCAAAUUACAUUAUUAUUUUCACACCAAACCUCCAAAUUCAUCAUGUACUUAUCCUAUAUACUACAUGGUGAACUUUAGAGAGCUAAAACAAGCUCUUCUUGAUUAAAGAUAGAUAAUGUCCUAUUGACCUUUUUACUUUGAUGCCUUGAAAUGAGAAAUUUGGAUGUUUUCUACAUCAAGCUUCUUGAAAUUAUUGUGCUUUCUCGUAGUAAAGAAUUUUCCCAAGUUGUGUACUUUGGCUUUUCCCCCUUUGUCAUCUCCUCCAAGGGUUGCACCCAAACACGGUGUUCGGGAUUGAAAAAGAACGGAAUCAAAAACCUUUCCCUCUCUGAAUUCACCAUCACCCUAUGCUCCACACUCUCAUAAGUAUCGUUGCUCCAUACCUGAUUUAAUAUCAAGAUAAUUAGACAAAUGGGUGUGUAAAAUUCCUUGAGCCAAACUGUACUGAUAAGCAAGUACUAAAGACGAUACAGGCUUUGAGAGUUAAAGGUCGUUCUUUCUAUAAAUCAAGGCAAUAAGUAUAUAUACAACAUACAACAUAGUUGCUGUUACAGGCUUACCAAAUUAAUUCCACAAUAAAGGAAACUAUACAUGGUUGGUUACCAAAACAAAAAUAGGAGAUUAGCUAUACAUAUUACUAAAAUAUAGGAUUUGAUAAAGAUUGAAGUGGACUUUCAAAUGAACCAUUUUCCUUAUCAUGACCCCUCAAGAUAGACUUCGAUUGAAUGCCUAGCUUGACGCACAAGUGUUGUAGAUGAGCUAAGGAUUGUGGCUUUGUUAAGGCAUCAACAAGUUGAUCCGCGAAAGCAAAAUGAGGCACGCGAAAAGUGUAAUCUUGAACUCACAAAAUGAAAAUAAAUAGCAAUAUGCUUCAUCCAAAAUGUAAAAUUAGGUUGGCGCAUAAGUAGGUGGUACCGACAUUAUCACAAUAGAUUGGCAUGGGUUUGGGAACUGAAAUACCCAACUCAAGUAAUAGGGAGUUAAGCCAAAGAAGUUUGGAAGAAGUUGUAGCUACAACAUGAUACUCUACCUCAGUUGAGGAACGGGCAACAAAUGUUGCUUCUUUGAACUCCAAGAAAUGACAUUAUGACCUAAAAACACAACAUGAGCACUAGUUAAAGUACGAUCAUCACGAUCACCAAUCCAAUCUACAUCGGAGAAGGCAUGAAGGCUAAGAGGGGAUCCUUUUCGAAGAAACAAACAAUGAUGCGUUGUACCUUUAAGAUAACGGAGAAGAUGUUUGAGUGCCAACCAGUGAGUGGUAGUAAGUCUAUGCAUGAAUUGAGAGAGUUUAUUGAUUGAGAAAGCAAUGUUUGGUUGAGUGAAGAAGAGGUACCGAAGACCACCAACAAUAGAUCGAUACUUAGUCGAAUUGGUCAAGGAUGUGCCAUCCACAAGGCUAGGUAUCUGAGAUGUUGACAUAGGAGUUGUGAAUGACUUGGAAUCCAUCAUUUUUGUGUGCUCCAAAAGAUCUAAAACAUAUUUGUGUUGAGAAAGAAAGAGACCAAAUGAGCUUGGAAUAACUUCAACCCCUAAAAAAUAAGAGGCAACACCUAAAUCUUUAAUGGAGAACCGAGUAGCAAGUGUGUGAACAAAAUGAUUGAGAGUACCAUCAUCAUUGCUAGUAACAAUAAUAUCAUCAACAUACACAAGUAGGAAAAUGGUAAAUAGAGACUUCUUAUGGAUGGACAAUGAAGUGUCAAAUUUGGGGUAGAAACUGCUUCACAAACCCUUGAUGGAGUAGAAACUGCUUCAGUUCUUGAUACAAGGCACAUGGUGCUUGUUUGAGGCUAUAAAUAGCUUUCUUAAGAUGACACACAUGGCUUGGAAACUAAGGAUCAACAAACCUUGGUGGUUGAGCCAUAAACACAUUUUUGGCAAAAGUCCCAUGAAGAAAAAGCAUUGUUCACAUCAAGUUGACAAAGUGACCAAUUGAAGGAAAAUGCAAGACUAAGAAUGAGUAGACCAGUAGUAGGUUUCACAACCGGGCUGAAUGUCUUAGCAUAGUCAAUACCAGGGAGUUGAUGAAAACCCUUGGCGACAAGAGGAGCCUUGUAUUGAGCAAUAGAGCCAUCAGGAUUGCGUUUGAUUCGGAAAAUCCAUUUGCAACCAACUAGAUUCUGUGACUUAGUAGAAGGAUUCAACUCCCAUGUGCCAUUAUGAAGAAGAGCAUCAAAUUCUUCAAACAUAGCUUAACACCACUCAAGAAGCUUUAAAGUUUGGGUAACAUAGGCAGGUGCAACAUCAGGAGUGGUAGAGACAAAAGCAUACUUGGUGGAUGGUUUGAAGACAUUAUUCUUGGAUCUUGUAACCAUGGGAUGGGUGUUGAGGGUAGGGGGUCGAGUGGGUGGGAUGGGGGAAGGGGUAGGAUGUGGGGUUGAAAGCAAGAUUGGGCUUGGAGGGAAACUAUGUUGGGAUUGUGUAGUCUCAGCAUUGGGGGGUAAUAUAAUUGACUGGCCAGCAAGAGUGGUAUCAUGAAUGGUCGAAUGCUUAACUGGAGUGGUACCUAAGAUUGUAUUGUCCUGUGAUGAGGGAAUUGAUACGAGAGGGAAUGGAAUAGAUGGGACUAUGGUGGGUGGAGGUUUCUCGGCAGUUGAAGAAAAGAGGACCAUUAUCUCAACAAAGGUGACAUGAUGAGAGGUGAAUAACUUGUGGGAAACUCGAUCAAGGCAAAGGUAUGCACUUUGUGUAAGAGAGUAACCUAAGAAGACACAUGGACGAGAUUUGGAUUGAAGUUUGUGGUCAUUAUAUGGGAGUAACUAAGGAUAACAAAGACAACCAAACAUUCAUAAUUUGUCAAGAAUUAGGUUUGUGAUUGAAUAAUUUCUCAUAGGAAGAGAGGAAUGAGAGGUUUGGUUUAAGCAUUCGAUUAAUAAGAUAGACUAUAGCUUAAAAGGCAAAGGGCCAAAAAGAAGUAGGAAUGGAUGCAUGAUGGAAAAGGAUGAGUCUGGUUUUGACAAUGUGUCUAUGAUGACGUUUGGAGUAACCAUUAUGCUUAGGAGUAUGAGGUGGGGUGGUGAGAUGAGUAAUGCUAGCAAGAGCAAAAUAAUCUUUUAACGCUAGAAAUUCACCACUAUUGUCAUAAUAGAUUUGAAUUAUUUUGGAACUGAAGUAGUUUUCAACUAGAGCUUUAAAUCGAACAAAAACAUCAUAGACAUUAGAUUUCUUUUGAAGUGGAUAUAACCAGACAUAUUUGGUGAAGUGAUCGACAAAGAUAACAUAGUAUUUAAAGUUAUCAUUUGAUACAAUGGGAGAACUCCAAACAUUUGAGUAAAUAGUUUGUAAAUGAGAUGAACUUGUAAUAGAUGAUGUAGAGAAAGGUAGUUUAUGACUUUUAUUGCACUUACAAGAAUUACAAGCAAAAGUAGAAAUAUCAUUAGAUGAUAAAGAAUGACUCUUAGAGGAAACUAAAUAUUGAAGAACUUUGGAAGAGGGAUGACCAAGUCGAUGAUGCCAAUUUGGAAGUGAAGUCUUAACAUUGGAAAAUACAAUCAAAGGUUUUUUCGUAGUAGGAGAAUUCAACCAUACAUAAAAACCACCACUAUAGAAUAUAGAAUAUAAUUUUAUAUUUAAUUAAUUUUGCAUUUAAAUAAUAUAUGAUAAAGAUAUUACUUUUAUAUUUAAAUAAUAUAAGAUGGUAAUGAGAUAAAAAUGAAUGUUUUUAUGGUUAUAGGAAUAAAGAAAAAUAAAAUAAAAAAGAUUUCAAUUACUUAAUUAAUAGUAAUCCUAAUUUAAUUUCAAUUAAUAUUAAUCUUAUUUAUAUCUUUCCUUUCUUGAAUAUACCAUAAAAAGAUUUAAGUAGUAAAUAAAUACAUGGGUAGAAGGAUACAUCCAGUCAUGAGGUGUACCUAUAUAUUAAUUUUAUAUUUAAAUAUUAUAGAAUAUAAUUUUAUAUUUAAUUAAUUUUGCAUUUAAAUAAUAUAUGAUAAAGAUAUUAGUUUUAUAUUUAAAUAAUAUAAGAUGGUAAUAAGAUAAAAAUGAAUGUUUUAUGGUUAUAGGAAUAAAGAAAAAUAAAAUAAAAAAGAUUUCAAUUACUAAAUCAAUAGUAAUCCUAAUUUAAUUCCAAUUAAUAUUAAUAUUAUUUAUAUCUUUCCUUUCUUGAAUAUACCAUAAAAAGAUUUAAGUAGUAAUCUGGGAUAGAUAUUAAUUUUAUAUUUAAGAAAUAUAGGAUAUAAUGUAGAGAAUAGAGAUACACAAACAUAUUUUAUAUUUAAGUAGUAAUCUUCAUGAGCUUUACACAAACAAAAAACUUAGAUGUUUACAUCAUCUAGAAGCCCCACUUCGCCUCUCUCUCAGCCCUCAGCCCUCAGGCUUAAGAAGUUGUCAUGAGAAACCUAACACAAACCUUUCUUAUAAUUAUUGUUCAUAGUCGUAGCUACCAAGAAUUCCAAGUUAGGAAGAAAAAAAGAAUCAUAAAUACAGCAAAAAUAACUUCCACUACAUGCGGCAGCAGGGGUACCAAAUUAGGGAAAUUAAGAAGUAAACCAUGCCCAAUCAAUUGCUGGGAAAUAUUAUUUGGAUAUCAAAUUAGGGAAGCUAUUAAGUGUGGUUUUUGUAGUGUUAAAUCAGAGAGAAAUUUAAUUAUAUUAUGAAUUUCAAAUUUAAUUAUUCUAAGAACAAUGAAUUACUCUAAUAGAAUUUAAUGUAUAAAAACAUUUCAAACACUCGCAACAUAUAUCAUUUUCAUUUUUUCCAAAAGCACCAAAACCCUAUAACAAUGAAAAUAAACCCAAUAACAAUGGAAAUAAACCAAAUAACAAUGGAAUCUCAAACCUAAUCACAAACAUUUCCAAAAUACCAACUAACAAAACCCAAAAAAAAAAAAAAAUUCCCAAAACUCACCAAAACCUAGAGAGAUGAUUUUCACGGGAGUUUCUUGGAGGUGGCUUCAGCUUUACCGACCAUAGCUUCCAUGGGGCUUCUUCAGCAUGGCUUCCAUAAGCUUUUUUUGACAAUAGCUUCCUCCAAGCAAUGGGGGUUGUGGGUAGGUUUUGUGGGUUUUAUGGCCGUGGGUUUUGGAGAGGAAGAGAAAAUGGGUUGGCAGGAGAGAGAAAGAAAGGCUUUAUAUUCGAUUAGGAAAGUGAUGUGGCCGUGGGGUAUACCCACAUGGUUAAAAGAAAGACAUUUUUCCAUUAGAAAAAAAUGUCUCAUGGCUUUUUUUAUUGUUAUUGUUAUACCCAAAAAAAAUAAUUUAAUUUUAUUGUUAUACCCUAAAAUUUUUUUAUUGUUAUUGUUAUUGUUCUGUGUUCAGAACUAUUAAUUUAAAAAGUUUUUCAAGUUUUAAAAUUAUCAAAUUUUUAAAAUUUACAAUUAUUUUAAAAUUUUAAAUUUACAAUUAUUUUUAAAAUUUUAAAUUUAAAUUAAUUUUGAAAGUUCAAUGUUUUACUCAAAGUGUUAUUCUAAAAUUUUUAUUAAGUUUUAUCAAGUUUUUUAAGUUUUAAAAUUAUCAAGUUUAAAAUUUAAAAAUUUUAUAUAAAUACAAAGAAUAAUUAAAAAUAAAAUAUAACAUAUAAAUGUUAUUUUUUAAAACAUAUUUAAAAACAUAAAAAAUAUAUAUUAAGAAUAUUUUAGGUUUCUAAAUCAACUUUUAUUUUAAAAUACAUCGGCAAAAAAAUUUUUAAAAAUGUUUUAAAAAACCGUUUUUUGUAUAAUUGUUUAUGAAAAUGUCAAAAUACUUCACAAAUAAACCAGUUCGAGUCCCCUCAGGGCCUCGUGGGAUUAGUCGAGAUGUGCUUAAGCUGGUCCGGACAUCCACGGUUAUAAAUAAAAAAUAAAAAUAAAAAAAUAAAAAAUACUUCACAAAUAAAACUAUAAUUUAUUGGUAUUUUUGUGGGCCUUAGGUGUUAGGAAAUGUUAUAUGUGCAUCCUACUCCUACUCUGUCUUCAUUAUUUUCAGUCCCUUUAUAUCUUAUACCAAUCUACUAUUAUUUUAUCAUAUGGUAUCAGUUUUUCAUAUUUGAUGAUAUUAAUUUCUACCUUAUCCCAUAUGCUUGUAGCUUAAUUUCAUUAUACAUUUGGACAACAGAAUUUCAGACUUCCAUUUGGUACUAAAUAUAAUAAACAUAAACAGAGAAUGAUGCAUUUAAGAAUAUUUUUCCAUGAAUUUUAACUUUAUAAAUUUGUUAAUUUUACAAAUUUAAGAAUUAUAAAAGUUUAGAACUUUUAUUUUUAAUCAUAAACAGAGGAUGUUAUUUUUGUAGUUAUAAAUUGUUUUUGUAUUGCAAAAAUCAUAAAGAUUAAAUAAUAUUUUAUGAUUGAAAAUUAAAUAAAACUAUAAACAAUUUUACUAGUAAUUGUUCAUAGUAAAAUUUAGUUAUCAUGACUAUUGAUACUUUAAAUAUAAUAAGAAUUAUUUAUCAUAUAUAAAAUCAAAAUUGUUUUUUAAUUUGCUAACUCACUUGCAUUUAAACUUUUUAUCAAAUAAUAUCAAAUUGAACCAUCAUAUUUUUAAACUAAUUUAUUAAACUUUAUUUUGCUUCUUAUUAAAACAUUAAUUAUAACAAGGAAAUUAAAUAAUUUUAACUAAAGAAAAAUAGGUAACACACUAAUUUGUUUCUUAACUUAAAAAAAAAUAGUAAUAUAACUUUAAACUUUUUAUAAUUAAUAAGAACUAUUAUUAUUACUAUUAAUGAUAAUUUCUAUUUAUGAUAUAUAUAUAUAUAUAUAUAUAAGAUUUUCUAAAAAAUUAUAAUAGGUAACCCAAAAAUUGUUUAAAAUAAAUAAUAGACUUUGGUCACGAUUGUGUGAACCCCGUGGCCAUAGGUUCAAAAUAUUUAAAAAAAACUCUAUGCAUUGGUAAUGGUCAAGCGAAAUUUGUAACUACAGGUUCUUAUACAGUCACGGUCAAUCAAUGGCGUGACUAAAAGUCACGGUCAAUCAAUCACGUCACUCAAAGUCACAAAAUAUCUAUUUAGUGACGGUUUCACAAAAACCUGUGACUAAAACAUCUUUUUCAUUACACUUUUUGUCACGGAUGAUAAAAUAACCGUGACUAAAGUUAUUGGCGCCAAAAUUUCCCUCCAUAAAUUUACAAAUAGUCACAGUUUUAAAUAAAUCCGUGACUAAAAUACCUCUUAUUAAUCCUUUUGGUGACGGUUGAUAAAAUCACCGUGACUAAACAUGUUUUUUUUUUUUUCCAAAUUUGAUUUAACACAUAUAGUCACAACCUUACCCAAUAAUAUCUUUGGUGGGCCGUGACUAAAGAUUCGUCAUUAAAAAUCUAUUUUUUUGUAGUGCUAGUUGGUCCAUGCAAAAUUCUUGCCCCCGUACAUAGACCAUUCACAUAAAAACAAGUGGGUAAGAAUUCAAUGAAAACAUUAUUUGUUAAGCAAAAUUGGGAAAUUGAAAUCAAGUUCUUUUUCAUGGUGAGAACACAAGGGAUAUUAUUAAGUUGAAGUAGCUUUAAUGCAGUUGGGAGGGUGGUGGAUCCUGUGUGUGUGAUUUCUAGACCUUUACCAUCACCAAUAAUUAUGUCGUCUGGGCCAGCAUAGUCGGAAUGCAAAGAUAGAUUCUGAAGAUCAUUAGAUAUGUGGUGUGAGGCACCAAAAUCCAAGACCCAAUUUGGAGAGACAACAGUUGGUUGAGUUGUCGCAUGUGUUUGUGCAGAAGAGGGGCGGUAACUGUAAUUGGGUGGAACACCAUGAUGUUGACUGGCAAUAUAUCGAAAUGAUGGACAUCUUUUCGCUGAGUGUCCUUGAACACCACACAAUUGACAAGUCCCCUUAUAUGGAUGAGGGGUGUGAUUCGAAGUAUUCGAGGUAGUCAUUGGUUGAGGUUGUUUGGAUGUACGGUAUUGAGACGAAGAGUAAGGCUGUUGAUUGAAGAAUCGAUGCGAUUGUGGUUGUUUGGUAGCAGCAUUGGUGGAAGCAGGCAAUGAGACAUUCCAAGAAGAAUACUUGGCAGAUUCUCAUAAAGUUUGAGCCUCAAGAGGAAGCAAUUUCUCAUAAAGUUCCUCAAAGGAAAAACAGUUUCAUGGGCAUGGAUGGUUGAGUGUAAAUCUUUGUACAUCUCAGGCAAACCAUGAAAUAUUUGAAUAAUGAAGUCCUCAGGGUCUAUGGUGACGUUCAUGAGAUAGAGAACAUCAACGCAAAUUUUAACAAAUUGCAUAUACUGUGUUAUGGACUGAGUGCCUUUGGACAAGUUGUCGAGUUGAGUCCGAUAAUGAAUUAUUCGGCUUCGAGAUGCUUUAGCAUAGGUGUUGUGAAGUGUAGACCAAGCCUCAAGGGAGGUUGUGGCUGAUGCAAUGAAUGAGAAAAUUGUUGGACUAAGUGAUGAAACAAUAGCAUUAAGAAGAUGGUCUUGACGAAUCCAAUGGGUGUAAGCUGGGUUUGGGGUUGUAGUACCCUUUUCAGAAGUAAGAGUGCUAGAAGGACAUGGUAAAGUGCCAUUGACAUAUCCCAGUAAAUCAUAACCGACUAGGAGAGUGUAAAAUUGGAGUCUCCAUGCAGAAAAAUUGUGUUGAGUGAGUUUGAUGGGGGUUUGGGAAGAGGCGUUUAUGGCUAUGAGGUUUUGAGUAGUGUAUAUAGAGAUGUUGGCAGCAGUGUCGAUGGAGGAAACAAUUGAGGGGGAAGGGCUAGAGCCUUCGUUGGUUUAUGGGUUUGGUGAGGCAUGAGAAUCAACUAUGUGAGCUAUGGUUGCUCUGAUACCAUAAAGACGAUACAGGCUUUGAGAGUUAAAGAUUGUUCUUUCUAUAGAUCAAGGCAAGAAGUAUAUAUAUAGUAUACAACCUAGCGUUACAGACUUACCAAAUUAACUCCACAAUAAAGGGAACUAUACAUGGUUGGUUACCAAAACAAAUAUAGGAGAUUAGCUGUACAUAUUACUGAAAUAUAGAGACGAUCACGGAGGAUUUGAUAGAGAUUGAAGUUGACUUUCAAACGAACCAUUUUCCUUAUCAGGUACUAAUUCAAAGUUCUUGGGUGGUACUUGAAUUAUAUCCCCAACAUUGAUGAUAUAUGCAUCUAGGGUGGGCUUAACUCGAAUCCAUUCUCCAUCAGUUUUUUGCUUUACUUCCAACCCUCUGACAUCAUCCUGGGCAAGGAUGGUUAAGGCUUCGGCAUCCUUUUGGCAACGAACACCCAGAGCUAGGUGAGGGAUGGGGCAUGGUGGGUAGUGAUUGAGGCGGAUGAAGGUAGUUGAUUCUUCAAAGAAAAGAUUGAAUCUGUUUUCCGGCAAACCUAAGCUCAGAGAGAUGAGUCCCAACAUCUUGAAAGCUAGUUUUUCCAUUUCUCUAGCAUAUUCUUCACAUACCUCCCUGUAUAAAUUGGUUCAAUUAGAACCAAAAAACCAAGUAAAUCAUUGAAGUGACUCUGCCUUAGCUGGUGGAAUUUGUACCUUAAUUCAGGAGAGUACUGAGGCCACUGAUUGAUCAACUCUUUGAGCUCCUUGUCGUCAGGAUCAGGCGAAGCAGGGAUGAAGGCGGGGGAUGACACCACGAAAUCAAAGACUUCCUUCCAGUCCCUAACGUUCUUGGUAUGCUCAGUAUCAAAAUACCACAAAGGAUUCACCCCAUCUCUACUCACCUUCCUCUUCUCCUACAAUGGCAGAGCGAAGAACUUCCUCGCCGCAUCCUCAAUUUUCCGGCGAGACUCCGAGGGCAUCCCAUGGUUGAUGACUUGAAAGAAGCCUCGAUUCUUGGAUGCAUCAGCUAUUUGAGAAACAUGGUUAGAGGCAUUGGCGGAAGAGAGAUCAAUGAGUGGGAUGCCUUCAGCUUCGAUAACAACGAGCUUAGGCCCAUGUUGGGUGUCUUGGAUGAAGGCUGGAUCGACCUCUCCCAUGGCUGUGGUAGUGAUUAGAACCUAGAAAUGGUGGUUAUGCACUGGUAGCUGCAGGUUGAGAUUGUGAAGGGGACUUGGGCCACUUGGCAGGUGAUUUUUGUAGUGUAGUGGGGUUGGUUUGGUUCAUUGAACCUUGACAUAAUGACAUAAAUGGGAUACGUUUUAUAAGUUCAAGGAAUCAUGGUAUUUGGAAAAUAUGAAUGAGUUGAAAAUUUUAAAAAAUAGGUUUAUAGGAGUAUAUUUUAAGGAAAAUAAUUUUCAAAUCAUAUCAUGUAUAGGAUAGUGACUUUGUACAUGUUUGAGGGGAAUCAUGUCAAAGUGCACUAUUUGAAAAACAUGGCUAAAUUGUAAACUUAAAAAAGUGGUUUCAUGGAGAGUACAUUAUGAGAAAAAUAAUUUCCAAAUCAUGUACUAAAAUAAUAACUGUAUCCAUGCUUCCAAAACUACUAUUCAACAUAUUUUCAUCAUGUCACAUUUUCCUAUGACGUCAUUGCCCUCAUUUCUUAGAAGAAAAACCCUUUCUGUUCUACUUUACUUUACACUGUUUGUUCCUAUAACCCUUUCCUUUUUUUAAUUUUAAUUUUUUUAAAAAAAUAUUUCUCAUCUAUUUUCUCGAUUUUUAAAAUUCUAUUUAAUUAAAAAAAUUAGAAUUUUUUUUAAAGUACAAUUCAUUUAUUUAUUUUUUCAUUUUAUUUAAAUGUGAUGUAUAAUUAAUACAUUAACAUAAAUUAGUUUUUAAUAUAAAAAUAUAUUCAUCUAUAAUAAUUAAAAAUCUAAUAAAUAAAUAAAUAAAUAAAUAUUAGUAUUUUAAAUAAUAUUGAUUUCGUAUAUACAAUAUUUUAUUUUGUUUCAUUAUUAUAGAUCUCAUUUUCUAUAUUUUUUAUUUCUAAUUUUUCUUAUAGAAUUUUAAACCUAGAUUUUUUAAAAAUGAAAUUUAAAAAAACACUAGAAAUUAAAGUUUUUGUUUUCUUCAAAAUAAAAACAAAAAAAAAAUAAUAUACAAAAAAAAAAUAUUAGUUUACCUUUAAUUUCAUUCAACAAAAAAUUAGUAAUGAUAAUUUUUUAAGAGUAUUUAAUUUUAAAAGUAAUAUUUGAAGAUAGGUAAAAUAAAAAUUUUAAAAGUGUUUGUAUUAAAAUUUUGAAUAUAAAUUCACAACUCCCAUCAUAAUACAUUGAUAUUUAAAAUAAAAAAAACCCCUAAUGAUUUUUUUUUAUUAUAUUAAACAUGUAAAAAAAGUACAUUUUUGUUUAAUUAAAAAUUUAAACCAUUAAAAUUGUUUUUUUCUUUAAUAAAUAAUGUUUUUAAAGAGUACAUUAUACCUAUUUUUUUGGGCAUGUUAUUUAAUAAUUGCUACCAAAGUCAUAACAAUGACAAUAAAAAACUAAAUAUAAUAGUGCAUAUUUGCUAUCUAUAGUGGUACUUUUAGUUACUAACAUUAUUAUUUUUAAGUAAAAAUAAUGUUAUUAUUUCCUGACAUAUUUGAUGUAGAGGUUGAAGUGAUGACAGUGCUAAAUAAGUUAGUACAUCCUAUUAUCUACAGUGAUAUUUUUAGUUACUAUUAUUAUUAUUUUUAGGUAAAGACAAUGUUACUAUCUCUAGUGAUACAUUUGAUGUAUGGAUUGGAGUGGUGAUAGAUGAUGUAACAACUGUGUAUAUGGGGUCAAUCAAGUGUAAUUGUCCUCUUAUUUGUAUAGAUCGCAACCCACCUCCGACAGUGGUUGAAAAGUAGUCUUGGAAGCAUAUCACCAAAGGGACAUUUUGAAUAAUAAUUUGGGAAAAAGCGUUCAUCAGACAUAGCCUAAAAAGUAUAUCCCAACAUUGCUGUUUAUUUAUCAAGCAAAUUACAUUAUUAUUGUCACACCAAACCUCCAAAUUCAACAUGUACUUAGCCUAUAUACUGGAUGGUGAACGGGCUAAAACAAGCUCUUACUGAUUACAGAUAGAUACUGUCCUACUGACACUUUUACUCUGAUACCUUGAAAUGAGAAAUUUGGAGGUUUUCCACAUCAAGCUUCUUGAAAUUGCUGCGCCUUCUCGCAGAAAAGAACUUUCCCCAGUUGUAUGCUCUGUAAUUUUGCUUUUCCCCCUUCGUCAGCUCCUCCAAGGGCUUCACCCAAACAUGCUGCCCGGGAUUGAAAGAGAACGGAAUCGAAAACCUUUCCCUCUCUGAAUUCACAGUCACCCUGUGCUCCACACUUUCAUAAGUAUCAUUGCUCCAGGCCUGGUUUAAUAUCAGUAUAAUUAGCCAAAUGGGUGUAACUGAGCCAAACAGUACUGAUAAGCAUGUACUUAUAAUUCGAAGUUCUUGGGUGGUACCUGAAUUAUAUCCCCAACAUUGAUGAUAUAAGCAUCUGGGGUGGGCUUAACUCGAAUCCAUUCUCCAUCGGUUUUUCGCUUUACUUCCAACCCUCCGACAUCAUCCUGAGCAAGGAUGGUUAAGGCUCCGCCAUCCUUGUGGCGACCAACGCCCAGAGCUAGGUGAGGGAUGGGGCAAGGUGGGUAGUGUUUGAGGCGGAUGAAGUUCGUUGAUUCUUCAAAGAAAAGAUUGAAUCUGUUUUCCGGCAAACCUAAACUCAACGAGAUGAGUCCCAAUAGCUUGAAAGCUAAUUUUUCCAUUUCUCUAGCAUACUCUUCACAUACCUCCCUAUAUAAAUCAGUUCAAUUAGAACAAAAAAGAUAAGUAAUUCACUGUAGUUAUUGUGCCUUAGCUGGUGAAAUUUGUACCUUAAUUCAGGAGGGUACUGAGGCCACUGAUUGGUCAGCUCUUUGAGCUCCUUGUCGUCAGGAUCAGGCGAAACAGGGAUCACGGUGGGGGUUGACACCACGAAAUCAAAGACUUCCUUCCAGUCCCUAACGUUCUUGGUAAGCUCCGAAUCAAAAUACCCCAAAGGAUUCACCUCAUCUCUACUCACCUUCCUCUUCUCCUCCAAUGGCAGAGCGAAGAAUUUCCUCGCCGCACCCUCAAUUUUCCGGCGAGACUCCGAGGGCACCCCAUGGUUGAUGACUUGAAAGAAGCCCCAAUUCUUGGAUGCGUCAGCUAUUUGAGAAACAUGGUUGGAAGCAUUGGCGGAAGAGAGAUCAAUGAGGGGGAUGCCUUCAGCUUCGAUAACAGCGAGCUUAGGCCUAUGUUGGGUGUCUUGGAUGAAGGCUGGAUCGACCUCUCCCAUGGCUGUGGUAGUGGUUGGAAGUUAGAAAUGGGGGUUAAGCACUGGUGGCAGCAGGUGUAGAUGGUGACGGGAAAUUGGGCCACACGGCAGGUGGUUUUUGUAGUGUGGUGGGGUUGGUUUAGUACAUUGAACCUGGGCAUAAUUUGGGUUACUUUUUAAGGUUUGGUUGAGGGUGUGACCUCAUGGAUUGCGCAUAUAUUAAUGAUAAUUGGUCAAGUGAUACUGCAGUCCCAAAGGGAAUCUCUCUCAAUGAUUUUGCCGACAGCUCCCUCCACAUUAAAAUGUUUCAUCCGUAUUUGAAUUGGAGUCUAAUGCUCUGAUCAAAGAUACCUUUCGCUUAGUCGAUCAGUGUUUGAUUACUAAAUAAGAUGGUGUCACAAAUAUUUUUGAAUUCUAGGUCAAAGUUAACGAGUGCAAAGGUUAUCAAUUUGAUAAGAUAAAUUGUUUAGAAACACUUUUAAAAAUGAUUCUUGAAAAAAUAUUUUUUUAAGUUUAAAAACCAUUUUUAAAUUUAGAAUAAAGGUUUAUUUAAAAACUUAUAUUAUUAUAAACUUAUUUUUUAUAUUUUUAAAAAAUAAUUUUUAUAUAUAAUAUUUUAUUUUCAAUCAUUUUUUACAUUUUUUUUAAAAAGGUAAAACUACUAAAAAAAAUACUUAAAAUAAGUUAUCAACAAAUGUCUUAUUGUCAUGACAAUUUUCAAAAACAUGUUUUAGAAACAAUUGAAAAUCAAAGUAUUUUCAUAUUCCUUUAUUCCCAAAAACAAAAAAUUAUUCUUGGUAACGGUUCCAAAUGUAUCCUUCAUUUGUUUAUCUUAUUAUAUAAGUUUUAAAAUAAAAUACAAAAAAUAAUUUUCAAUGAUAAUUUGUUACGGUUUUAUCCAAAAUUUUUAUAUUUUUAAUCAAUUAAUUUAUUGAUACGUAUAUUUCUCAUGAGACCUUUUUCUCACUAAAAACAUUACUUUUUUAUAAGACAUUUUUAAUAAAUUAAUUUUGAUACGUAGAUUAAAAAUGUCUUAUAACAAUAUAAAUUAAUUAAAUCAUUAGUUGGCCAUUUGGUCUCAUGCUUACACAACGACUUCUCUCAUGGCUGCCUAACAUGAAUGAACAACUCUCUACAACAAGUAAGGUACACUUAAUUAAAAAAUUAUUUAAUUUAAAGAUGUUCGAGAAUGAGAAUUUCAAGUAGCACUUGAAUGAAUUUAAUGAGACCACAAAUUAAUUAAAUUCGAUGGUUAUUAAAUUUGAUGAUAAGAUUCAAGCCUUAUUAAUCCUCGGUUAAUUGCUUGAGAGUUGGAAAGACACAAUCACCUCAAUCAAUAGUUCAUCCAAAAAAUCAAAAUUGGUGUUUUCGAAUGUAGUAGACAUGAUUAUAACCGAGGAGAUCAAGAAGCAUGAAGAAGGUUUUUCAAAUUCAUGAUCAACAUUAAAUAUGGAGAGCAAAGCUAGAAAUCAUAAUAAAGGUAAUAGGCGUGAUAAAUCCAAAUCGAGGAAUGAUAGGUUGAAAUACAAAAAUUCCAUAAAUUCCUAACAUCAGACGAGUAAGAACAAUAUCAAAUGUUGGAAUUGUGAUUGGAGCUAAAAUAUGUGCUCAAAUGACAUAUAUUUGAUAUGAUUUAUAUAUCAUAAGACACUCAAAUCAUCUGACUCUACCCAAAUUGAUACUAAGGUCCUAGCCAUGAGUUUAACUUGUAUUUUGGAGAUUUAUCUCAGGUUUAAGAAAAGAAAAUGGUGUAAGGUGAAUCAAUUUAGAUUUUGAAAGAAUAAGAAGGGGUUAAAUGAGAAAAUGAACAAGUCAAGACUCAUGAAAUAUGAAGAAAGGAAAGACGAGGAUAUCGUGAGUUUGGGAGAUGAGGAAUGACCAUUAUCAUGAAGUAAGAAAUAAGGCAUACAAACAUAGAAAAUGAGGCAUGAAACAAAAUUCAUCAAGUUUGCAUGGAAAUUUGGGACUCAAAAUCUGGUAAUAACAUAUACUCUGACUUUAAAAUGAAAUUUGGAGCAUUUCCCAAAGUCCAUUUUAGGCAAGCUAUAUAUUGUUUUGAAGCAUGGGAAGUUAGGAAUUCAAAGCUUCAAACAAUGUCCAAAUUAGAGCUAAAUAAGGAAGUUAUGCACAUUUAAAGCAAACUAGUUAGAGAGAAAAACUGAGUUCGAAAUUGGUCACUUGGAUUUGAAAUGGUUUUUGUCCAUUUAAAACUCAAAGAAAUGAAAGAAAACUUUUGGCAUUGGCUAAGUUUGAAUCUCUUUACCUAUUUCAAACAAGAGGCAUACAUUUCAAAGUCAAAUGAACAUACAUGGGCAGUGAGUGAGUUCAAAAUUCACUAUGAAUUUUGAACUCACCUUGUUGAUUUCAAAUUGGACCAUUUAUUUCCCACUUAUGAGUUCAAAAUUGAUUUGAACUCACCCAAAUUUCGAACUCAACCAUUAGUGACCGAUUUUAGGCUCUGAGACAUGUCAAAACGAGUUUCAAAUGCCUUUAUCCAAUUCAAAACGCAUCAUACUCAUUUAGAACUCGUAAUUUUUGGGGUUUUUUUUAAAGGUUAUUUAUGACUUUUCGUUACAAUAAGUGGCCAAUGAGAGUGUACCACAUGUUAGGUCAUUGAAGUUACUAUAAAAACUCUUUUAGUUAUAGUGUUUAGGUGAUCUUCCAAGAGUUAGACAUUUCGUGGGGAAGAAUACGAGAACUUUUGGUUUAUUUAUUUUCUUCUUUAUUGAAUGUAUUGUUUUUAGUUUCCUUUAUUUCAAAUUAUGAAUUUUUACUUUAUUAUGGAUUGUGAAUGUGACAUUACCCCCAUGAGAGGAUAAAAAGCUAACUUGGGGCUUAAACAUAAAAACUAACGGUUAGAAAACUUAUAGGGACAUUAGGUAAAUUAUUAUAACAAUAAGAUUAAUUAAUGGUUGAGUUACAAUUUAUUAAUUUUUUAUCCUAUCAUUGUGAGUUAGUUUAGAGAAUAAUAUAGUAGGUGAUUAUUCGAUACUAGUGAUUCUUGGUAACUCUUGAUCAUUAGUAAUCCUGAUUUUUCUUAUAGUUAUCUGCCCCAAAACGAAGUUAGAAGGAGUAGGAAAUGUUAAAAAGCCAAACCUUAAAUUGAUAAUAAUUUCAUUCAUUUGAUGUGUUGACAAAUCAGAGGGUUGGCUGCAUCCAUCAACUCUCUUUGUGUUCGCCGUGAGCACUUGGGUGAAUGCACUAUAAGGUUAGAGUAUGCACAUUUCUUAACAGCAAUUGCUUUUAGGAGAAUUGGUAGUGCCUGAGGUCCUACAUGAUAGUUUUAAGAACUUGUUUUAAAAAGAAAAAUUAAGUUUUAGAUGUACUUUUGAGUUAUAGGGCUCAAGUUGAUUGCAAGCGGCCAAGAAUCCCAAAACCCUAAGAUCACUCUAGUUAAGAAACCUUUGUUAUCUCUAUUUCUAUACCUUAAGUUAUAUUGUGGAAAACCUCAAACUUAAAUCAAUUAAAUUAAAAAUCAAUAUUCGUUUUGUUAUUAAUUUAGUUUUUUUUUUUUUUUACUUAGUUUCACUUCAUAAAAGUUAAUUCACAUAUUGUUUUUCGCUUUAGGAUUUAAAUAAAAACAAUUCAUUUAUCCUAGUAUUGAAAAAUUCCAUAUGUUAGUCCCUAAGGAUGAUACCCAAAGAAUUACAAAAACCAUAGUGACUAUUUCUCUAGUUUUUUCUUAACCAAAGUUACUAUGUAAAAAGGCUUAGUAUUUUACAUAAGAGAGAAGAUUGAUCAAAUUGUGGAAAGAAGAGACAUUAUAAAAAUGAGUGUAAGGCUGCCAAGAAGGAUAAGGAUGGUGACAACAAGACCAAUGCAAAUGUUGUGUCAAAAGAAUUAGAUGAUGCUCUUAUCUGCUAUUUAGAGAGAACAACAUAAUCGUGGGUAUUAGAUUCAGGGGCAUCGUUCCAUGCUACCUCAAGUGGAGAAUUAUUUGAGAAUUAUGUCUCAGGUAAUCUAGGGAAGAAGUAUCUAGGUGAUGACCAAGCAUGUGUUGUUAUUGGCAUAAGUGAAGUGCAUAUCAAAUAUUUGAAUGGAUUUGUAUGGAAUUUGGACAAUGUGAGGCACAUUUCAAACCUGAGAGAUAAUUUUAUUUCCAUUGGGUAGUUAACAAAAGAUAGUUAUGUGACAACUUUUUUAGGUGACACAUGGAAUAUCUCAAAGGGAGCUAUUUGCCAUGGCAAGAAGAAUGAUACUCUUUACAUGACAAUGAAUGGUUGUGGGUUUAUUACAAUUGUUGAGAGCAAAGAAGAUUCGAAUUUAUGGCAUUAAAGGCUUGGUCACAUGAGCAAUGAGGGGUUGGAAAUUAUACACUCAAAUGGGAAGUUGUCAAGUUUGAAAUAAGUUGACAUUGACAUGUGUGAAAAUUGCAUACUUGGGAAACAAAGAAGGGUUAGCUUUAAGAAAGUUGGAAAAACUCCAAAAGAAGUAAAACUGAAGUUAGUUUAUACAAAUGUUUGGGGACUUGCUUCAAUUUCAUCUAUCGGUAGAAGAUUUUUUUUUGUGACCUUCAUUGAUGAUCAUUUGAGGAAAGUGUGGGUAUACUUUAUGAUACACAAAUGAGAAGUGUUUGAUGUAUUCAAGAGACGGAAAACAAUGGUGGAGAAUAAGACAUGUAUGAGAGUCAAGAAGUUACGGUUUGAUAAUGGUAGGGAGGAUGAAGAAUUUGAGUUCAAGAAGAUCUAUUAUGAAAAUGGAAUUAAAUUAGAGAAGACCGUGCCAAGGACACCUUACCAGAAUGGUAUAGCAUAAUGAAUGAACAAGACAUUGACUGAAAGAGAAAAAAAACGUGUAUACAAGCAAGGUUGUCAAAGGAGUUCUUGGCAAAAGCAAUCAACAAAACAACUUACUUGAUCACAAAAUACUGGAAAAAGUGUGAACUAAAAAAAAGGUAAAGUUUUCUCAUUUGAGGGUAUUUGGUUGUGUAUCAUAUAUAUAUAUAUAUAUGUGUGUGUGUGUGUGUGUGUGUGUGUGUGUGUGUGUGUGUGUGUGUGUAUACAUAUUAGUGAUCAUGACAUAAACAUACUUGAUGCUAAAUCACUAAAAUGUACUUUCUUAGCUAUGGUGUUGAUAAUUUUGGUUAUUAGUUUUGGGAUGACCAGAGUAAGAAAGUGAUUAGAAGUAAGGAUGUCGAUUAGAAGUAAGGAUGUCAUAUUUAAUGAGAAAGUUUUGUAUAUGUAGAGAGAUGCAACACAUUCCAAUAGUCUGGUACAACUUGAACCUAUUUACUUUGAGCCAAAUGAUGUCCCAUUGAAUAACAUGACAAAUAAGACAGGUCAUAAUCAUUAGAUUGAGGAAAAUACUGCAUAAGAUGUUAAUAUAUCACAAGAUCUAGUUUCAAUUCCUACUUUGAGGAGAUCUAACAAGCCACAUGUACCAAAUAGGAAGUAUUUAAAUUAUUUGCUACUAAUAGAUGGAGGUGAACCUAAAUGUUAUGAUGAGGCAUGUCAGAUGGAAGAUAAUAGAAAGUGGGAGCUUACGAUGAAAAAUGAAAUGAAGUCCCUUAUUCUUAACCAGACUUGGAAGCUAGUCGAGUUACCAAUGGGUAAGAAAGUUUUUCAUAAUAAGUGGGUGUAUUAAAUUAAGUAGGAGCAUGGUGGUUCUAAGAGAUAUAAGGCUAGAUUGGUGGUCAAAGGGUUUCAAUAGAAGAAAAAUGAUUGACUAUACAUACAUUUUCUCUCUAGUUGUGAAACUAACUAUUAUUCAAUAUGUUUUGAGUAUUGUAGCAAUAAAGAGUUUACAUAUAGAACGGUUAGAUGUGAAGAUAGCUUUCCUCUAUGGUGAUUUUGAUGGGGAAAUUAGUAUAUAUGCAACAACUAGAGGGUUUUGUAGUGAAGGGUAAAGAGAAUCUGGUGUGCAAAUUAACUAACAGUCUGUAUGAUUUAAAACAAGCCCCAAGACAAUGGUAUAGAAUAUUUGGUAGUUUCAUGCAAAAGAAUAGGCAUCUCAAGUGCAAUGCAGACCAUUGUUGUUACUUUAAGAGAGUUGGUUCUAUCUAUAUUAUUUUGUUACUUUAUGUUGAUGGCAUGUUAGUAGUUGACGCAAAUCUAGAUGAAAUUAACAAGUUGAAGAAAUAGUUGUCUAGUGAAUUUGAAAUGAAGGACUUGGGAGCAACAAAGUAGGUACUUGGGAUGAAGAUUAGCAAAGACAAAUAAACGAGCAUCUUAUGGUUAUCUUAGGCUAAGUAUAUAUACUCAUAAAGUAUUGCAAAUAUUCGACAUGAGUAAUGUAAGGCAAUUAGAACAUCAUUAGCAAAUCAUUUCAGGUUGUCUAAUUAAGCAUUGCCCAUGGGCAGAUGAGGAAAAAGACUUCAUGGCUAAGGUUUCAUAUGCCUUAGCCAUUGGAAGUUUGAUGUAUGUUAUGAUAUGCACGACACUAGACAUUGCCUAUGCAGUGGAAGUUGUGAGCAAAUUUAUGUCAAAUCUAAGUAAGUAGCAUUAUGAAGUAGUGAAAUGGAUGCUUAGGUACUUACAGGGUACUACAAAAAAAUGUCUAUGUUUCGAAAGGGGUGAGUUAAAAUUGCAAGGAUAUGUGGAUGUUGAUUUUGCCAAUGAGAUAGAUAAUUGGAAAAGUACUACAUGGUAUGUGCUCACUUUGGGUACUAUUGCUAUUAGUUUGAUUUCUCAAUUGUAGAAGAUUGUUAUUUUAUCUACAAUUGAAGUAAAAUAUGUGGCUAUCACAGAAGCUAGAAAAGAAAUGAUUUGGCUAUAGAGUUUGUUAGCAAAGUUAGGAUUCAAAUAAGAUAUGAAUGUUUUGCAUAGUAAUGGCCAAAGUGCAAUACAUUUGGCUAAGUAUUCAACAUUUCAUUCAAGAACUAAUUAUAUUACACUUCAUUAUCACUCCAUCAGGUUUUUGCUUGAAGAUAGGGUGUUAACAUUUGUGAAGAUACAAGGUAGCAAGAAUCCGGUUAACAUGUUAACUAAAAUAGUGAUAAUAGAAAAAUUGGAGUUGUGUGCAACUUCAAUUGGUCAAUAAUGAGAAUAGGUUGUUUGAGUGCACCCUCAUACCCAUUAAUCAUUGAAAGAGAAUGUUUACUUGUGUUUUAGUCUUCAAGUGGAAGAUUGUUGGAUUGUGAAGCUUGAAUCAGUUUUAUUAUGCCCCGAUCAACUUGUAGGGAUUGAAGGGCGCAAUGCUCUAUGGAGAAUUUAUUUAUUUAUUUUUAUGUAAUGAUUGACAGGUUUAAUCUUAUUAUAUAUUUUAACCCUUUUAUGUUUUAAGGUUUUGUUUUUUAAUGUGUAGUUGCAAUUGAGAGGUUUUUUGAGAGCUUUGCUAUUCCACUCCUUCUCAUCCCUUUUAUAGUGAAUUGUUGUAUGUUGGUGUACUCCAUUGAUGUAGGGAUCAAAUUGAUCGUAAAACCAUUUUUUUUUUUUUUUUGUUUCUAUUUAUACAUGAGUGUGUGCGUGAUUUGGUUAACAUCAGUUAUCUUAAUAAUUCUAUUCCUGGAAUAGGAAGAAAAUGAUGAUUCCAUUAAUGUAGCAUGCAUUGCUGCUUAUUUAUCAAGCAAAUUACAUUAUUAUUACACCAAACCUCCAAAUUCACCACGUACGUAUCGUAUAUACCGCAUGAUAAGAUUUAGAGAGGUAAAACAAGCGCUUAUUGUUUACGGAUAGAUAAUGUCCCACCGACCUUUUACUCUGAUACCUUGAAAUGAGAAAUUUGGAGGUUUUCCACACCAAGCUUCUUGAGAUUACCGCGCUUUCUCGUAGCGAAGAACUUUCCCCAGUUGUAUGCUCUAUACUUUGGUUUUUCCCCCUUCGUCAGCUCCUCCAAGGGCUGCACCCAAAGAUGGUGCGCGGGAUUGAAAAAGAACGGAAUCGAGAACCUUUCCCUCUCUGAAUUCAGUAUCACUCUGUGCUCCACACUCUCAUAAGUUUCGUUGCUCCAAACCUGGUUUAAUAUCAGUAUAAUUAGCCAAAUAGGUGCAAAAUUCGGUGAGCGAAAUAACUGAUAAGCAGGUGCUUAUAAUUCAAAGUUCUUGGGUGGUACCUGAAUUAUAUCCCCAACAUUGAUGAUUUAAGCAUCUGGGGUGGGCUUCACUCGAACCCAUUCUCCGUCGGUUUUUCGCUUUACUUCCAACCCUCCGACAUCAUCCUGGGCAAGGAUGGUUAAGGCUCCGGCAUCCUUGUGGUGACCAACGCCCAGAGCUAGGUGAGGGACAGGGCAAGGUGGGUAGUGAUUGAAGCGGACGAAGCUCGUUGAUUCUUCAAAGAAAAGAUUGAAUCUGUUUUCUGGCAAACCUAAGCUCAGAGAGAUGAGUCCCAUCAGCUUGAAAGCUAGUUUUUCCGUUUCUCUCGCAUAUUCUUCACAGACCUCCCUGUAUAAAUCAGUUCAAUUAGAACAAAACAAACUAAGUAAUUUACUGUAGUGACUGUGCCUUAGCUGGUGAAAUUUGUACCUUAAUUCAGGAGGGUACUGAGGCCACCGAUUGGUCAGCUCUAUGAGCUCCUUGUCCUCAGGAUCAUCCGAAGCAGGGCCGAAGGCGGGGGUUCUCACCACGAAAUCAAAGACUUCUUUCCAGUCCCUAACGUUCUUGGUAUGCUCAGUAUCAAAGUACCCAAAAGGAUUCACCUCAUCUCUACUCACCUUCCUCUUCUCCUCCACUGGCAGAGCGAAGAACGUCCUCGCGGCAUCCCAAAUUUUCCGGCGAGACUCCAAGGGCACCCCAUGGUUGAUGACUUGAAAAAAGCCCCAGUUCUUGCAUGCAUCAGCUAUUUGAGAAACAUGAUUGGAAGCAUUGGCGGAAGAGAGAUCAAUGAGGGGGAUGCCUUCAGCUUCGAUAACAGCGAGCUUAGGCCUAUGUUGGGCGUCUUGGAUGAAGGCUGGAUUGACCUCUCCCAUGGCUGUGGUAGUGAUUAGAACUUAGAAAUGGCAAUUAUGCUCUGGUAGCUGCAGGUGAAGAUGGUUACAGGACUUGGGCAACUCGGCAGGUGGUUUUUAUAGCAUAAUAGGGGUGUUGGUUUAAUACCUUGAACCUGGACAUAAUAUGGGUUACGUGUUAAGUUUUAGUUCGGGGUGUGAGCUCAUGGGUUGCGCAUAUGUUAAUGAGAUUUGGUCAAGUGAUACCUAGCUAUUUCCACGGCACCCUCAAUAUUCAAAUAUUUCAUCCGUACUCGAUUUGGAAGGUUGAUUAGUAAAUCUGAUGGUGUAAUGUCUAUUUUUGAAUUCAAUGCUAUAUAUUUAACGGUGAAGAUAAGAAAAAUAGAAGAGUUGAUAACGUUGAAGAAAAAAUGCCAAAGUUUUAAGAAGGUAGAGUUUUGAUGAGAAAUAGGUAAAAUUAAAAUUGCAUUAUAAUAAUAUAAAUUAAUUAAAUCGGUAAUCACCCAUUUAAUCUCAUUCUUAUCCACAAUUGUUGAUAGUUGAUCCUACAAAAUUCUAAAAAAAUCUUCCACAAAGACAAAUCACAAGAUGUUCAAUAACAUAUAUGCUUUUGCACCAAAAAUUGUAUAAGGGAAAAAAAAAUGAUGCACAAAAAAAAAAAAAAAAAAAUUCUAUAUCUAAUAUUAUUUCAUAGGAAAACUAACUAUAAUAAAUUUUAAAAGCAAAGAGCGUUUUACCAUAUCUAAAUAAUAGAUUAUUAAAUUCUUUAUUUUUCAAUUGGAUAUUUUUUUUUAAAUUAGAAACAUCUAUAUAAAAAUAAAAAUCACUUUAAAAAAAUUUUAAAUUUAAGAUAAUAAAUUUUUUAUAAUAUUUUAAUUCUUUUAAAUAAUUUUUAAAAUUAUUAUUUUUUCAAUAUAAAAUUUUAAGAGUUUUUGUAUUUUAUAUAUAAGUUACUAAUAUUCUCUUAUUUUAAACAUAGAAAAUAAAAAAUGUAACCAAAUGAAUUAGAAAAUAAAAAAGUUGAAUAAAAAUAGUCUAACCAUCUUAAACCUAAUAAUGUUUGACAGAAAACACUUAAAUAUACCUUGUAAUUUUCCUCACUGGUCAGCUCCUCCGAAGGCUUCACAUUCACAUGGUGCGCCAGUAAGAAGAAGAAUGGAAUCGAAACCCUUUCCUUCUUGUGUCGACCCACACUGAGAGCGAGCUCCAGCCACGAGCACGAUGGAUGGUGAUUGAGUCGGAUGAAGCAUUAGCCUUCAAAGAAUUCAUUCAACCGAUCCCCCACCAAGCCUAAGCUUAAGGAGAUGAGUUCCAAGAACUUGUAAGCUAAUUUUUCUAUUUCUCUAAUAUAGUUUUUCCAAAUUUUCCUGAAAAUAAAUCAUUAUAUAAAAUAUAUCAAUACUCAAAAUAAAUUUAAUAAAAUCUUGUCUUGCCUUUAUGUCUCUAGUUGAGUCUGUUUGGCUUCAAGCUGUGCAUUUAUGUCUCCGGUUGAGUUUGUUAGGCUUUGAGUCGCACCUUUACACCUCUAGUUGAAUAUGUUCGACUUUGAGCCAUGCCUUUACGUUUUGAGUUGAGUCUAUUCGGCUUUGAGCCACGCCUUUACAUUUUAGUUGAAUCUGUUCGAUUUCAAGCCGUGCAUUUACAUCUAUAAUUGAGUCUAUUCAGCUUCAAAUUGCAUCUUCACAUUUUUUGUUGAAUCUGUUCAGCUUCAAGCCACUCCUUUAUGUCUCUAAUUAAAUUUGUUUGGCUUUAAGUUUCACCUUUAUGCCUUUAAUUGAGUUUGUUCGGCUUUUAGUUGCGCUUUUACGUUUUGAGUUGAGACUAUUUGGCAUCGAGUUGCAACUUUAUGUUUCAAGUUGAAUUUGUUUAGCUUCAAAUCGUGCCUUUACAUCUCUAGUUGAGUUUGUUCGACUUCAAGUCAUGCCUUUAAGUCUCUAGUUGAGUUUUUUUAGCUUUGAGCUGCGCCUCUACAUCUCUAGUUGAAUUUGUUUGGCUUCGUAUCACAUCUUAUGUUUCGAAUUGAGUUUAUUCGACUUCGAGUUGUGCCUUUAUGUUUCUAGUUGAGUCUAUUCAGCUUCAAGCUGCACCUUUACUUUUUGAAUUGAGUUUGUUCGGCUAUGAGCAAUGCUUUUACAUUUCAAGUUAAGUCUGUUUGGCUUUGAGUUAAGCCUUUACGUCUCUAGUUAAGUCUAUUCAACUUCGAGCCGCAUCUUUCAUUUUUGAGUUGAGUGUGUUUGGCUUUGAACCACACCUCUAUGUUUCAAAUUAAGUCUAUUCAUCUUCAAGUCGCACUUUUAUGUCUUUAGUUAAGUUUGUUCAGCUUCGAGCAAUGCCUUUAGGUUUGAAGUUGAGCCUAUUUGACUUCAAGCCACACCUUUACAUCUCUAGUAGAGUUUGUUUGGCUUCAAGCUAUGCCUUUUUGUUUCGAGUUUAGUCUGUUCAGUUUUGAGCCAUGCCCUUACGUUUCAAGUUAAGCCUAUCCGGCUUCAAGUCGCGUCUUUACAUUUUGAGUUAAGACUAUUCGACUUCAAGCUAUGUCUUUACAUCUUUAGUUGAGUUUGUUCAACUUCAAGCUACGCCUUUACGUUUUGAGUUAAGUCUAUUCGGUUUCAAGUUGUGUCUUUAUGUUUUGAGUUGAGUCUGUUUGGCUUUAAGUCACACUUUUACGUUUUGAGUUGAGUCUCUUCAACUUUGAACUACACCUUUAUAUAUCCAGUUGAGUCUGUUCGAAUUUGAGUCACACCUUUGAGUUUUGAGUUUAGUCUGUUCGGCUUUGAGCCACACUUUUACAUCUCUUGUUGAGUCAUAUUUAGCUUCAUUCUACGCCUUUACAUUUCCAAUUGAGUUUAUUUAGCUUUGAGUUGUGCCUAUGUUUUAAAGUUUGUUCAAUUUCGAGCCACAUCUUUAGCCUUAUUAAGUUUGUUCAAGUUUAGUUGUGCCCUCACCCAUAUCCUUAGUUUUAAGUUUAUUCAGCUUCAAGCCAUGCGUUUGUCCUUGUUAAGUAAGUUCGGCUUCGAGCCACGUCUUAGUUUUGAAGUUGUUUAUCCUUGAGCCACACCUUCCUUUCUUUUUUAGUUCACUUAGGGUUUUCUCCUUCCUCGAGUUUAUUAGUGCAUUCGAGUUCAUUUUUCUUUAAGUUGAUCACUCUUUAUCUUUGUUGUCCUUGAAUUGUUCAUUGUGUCACAAUUCAGUGUUUUUCAUUGCAUAUAUACUCCCCACAUUGUCUAUAUUUUAUCCUGAUGAGUUUCUUUCCCAAUACGUGACCUCGAUCUUUGAGUUUAGCAUGCCAUGUGCUAAGACAAUUUCGAGUGCUCUUUUGUUCUUCAAUGCAAUUCACUUCAUACCAUUCAUCACUCAUGUUUCACUGUUUGUGUUCAUUUCAUUCGUGAUCUACAUCGGAGAGAGACAUAUUUGUUGGCCCUUUACUUUGUCCUAUAAUACAUAUUUUCACAUUUUUUUAUUUUCCUCUUGCCCCAUACUCAUUUUUGGUGCUCGUUUUGGAUCCUUCUUGUUUGAUCAUUCAUGGUCCCUUAUUGGUCCACGUUUACUUGACUCAUUAUUCAUUUUUUAGUCGCAUUUUAGAGGCCAUGUAGGAGGAAUUUUGAGUACAUGCAAGCUUAUUUUUUAGAGACCCUUAGUAGUUGGCUCAUAUGAGGACACGCCUCCUCACACUACUACAAAAAUCAUUUAUGGUGUCACUAUUUAUAGUGACACUUUUAAAAUAAUGACACCAUAUAGCUUAAAAUCCACAAAGGUGACACAUCAUAUAAAAAUUUUCAAUUAGGAUCAAUGAUAUUAAUUUUAGGUUUAUAAUGUCAGUUGCCAAAAAAUGACACCAUAUAAAAUAUUUUUUUUCUAAAUAUUAUAACUCAAUUGGCCCACUUUGAGAAUAAUGAUAGUAUAUAAAAAAAUCAUUGUUUCCACAUACCCACAAUCCAAAAAAAUUUCAUUCCAUAACCCUAACCAAAAUUUUUUUCUACCUCUUCUCACACCCAUAGUUAACACACAACUGUUCUUCUCUGCUUUGUGGACUCUCAGGUAACCCAAAAUCUCUUAGAUCUAUCAUUUUCAUUUAUUUUUUUAUUAAUGUCAAAAUCUUUAUGAACACAAUUGAUUUAUGUUUAUUGAUUUAAUAUAUUUGUAAUAUGGAUUGUGUAAAUAGUGUUUUUUUAUUGAGUUGUAGGAAAGUAAAAACUAGGUUUAACAUUCCACCAUAUCUUCUGGUUCAUUGUUAAACCCAUAAACCCCAAAAUGAAUGAAAAUAAGAAAAAUGAAUUAUUUUUAAAUAUCUUUUAUACUCAAGAUAAUAUAUAAACAUUUUACAAUACAAAAUUUUUUUUUGAUCUUGUAGGAAAUUUCCUUUGAUAGGAUUUUCUGUUUGUUUUCAAGGAAUAUUGUAGUAUAUUGUGAUGAAGAUAUUGAUUGGUGUUAUUUGAAAAAUAAUUUUUUAGAAAAUUAUUCUCAAUAUUAUCAUCUCCCACAAAAUGAAAAAUGAAAUAGUUUUCAUAUCAUAUUGGAGUCGGUUUGGAAUGUUGGAAUUAACAAUGAGAAAUUAAUUUUAUUUUUUAUUUAUUAAUGUAAAUGAAUUGUUUUUUUUUUAAAUUUAAAUAGGAAUGAAAAUUUUUAUAAUUAUAAAAAUGAUCAAAUAUUAUAUUUUGAUUUUUUUUUCUAUUCUUUUACAUGGUAUUAUGGUUAAUAUCUCAUCUUGUUCUAUAUAUAUUUUUUAUAUUCUUAAAAUAUGUUUUUUGCUUUUUGUUUUUACUUUCUUUUCUUAUUGUUUUUAUAUGUGUUGACCAAAAUUUAGAGUAAUUUGAGAUUGGCGAUAAAAUUUUCCUUUCAAGGUUAGAAAAUUUCUAUAAAAUCAUUUUAUUACAUAAUUUUUUCAAUUCCUUCCAUAAAACUCUUCCUUUUUCCUUUUUUAAGAAGAUGUUUGAUAAUUUUCUUUUGAUUUCUAUGAAAUUUCCUUUUAUUGGACUGUUUGUUUAUUUUCUAAGAAUAUUAUAGUAUGUUAUGAUGAGGAUAUUGGUUGGUGAUAUUUGAAAAUUAAUUUUUGAGAAAAUUAUUCUCAAUAUUGUCAUCUGCCACAAAAGGAUUUUAAAAGUAUGUUUUAUUUUUGCCUUCUUUUCUUAUUGUUUUUAUAUGCAUUGACCAAACUUUGGAGUAAUUUGAGAUUGAUGAUGAAAUUUUCCUUUCAAGGCUAGGAAAUUUCUAUAAAAUCCUUUUAUUACAAUUUUUUUUUUUUUCCUAUUCCUUCCAUAAAACUCUUCCUUUUCUUCAUUUUUCUUUUUUGAUGUUUGAUAAUUUAUUGAUCUAAAGAAUAUUAAAAGUAAAAAAUUUAAAAUAUUGAAUAUUUUUUCCUUUGAUGUUGUUAUUUUAUUAUUAUUUUUAUUUGAACAUAUUUUUCAUAUCCAAAUUUUCUAUUAAUUAUUUUACUUUUAAAAAAAAUAUCAAUUGAAGUUAUGACUGAAAAAUCAAUAAUUUUUAUGAAAGGUUCUUUAAUUCUUUCUCAUACUAAUUUUUCUCUUAACAUUUCUUAAUAGUGAAUUAGGUUUUUUUGUUUUAUAUACACAAUUUUCAUGCUUGUUAUAAUAUCAUGUCCUAUCAUAUUAGUAGUUGAAAACAUUUUUAUAUUUUGUUACUAAAAUUUUAUUUUAUAUAAUUUACAUGAAUUUUAAUGGACAUUGUUAUUUCACAAAAUGAACAUUAAAAAAAAUAUUGAAAUUAAGAAAAUCCUUCCAAGAAAUAAAAAAAUAUAAAAAGAAUUGGAUGUUAAAAAUGAUUUUUAAAAGCAUUAUGAAUUAUAAAAAAUAAAUUUAAAAGAUUAGUAUUUUCUAAAAUUUUAGAUUUAUAUUUUGAUUUUGUAGUUUUGAUUUAUUUCAUAUUUUCUUGAAUUGUUUUUAUUUGAGUUCAAAUGUGACUACUUUGUUAUGAGAUUCAUUAAAAGGAUAAUUGUUGAUUCUACAGUUAUUGCAUUAAAGGUUUUACUCAUUUAAUGAAUUGUACAUAGUUUCAUACUUCUAAUUAUUGUGAUAUUAAUGUUAUUUUCAUUUGAUUUUAGUUUGAUGACAAAAAACAUAUUCUCAAGUAGACUUUGAUGAAAUAAGAGGAGAAUGGAUUGCUUUUGUGUUAUAACUAAUCAUGAAUCAUGUUGAUGUAUCGUGAUCAUGCAUGGUGAGUCCCUUAGUUGUUAUAUAAAUUUUCCAUUGGUAUUGUAUAACAUUACUUAUUCUUUAUGAACUAUUUUUAUAUCAAAAUAGGAAAAAGAAAAAAGGAAACAUUAGUACUUAGAUUUGUUUAUUUUUUUAUAACAUCACUAUGGACCCCGCAUUUUCGGCUCGAUGCGUUUCCCACUCGAUGGCGAGCUCGAUUUUUAAUUUUGAAAAAUGAUUUUUAUUCAUUAAAAAUGACUUGGAGUCGCCACUUAUUUUUGUUUUAUUUUUAAAGGGUAAACAAAAUAAGAAAAAAAAACCCUAAGUGUGACUCCUUAUUUUAGAAAAGGCGAUCUACGAAAAAACCGGAUUGGGCUCGGGGGUUAGGUUACUUAUCGGGAAGGUACGGUAAAGACCGUAGCACCCCUCUAAGUCCCUAAAAUCGGGUCUUUACUAAUAGAAUGAAGCUGACGUGGCAGUCAACAAGAAAAUCGAUGAAUAGUCAAAUCAAUCAUGCACAAUAUGAGAAGCAAAACAUGUAUAAAGAAUGAGCGAAAUAUGAAUAGAUGCGUACCUGGACGGCAAUCACGAACGCGCUAUCAUGAAACAUGGUUAGUGAACAAUGAACAGAUAUAAUUAAGCGCAUAUCAAGGAAUAGAGUAAAUCAAUCAUGCAUAGCAAAUAAAUAAAUCAAUUAGUUAAUCGAUUAUAAAUCACAUAUGUGGGGCCCCACCAAAGUCCAUUUAUUUUGCAUGAUUUAAUUCCAAUAACUCCAUUACUUGGAAUUACGGAAAUGAAUUCUUGCUUAUUUUAAAACGUUUUAAAACGAAGGAGAUGUGGAAAUUAUUUGCUAGAAGGAAAGAUGACAACAAAAUUUUAUUGGAAAUGAGAUUUUUGAGUGAUCCUAAAAAUUCUAAAGAUGAAAAUUUGAAAAAUAAAUAAAUAAAUAAGAAUAAAAUAAAAUUAUUUGAAAAUCUAGAAAUUGGAAACUAUUUGAAAACGGGAAAUUUGGAAAUUAAUUUAAAAUUGAAGAUAAAGAAAUAAAUAGAUAAAUAAAAAAAUAAAUAAAGGACACGUGACUCAAAAUGUGGUCAUGCAUAGUUGCUUGUAAAUUGGACAGCCAGUUGCUUCUCAUACUCUCAGCGUCAAGAUGUUCCUUGAUGUAGUUGCCCCAUGUGUCAUCCUUAGCCGUGAUAAUGCAUGUGUUUUCAUCCCAAUUAAAGUCACUUUGAUCAAGAAGUGCCUUGAUAGUGACAUAUUGCAUCCUCAAGACAUCAUACCGAUUCCUCAGUUGGUCCUUAUCCAUGGAUUCCCGCGAAAUAAAUCUGUUACCAGAACAUUGUAACCAUUGCAUGCAACGCGAUAUGCGGAGUCCCUUGUGGAUGAAUUUUCGAAGCCAAAGGCAUCAAACAAGAGCAGUAUCCCUGCCAACUGCGUGUUCAUCCAGCCGCUCAAUCACGCCACUAACAUGGGCACAGCGGAAAGCAUCAACACAACCUUAAUUCCUCUCUUGUAGCUGUUUAGCAGAUCCAAGUCUGUACAAGACUUGAUCUAUGGCAACGUCAUGAGGAUAUAGCCGCGGGGUAGCAUAUGAAUCCAAUCAAUGGGAAAUGGGCAUUAGGAAUGGUGGUCAGGCUUUGCAUGAUUUCAUACACGUGAAUGAGUGAUGCUGGGACCUUCAUGGAGGCUUUGAGUGGAUCUUUGGGCGGCGGUGUAGAAAGAGAAAGGUAGCAGGAAGAAAAGAAUGGGUGUGGGCUUGGUGGUAUGAAACGUGUGGUGUUAAAGAGGAAUGUGGCGUACAUGAGGAAAGACAUGGUGAGUGGAAUGAGCUAUGGGCAUGAGAGAAAUAGAGAAAAUGGGUAUGAAGGUUAAUGAGAGAGAACGGGCGUGUGAGGGUGGUAAAGGAAAAUGGAUGAUGGAUGCACAUAGGUGGAAAUGGGAAUGGAUUUGAUAAAGCAUGAAGGUAGGAAUGGGAUUCGGGUGAUAUUAGAUUACCAUGCAUGGAGAAUGUAUACGUGGAGGUCUAUUAUGCAAAGGAACUAAAAACGGGUCAAGUGAAGGGCUGUUUAGGGAAUAUGGCAUCAGUUUCAGGUUGAGGGGAUGGGGCCCUUGGGCCAUUUGGCUACCCACAAGUAUGAUCUACAAAAUAGGGUCCUUAUGUCAGGGUCAACUUUCGGAUUUUUGCAAAGCUGAUGCUACCAAUUUAAACUCUGAUCAAUCAGUGUCCGCGAUCUUGAGUCCUUCAAGCUGAUGCAACGCGUCUUUAGGAAGGUAGAGCCUCCAAUGAAUACUUUAGAUUUCGAUUUUUGAACAAUCAUGGCAGAACCCUUCAUCGAUUGGCAUUAUCAUUACCCUGGGAUUGCAGCAAGAUGCAUGGAAGGCUUCUUCACUAUUAUCACAAAUGAGCAUAUACAAUAUAUUUUCUGAAUGACCACACGAUUUACAUGGUUGGGAUGAGUUGCUAUUCCCACUAACUCCCAGAACUUCAAGAAGCUCCUGACUCCUCAGUAUAGAAAUGCGUGUAAUCAUUACCCUCUUGUUUGGCAUGACCUGUGCAUACCCAAGAAUGACACCUACUAACCAACCAAUUGAUCCUUAUUGCAUUUAGAACUCAUCUGCAUCCCCUAGUCAAUUUCAGUUUCUGACAGUUAAACCAAAAAUCCCCAGUCUCAGCAAUGACAGUAGUCUCACUUGACAACAUUUUCUGUAUAUGCUGGAACAGAACAUAAACCCUCAAAGGCUCCUCGGGAUCAGACGUAGGAGACUGUCCCUCAGGAACGUAAACUCUAUGGUAGAACUCAUAGGCAGUGAUAUUGCAUUCGAGCCUCUUGGAGAAUGACUUGAAGAAAUCUUUCAUCAAAAUGCACCCAAGCUCAAGCCCAUAAGCACACCAAACACCAUUAUUGGGUUCGUUACAUCACCAUGCUACGGAGUUUAUACAACAGGAAGCUCUAACUGAUGAUGGUUCUGGUAGUGAUUUGCCAAUGGGAACUUGGCCAUCAAGUGAACCCGAUAUCAGAAGCUGAAGUUAUUACCUUGUACUCUUCUAUUCCCCCAUUAUCAGCAAUUCCAAUGGAAACAGUAGGAGAGCCUCAAGACUGUGUAUCCAUUCAAUAACUCUGUUUCUCAGUCAGGAUGCAAAAAACUCCCCAAUGAUUCUACAGCUGCAACCACAGGAGCCCCACUACUACCAGUUCCUUCACCCAUUCUGACAGCAACCAAAACCAGACCAAUGACUUGAACUUUAGACUUCCCCAAUCCAUUAAAUCCAGAAACCACUUGGAGUUAGAAACAUUUUCUACCUCAUCCUAGAACUUUCAGGUAUUUUACAAAGUAAUGGUCGGUAUUUUUCAAAAGCAAAAAGAAAAAAAGGUAAGACUCAAGAAACAGAGCAAACUCAGAAUUCGUUAAUCAAGACUCCAUCUCAUGCUGCACUCAAUGGAUCUAAACAGGUGAGACAAGCAGGGAGCAGUGGCAUGAUUAAUCAAUCUCAAAAAUAAUCCAUAUAUCGGUUAUUGACAGGAAAAAACAAAGAAAGCAGAAAAGAACCCAAACAGAGCAAAUACAAAAACAAACUCAAAUUCAGCAAAUCAAUCCACAAUCAAGAAAAACUAACAAUGCUCAAGUAGCCUGAGAAAAAUGAUGAAGAACAGUGAUAAUGAAAAAUACCCUAAAAAAAAGAACACGAUACUUCAUACCUGUGAAACUCCUCUCCGAUGAAGCUCACCUACCAAACCAAUCUGCUCCCAUCCUUGGCACUAGAACCCCUCUCCGUAGCAGCCUAAGCUCAAGGAAAUCCCUCUCCAGACCGAUCUCUUCUUUCUUCUCAAGUUCUUUUCUCCUCCUCUCAAAAUAUCUCUCCCUGAAAAACGGCAGCCAAAACCUCCCUCUGCAGCUGGCCUGCCCCCGUAACAGAAUACCCCCCUCUAGCUUUCUCACUACCCUCAAAAGCACCCUCUCUCUCCUGCAGCUGCAAGCCUCCACUACCCCCAUGCAGCUGGCAGCCUCUACUCCUCUAACGGCCAGCAGAUUCUCCUUCUAGAAAAUUCUUUCCCUUUUCCAGGUGUCUUUCCCUGAUUGGCCCAUCAAUUCCACUAUAGUGAUUCUACAGUGACCAAUCCUAAGAAGGCACGUGGCCUUAUGAGAUUGCGACACUUGGCAAACACAGGCUGCCAAAAAGUGAGCCCCCAAAUGGGGGUCUACAAUCACAUUUUUAUUUUCAAUAAGAACUCUAAAACUCAUUAAACUAUAAAAUGCAGAUAUACACUCUUGAGAGGACAAUAUGAAGAAUAAAAAGAAAUAAGAAAGAAGCAACAAGAUUUGGAUUUUUAGAUGUGACUCUUAUGUCAUACAUUAUACGACAUAAAUGUUAUUUUAUUUGGAAUUGAGAAUUGUGGGUUUUUUUAUGCAACUCUUGUGUCAUUUGGUUAGCCGGUUUUAUGCAUAUGAAACGUAAGUAUACAUGAAUGUUGGGAUGCUUAACAUUUCUAAAUCAUGUUUUAAUGUGUAUUCACUUUUCUUUUUUAGUUUUGGUGGGUUUGAUAUACUAUGUUUUGUGAACAUUUGAUAUACAAAUAUUAGUGGAUGAUGUAAUGUAUUAUAGGUUAAUCCAUAAGCAUAAAGAAAAUAUAAGUUAAAUGUAAUAUGAUUAUUAUAUUUAUGGACAAAAUUUACACACGUUGAUCUUAUUUAUUAAUAAGCAUUACAAAAAUCUAUAGGCUAGUCAACAAAAAACAACCAUAUCUUCUAUAAUCAUUUACAAUGAAGUGACACCAUAAUUCAAAGGUGAUGCAUUUAACGUGACAUCAUAACUCAAAGGUGAUGCAUUUAAUAUGACACCUUAUAUAUCUCACAUAACUCUAUAUCAAAUUAAGCAUCACUAAAAAUAUAUGGUGUCGCUUCUAAAUGCGUCACAAUUUAUCUGUUUUGGUGUCGCUUCCAAAUACGUCACCAAUUGGUACCCUCUAUGGUAUUGGUGGAUAAGGUGACGCUAUGUUGUAGCGACACCCUAUGUUUAGGGUGACUCGUUAUAAAUGUCACCAUAUAUGUUUUUCCUUGUAGUGUCAUUGGGAAGGUUUUUUCCAUUUUUUAGAGGGGUUUUCUAAAGGCUUCUAGGGUGAGGACACUGUUCUCAUAUUGGCUUUUUUUCCCCCUUUUUAGAGGGGUCUUCUAAAGGCUUCUAAGGUCAACUAGGAGAGCAUGUUGAUUGAUGCUUUGAUAUGGAUACCAGAUGCCACAUUUCAUCUUGUUGAACACUGGUUAGCUAUGGACUUGUUACUGCUUUACUCUUCUGUUUCGAGUUAACUUUGGAAAUGAAUCUGAAUAUAGACUAGUAUUUGCAUCUUGAUGUUUAGAGAAUCAUAUUUUAGUUGUUGUUUAAAAUUCAUUUUGGCAUGUUCGAUUGCUUCAAGCUCAUUUAUACAAUAAUGAAAUGGAGAUUUAUAUAUUUGUUAUUGGGUUGGCUCUCUGUUUGGUUAUCUUUAAGUUCUGCAUCUUUUCUUUUCUCGUUGCCUUAUCUUCUCUGGGGGGUGUCGUUUGAGAAAUACAUAGUGGAAAAAAUGGGAAGCUGAAGGCUUAUCCUGGCAUCGACCUCGCGUUAGGGAACGACUUGAUCGAAGAACAUAUGAAUUUUUCAAAUACCCAGAACUCACAUCAAAAGAAGCAUCGGAGUCAAGGUCAAACACAUCAUCUGACAAGGAAUAUACCUUUGCCUUUGGUGACUUUAUUGACUUCUGCAUGAUGGACAUCCGAGGGUGGGGACUGGAAGAGAAAUGAUGAAUUUGCCCAAGAUAGUUUGUCUAGAAAGGAACUUGUAUUAAAUGAUGAUUACCCACUAUGUCAGAUGUUGAAAUUUGGGUAUGACAACUCCUGGUGGCAUCAGAAAGAUGAGUUGCACAAUCCUUCUCACAGUUGAAAGCUUGACCUCCGAAGUUGGGCUUUUUCAUGGCCAGACAAGAACAGUGAUCACAAUAGUAUGAGCCAAGCCUGUCACGACCCAAAUUCUAGGUGAACUUAACCAUGACUCCAAAUCAAAGGUUUAAACUUAAAGGUUACAUCUAUUCAAUCUAGUAGUCAAUCCUGAUAACUUGAUUUUUUUUUCUUGAUAAAACAAUAUCUAAUCCCAAAUCAAUUUAUUAAGCUAAUAACUUGAUUUUUUUUCUCAAUAAAACAACAUCUAGUCCCAAAUUAAUUUAUUAAGCUAAGAUUUACUAUAUCAUAUUAUUUGAUUUUAUUUUUCAAAAAUCAACCAUUACACUAUCACUUAUUUGCAAGUAUAAUAAAUCUGUCAAACAUCUUAUCACCCAAAAUGAUAACCCAAAUAUUUACAAAAAAAAGUUUUACAAAUUAAUAAAAUAUAGUCUAAGUUAUAAAAGUUCUUAUAAAUUAAAUUAGUAUGUGCUAAAAUAUAAGAUAACUGAAAAAAAAAAAAAAAAAAAAAAAACCAUUAUUAUUAUGGUUCCUUAAAAACUAUAUUUGCAUCUAAAAAUUUUAGAAAAUAAAGGGAUGGACAUUUCCACAUUACUUAGUAAGGUAUUUUACACCCACACAAAUUAGAAAUUCUAAGUCAAUAAAACACAAUCAUAUAUCAAAGUGUAAUUUUACAUCUAAUGUACUACAACUAUAUACAUUUAAACUAAUCAAAAUUAUCACUAACCAUAAUCAGACUCCAAAUAAUACAAAUAACAUUUAUUAUCUCCCAAAAACAUAAUGUGUAAUUUUGUUUCCAAAGAAAAAUAUAAAAUAAAAGUUUUAGGGUUAAACCACCCUACAUCAAAUUUGAAAAUCUAAUUGUUAAAACUAAAAUCAGACUCCGUAAAAAUGUUCUUUAUGUUAAAUAGAGUGUUUUGCUAAAAUCUCAUGCAAAACAGAAUUCAUUUGGCUUGUCGGAUGACAACCCAAAUAUUUGUUGCACCUUCCUUGUUUCUUCUCUUCCUUUGUGUUUCCGUUUGCACUCUUCUCUCUACGGAUCUGGUAAAUAGGGUAGCCCCUGGUACGCUUGGGGCUGGAUUGAAUCCUAUUCGAACUAUAUCUAACUUGAUCUUGUCCAAGCUAGGAAGGUUUUUGGUCUCGAUGACAUUGGAAGUUUCAUCAUUGCUAAAGAAAGGGGCGGCCAAAAAGGCUUAGCGACGACCCUCUCUCGACUUAAAGGAAACGACUUGUCCCAUCCAAUGCCCUACUUUUAAGUGCUCGGUAUGUUCACUUAAUCAAAUCUAGAAGAAGCUUGGCCUCUGUAGAGCAUGAAAAGGCUAGUUUUGAAGCUUUUAAUCGAGGACUUAUUUGCCCUAAAGCCUGACUUCUUAGGAAGAGAAAUGGGCUUGACUUCUUCAUCAACCUCGGAAUCGCAUUCUAUCACACUGGUGGUACUUCUUGUUGAAUUAAAAGAUUGGAUGAGUCUUUUUGUACCCACCCGCCACCCCUGUUUGAGAGUGAUUAAAUAUCAUAACUUCCUUAAUGGACCUACGGACUAGCUAAGGUUUACUUACAUAGUUGUUCUUUCUUUUCUCAAUUUCAAGUUAAAGUUAGCGUUUUUCAGCUUACUGUUUGCUUUGGUUGAGUAGCCGCCUUAUGACCCUUUGCUUUUGAAUGAAAUCAUCUAGAACCUCUCAGAUCGGAUUCCAAUCACCUUAGUGAGUCUCCUAGGUGCGAAGCCAUUCUUUAAGCCCAAAACAAAAGGAGAAGUGAAGUCACUAUCUAGACAAAGGGGCUUGCCUACUUAUAAGGUAGGAGUUCACACCGGGGAAUCGCUUUCUUAAUUAAUUAAAAGCGAGCCAAACUCACCACCUCAUGUACCAAAGUCAAACGGUUGUUCUUCCUUCCCCGCUCCCUUUUUCUCUACAUAUGUGAUGGCGGGCAGAGCGCUCUAUAUGACCGGUGGUGGGUUACCAGAGAAGAUGGGACAACUUCUUUCUCUCUUGCCUUGCUCAAUCUUCCUUUUCUGAUUGAAAGUAGCAAGCCACACCACUACUGGUACAGAGGUCGGAUAGAAGGUUGCUUUUUCUAUAUGUUCAGGCGAAGAACAUCUACGGCACAGUCUUCGCCAAGCAAGAUGAUGUAACUCCUCAAAACAUAAAAAGAGCUCUUAUAUAUGUAAAAACAUGAUAUAUGUGUAAAUGAAUUAUAGCCAUUUUCAAAUAGAUCAGGAUCGUCAGAUGUUUGAAAUGGAAAGUCAAUUUUUCUAUAUGCAUGUAGAUAUCUAUAGGGGAUUAUAUGAAGGGGAUGUUAUUAUUUUAGAUAUAAUCAAUUCCCUUCUCGGAGCCCACUAAGAUCCGGAUCUCCUACGGAAAUGAUUUAGAAGAUCCAAAACCAAAAAUAGUGGUAUUUGCUAGCAACAACAUAAUGGAGGCAGUCAAUCAAUAUAUAUUGAUCUAAAAUCUGAUUCAAAUCCAAUAUAGCACCUAUGGGUACAUAAAAGAAAGGCAAGAGAGAAAAGAAGUCCAUACUUUUCAACAAAGCUUUAAGUGAGUAGGGGUGUAGCAGAUUCAUGCACGUCGAAUAUAAAUGCAGUUGGAUGAGUAGUCGCGGAUUCACAAUGCCGGUUAAAAAGCCAAUCUUAGGGUUGCAUUCACUCCCCUUCUAUAUCUUGCAUCUAUAGUAUUUUUGUCCUGGUGGAUCUCUUUAUCAUUUAAUAAAAGUUUGGAAUCUUGGGUUACUAAUUGGUGGAAUACUAGGCAAUCUAAAACUUUUUUGAAUGAUAUUCAAGAAAACAAUCAAUUUCCCAUCAUUUGCACUAUGAAUGGAAAUGAAAUUCUAGAUCUAGAAUCAGAUGAAUGUGCAACAGUCAAUUUCCUCCCUCACAACCUAAUUGUCCACUAAAAACAACCUUUUUUACUAUACGCUAUUUGGCCGCUAGAAGAACUUCAGUUCUUAUAGGUAAAUGCUCAAUACCCAAGUAGGCCUACAAAGUUGAUCAUGAUCAAGUGCUUUUUGGGUCGUCUUAGACCUUGCAAUAUCUCUCCGGCCCUCUAGCACUCUGUUAUGGCUCAAUCACUUACUCUAGUUCUGGAGUUCUAGGUCCUCUAGCUAUUAGUGCAGGUAGCUCUCCUUCUGGUAAUGCAUUAUAGGUUGUCUUCCUUCCACCUUCCUGUUUUCAAGAAAGCUUAUUUUCUUUCUAAGAAAAAUCAUACAAUCUCGUAUGAGAACGGGAUUGAUGGGAGGCAUAUGCUCCCAGGCUACACAAUGUCUUACAGGGCUUACCCAGUUAGAAGGUAUGUAACUAAAGUCUCAAGAGAAUUGAAAUCGACGAGAAAUCAGAAUCAAUGUUAGAGAUUAGACUUGGCAUGGAAAAAGGAGUAUAGUAAGAUGAUAGAGACCUCGCACGAGAUGCUUACUCGGAUUCAUGCCCAUAAAGAGUAGAAGAUUCAACACAAGUGCAAGAAUAGGUUUCACAGUUAAGAAAGGUUGAGAUUCAGGUGAGUGAGUGAGUCCUCACUGACUUGAGCGAUUUCGAUCACCUAGCAGUUUAUUUGGUAGGUAACAUCGCUAAAGCAUAUCAUCUGAUCUACAAAUGAAGGAAAUCAAAGUGAGACGACACCGUCCUCUGUAACGCAACGAUAGUUGGCCCUUUAUCAUCAACUAUUUGGUAGACUUGGUAAAAGAUGUAAGGCUUUAGCUAGUACACGAAAGUGCAUACCAUGAUUCUUCUGUCUAUCAAUAACUGCAUGCAUUGCACGAUGGAUGUGAAGAAGUAGGCCAUUAUCUCGACAAUAAUGAGCCAAGCUAGUAUUUGCAGUGAAUCCCCCUGUUAAGUAGUCACAUUAAUGGAACAAGAACACAUUAGCGUAUGAAACAGAGCUGAAAGCGCGAGUGCACAAUCUCAAAAACGGCAAAUUCACGUUCUACUUCCUCAAUCUCGAACUCUGUCUAUUGGGAUGAGCUCCCCUUACCUGCGCUAUUCUAUGAACGAACUUCCUUUAUAAACCAUAAAACUGGAACAAUCACUGUUCCAGGGUCUGUCUCAGAGUUCUAUCUCGUGCUUGACAUCAAUUGCAUCCAAACCUUUAAUCGGGUAUACUUUCCACAAUAACAAGCGAGUCAUAGUUAGGUAAAAGUUAUACAGAAAGAUGACAUCGUUGGCGAACUUGAAGCUAGUUAGGUAAAUCCCCUUAUAUUCUUCUUUCUUCUCCCAUAAGACAUUCCUUAUUAUUAUUAUUAUUAUUAUUUUCAUUUUCUCAAUUUCUUUAUCUUUUCAACUUUAAGACACCAUUUUGCACUUCUUCUUUUUUAUUAUAAUUAUUAUUCUUUAUCAACCAUACCAUGUUAAGAAAUUUAUUUAUUUUAAUCCAAAAAUCUACUUAAAUACAAUUUCAUACUUUUCUUAAUAAAUUAUAUAUAUAUAUAUAUAUAUAUAUAUAUAUAUAUAUAUAUAUAUAUAUAUAUAUAUAUAUAUAUAUUAUUUCUUAUUAUAACAAAUUUAAAAUGUCACAUGUAUCAUUUUUUUAAUAAAUCAAAUUAUUAUUCUUUAUUUCAUAUUCUACAAUUAUAAAUUAUACUCAAUAUAUGAUUUAUUGUCUUACGAAAAAUAUACUGCUAUAUUCUUAAUUAAAUUUAUUACAAGUCUACUUUUCAAAAAAAAAUUAAUUUGACUUUAAUUACUUGAAACAUUUUUAUUAUGAAAUUCAUUUAGAACAUGAUUUCAUUAAUUAUAUAUUUAAAAAAAAUCAAUUUUAGAAAAAAAUCUGAAACAUAAAAUAAUUCUUCAACAUCAAGAAGCUGAAAUUCAUAAUAAUAUUUAAUCCUUUAAUUUUACCAAUAUUUAUUUACCAAUAAAAUUUAAGCAAUAUUCUGAAAUUUAAUUCCAUUAGUUAUUUAGUCAUUCAAUUUAUAAAAUCAUAUUCUCAACCUUUGGUAUAACUUUUAUUUAAUUUACUUCAUUUGUCAAAUUUCUCAAUUGAAUCAAAAUUUCAAAAGUUAAAUUCACUAAAUUCAUAUUUAAUUAAUUUAGCCUUUUAUAUUCCCUAAAUUAAUAUAUCAUAAUUUACUCUUAAUGUAAUUUCAAUUCAAUUUUAUUUGAUGUUUUGUAAUUCUAUAAGGUUUAAUUCUAAUUAUAAAAAUUAUUGAUUUCUUAUAAAAUUAAAUUCAAUUUCUUUUUAAUUAUCCAUUAUAACAAUUUGAUAUAAUCUAAAUUUUUAUCAAGUUUUUCUUACUACAAUUCUCUAUAAUUAAAUUAAUGGUCAUAAUAUACUUAAUAUUCAAUUUUAGAGACUAUAAUAUCAAUAAUUAUUUGAUGGUUGAAUUUUUUUCCAAAUUUAAAUUUAAUUUUUGAAAUUCCUACUCUUUGCAUAUGACGUGAUGGAAUUUUUAUACUAUUGACUUUUUAUUAACUUUUUCAAAAAAUUUCUUAAUUAAAUAUUAACACGGGGAUUUUCGUCAUUCUUUUUUAACAUUUGACUAAUGAUUUUAUGAUAACUUUAAUCUGACAUGUCAUUAAAAAUCCGGUUGUUAUAGAGCCAGUCAAAUUAAGCCUGUUAUCCGAGGAGUGAAGCCACUGCCUUGUUCUAUCUCCGAUGGCCUGCUCAGCUCCUUCAACCCCCAUCGCUCUCCUCUUUCCAAGUUCUCCAUUUUCAGUUUAGAGCCAACAAGGAUCGCAGAAAUCCUUAAAGAUUGACCUACAUGGUAUCGUGAGUACCGCGAUGUGGAUGUUCUUAAUGUGUUGUCUACUAGAGCCAAAUGGGUGUUUGAUAAGACCCAGUGAAGGUGUAAAAAUUAUAUGACGAAGCUUGCAGAAAGACUUUGAGUUGAGGGAAGGCAUCUCAACGAAGUUGGGCUUUUGUAUUGUGAAUCUGGCAAAUUACCUAUACUGCAUGGAUCAUCACUCUUUUAACGUGGAGGUACACAGGUCCUUUGCAAUGUGACACUUGGGGCACCACAUCAAGCUGGUGAUGCUCAACGACUGGCUUCUCUGGACGGGUCCUCCAACAAAGCGCUUCAUGCUUCACUGAAAUUUCCCGGAGUUCUCAAUUAAUGAAGUUGGCCAACUCCUUAACCUGCACUGUUCCGCAGCAGUCACAUAAAGAUUUGACAUUGAAAUUGAUCAGGUUUUUCCUCUGCCAAUGGUGGUGGGCGCGCUUUGUAUGUAGAUUCCGAAGGAACUUCCAACUUGAUGGCUGUGAGUGGUAAGGUUGGAGAAGAUACUACUGGGUCUGCCCCAUUAGUUUUCCAUUGUUAAGGUAGUUUGGUGCACAGCUUCCUGGAUCAUCUACACCACGAGCACCUCCAGCCGCCUGUUUUGAUCAGUUUCUGGAUUUCCAUCUCCAAAUUGUGCAAGCAGUGACUGAUAUGGUGUCCAUACAAGCGGCUACUGAAAUGGUUCAAACCCCAAAUGCUGAAGGGAAAGGAGCUUUUGGAAAAUAUCAUGAAGAAGACUCACCCAUCUUACAUGAAAUUAUACACAACUCCAUGGACCAGAACCGGAACCCAGACUUAAAUUUGUCCAAGAGAAGAUCAGUGUAAUACAAGUCAACUGCAGUCAUUCCUGAAAGAAGUGAUGAGAAGAGUAAACCUGGAAAAGCAGUGAGUGAAACAAGUUUUGUGACAUUGAACAAUUUGCAGAUGGGUGUUCCCACAAGCUCCUCUCCCCUCUUCCUACGUGCAUGAAAUUCCUACGUGCAUGGCCACCUUCUUAGGUGUGCAAUUCUGCGCAUAAUUCUCAAGCGUACUAUCACCCUCUUCUUUUUUGAAAAAUUGAUUUUAAAUUUAAAAUUUUGACAAAUUCAUUUCCCUUUUAAAAUCCCUCAGUAAUUCUCUUCAAAUUAAUAAAAUCUAUUUUCAAAAAAAAUUUGCUGCCAUUUUCCUUUUGGCAUAGACCUUUUUCUAUUUUCUUUGAUUUUUAAUCAUUUUCCAAUUUUUUAAUAAAUAUGAAUAAAUUCUAUGUUUUUAAAAAUAAUGGAAUUUUGUCCAAAUUUCUAUUAUCUUUUUCUCCAUGAUCAUUAGAAAGAUGAAAUUCCUAAAAUUAAUUCAUGCAAAUAAAUUGGACAUUGGUAGGCCCAACAUAUGAAUUUUUCUCCUUUGAUUAUUGUUUUUAAUUGCUACACUUGAUUGACUAAUGAUUGAUCUCUGUCUUGCUCUAGCAUACAUGAGAUUAUUUUGUGCUUGUUAUUGUACACUAACCAUGUUUCUCACGAAGCGCUCAACUUAUUCUCAAGUACGUUCUUUCCUUUUCCUAUUCGUUUAGUUAUAACCAAUGUUUUCAAAAUCGGACCGAUCAUUGAAUUGGAAAAGUUACUGGUUCACGGUUCACUGGUCGAAUCGGCGGUCAAAUCACGGUCAAACUAGUGAUGUCAUAAAUAUAUAAUUUAUAAAUUAUUAAAAUUUAAAAUAAUUAUAAAAAUAAAAAUAAUAAUUUAUAUAUUAUUUAAAAAUUAAAAUUUUAUUUAAAAAUUAGAAAAUUAGUUUCAAAUUAGAAAUUAAAAUUAAAAUCAUAAUUUUAAUUUUAAUUUUCAAAUUUUCAAAUUCAUUUUUAAAUAAAAAAAAACUUAUUUUAAAAUCAUGAAUUUAUUUAAAAUUAUAAUAUUUUCAUUAAUUUAAAUUAAAAUCAUAAGUUUUAAACAUCAUGAAAUAAAAAAUAAUAAAUAUAAAAGAAAAUAAAUUAUACUGAAAUGAGGUAAAAAAUAAUUUAAAAAAAUGGAAAAAGAGAGGAGAGGAACAAGCAAAAAAGGGUUCCAACAGGGUUUUGGGGGGUGGGGUUUCCAUUUCUAGCGCCAGGUGGGGGCCCUUCCGGUGGGCCAAAAGGGGAAAAGCUUUUUGGCUUUUCCAGUGCAAGGGGUGCCGAUGGGGUGGGGGGUUCCAAUGGGCAAGAAGAGCUCUUCCAGCGCACGCGGGUAGGAGUGGCGACAAUGGGGAAAAAAAAAAAGUUGAACCGGAUGGUUCCAUCCGAACCGUCCGGUUAGUCGGCCGAACCACCGAUUUAACUAGUCCGACCACUUUCCAGCCCAAUUGACCAAACCAGAUUGAAACCGUGACCAGCCGAUCCAAUCCAAUUUUUAAAGCCAUAAUUAUAGCUCAACCAUAACACAUCAUUGAUCAUUACUUGGUAUUUGUUGACUUUUUGAUCAAUUGUCAUUCUUAUAUUAACUUGAUUAUUAGAGACCUAAUUUUAGGGUAUAAAGGGGUAUUACGAUUUAUCAUCCUACCUUCUCAACAAGUAACCUGACCCUUGAACCCAGACUUGGUUUUUCAUAAACCCGUAUUUUCCUUUCAAGUUUCAUACUUAGAAUUUUUUUUUUUCCAUUUAAAAAUAAAAUAAAGAUACGUGGCCUAAAACCAUUUUCAUCAAUCCAAAGUGAGUCUUGUCUUUUUUUUUUUCAAGUAAGGACACGAUCACAGGUCUACAAUACUAUUUUAAUAUAUAUAAUGAAAUAUAGAUAUUAACGCCAUCUUAAAGAUAUAAUUAAAUUUUUUGUUUAAAAUAAAUUAUAAUAAUUUAAAAAUAAUAUUUUAUUUAAAAUAAAUUUUAGAAUAAGCAAAGUUGAUAUGUGGACAUAGAGAAUCGUGAACCAUUGUAAAUGUAUUGAUUAUAUCUCUUUCUUCCCAUUUCAUUUUUACUUUAGUUUUUAUUAUUCGUAUCUUUUUCUACUAAAAUUUGAAAAAGAAAUUCACAUUCACUUCUUCUUGGGUGUAUAUCAUAGGAUUCAAAAUGUUUUUAAAAAUUAUUAAAUUUGUUAAUUGUGACUAUAUGCUUAUUUAGGAUCCAUUGAUCUUAAUAACUUUCUUCCCGAUAUAGGAAGAAAAUGACUAUUCCAUUAAUGCAGCAUGCAUUGCUGCUUAUUUAUCAAGCAAAUUACAUUAUUAUUUUCACACCAAACCUCCAAAUUCUCCAUGCAUAUACGCAUCCUAUACUGCAUGGCCAACUUCAGAGAGCUAAAACAAGCUCUUAUUGAAUACAUGAUAGAUAAUGUCCCACUGACCCUUUUACUCUGAUACCCUGAAAUGAGAAAUUUGGAGGUUUUCCACAUCAAGCUUCUUGAAAUUACUGCGCCUUCUCGUAACAAAGAACUUUCCCCAGUUGUAUGCUCUAUACUUUGGCUUUUCCCCCUUCGUCAGCUCCUCCAAGGGCUUCACCCAAACAUGGUGCCCGGGACUCAAAACGAACGGAAUCGAGAACCUUUCCCUCUCUGAAUUCACCAUCACCCUGUGCUCCACACUUUCAUAAGUAUCGUUGCUCCAGACCUGGUUUAAUAUCAGUAGAAUUAACCAAAUGAGUGAAAAAUUCCUUGAGCCAAACACUACUGAUAAGCAUGUACUUGUAAUUCAAAGUUCUUGGGUGGUACCUGAACUAUAUCCCCAACAUUGAUGAUAUAAGCAUCUGGGGUGGGCUUAACUCGAACCCAUUCUCCAUCAGUUUUUCGCUUUACUUCCAACCCUCCAACAUCAUCCUGAGCAAGGAAAGUUAAGGCUCCGGAAUCCUUGUGGCGACCAAUGCCCAGAGCUAGGUGAGGAAUGGAGCAAGGUGGGUAGUGAUUGAGGCGGAUGAAGUUUGUUGAUUCUUCAAAGAGAAGAUUGAAUCUGUUCUCUGGCAAACCUAAGCUCAGAGAGAGGAGUCCCAACAGAUUGACAGCUAGUUUUUCCAUUUCUCUAGCAUAUUCUUCACAUACCUCCCUGUAUAAAUCAGCUCAAUUAGAACAAAAAAACUUAAGUAAUUCACUGUAGUGACUGUGCCUUAGCUGGUGGAAUUUGUACCUUAAUUCAGGAGGGUACUGAGGCCACUGAUUGAUCAGCUUUUCGAGCUCCUUGUCGUCAGGAUUAGGCGAAGCAGGGAUGAAGGCGGGGGAUGACGCCACGAUAUCAAAGACUUCCUUCCAGUCCCUAACGUUCUUGGUAUGCUCAGUAUCGAAAUACCCAAAAGGAUUCACCUCAUCUCUACUCACCUUCCUCUUCUCCUCCAAUGGCAGAGCGAAGAACUUCCUCGCCGCAUCCUCAAUUUUACGACGAGACUCGGAGGGCACCCCAUGGUUGAUGACUUGAAAGAAGCCCCAGUUCUUGCACGCAUCAGCUAUUUGAGAAACAUGGUUGGAAGCAUUGGCGGAAGAGAGAUCAAUGAGGGGGAUGCCUUCAGCUUCGAUAACAGCGAGCUUAGGCCUAUGUUGGGUGUCUUGGAUGAAAGCUGGAUCGACCUCUCCCAUGGCUGUGGUAGUGGUUAGAACUUAGAACUUAGAAAUGGCGGUUAUGCACUGCUGGUGUUAGCUGCACGUGAAGAUGGUGAGGGGGACUUGGCCACUUAGCAGGUGGUUUUUGUAGUGUAGUGGGGUUGGUUUAGUACAUUGAACCUGGACAUAAUUGGGGUUACGUUUUAAGUUUUGGUUGGGGGUGUGGGCUCAUGGGUUGCGCAAAUGUCAAUGAUAAUUGGUCAAGUGAUACCAAGUUAUUUCCAAAAUCUGCAGCCGCAAAGGGUAUCUCUCUCGAUGAUUUUGGCAACGUACAGCACUCUCCACAUUCAAAUGUUUGAUCAAAGAUACGUUUUGUUUAGUGUCGUGUAUAUUUUCGAAUUAAUUACUUCAUAUUUAGGGAUACGUUUUGUUGAGUAUCGUGUAUAUUUUCGAAUUAAAAACUUCAUAUUUAGGGAAAAGUGUGCUUCAAUACGCUAAUAUAAAAAUAUCAGCAAAAUAAGAUCCUAAUUUUUCAUAUUUUAAGGUUUAUAAUGCAAUUGGAAAUUAUUUGGAGAAUUAUGCAUUUUCAGCUCAUGUGUAUUUCAAAUCCAAAAUGCUCUCCACCUUGCCAGCCAAGUCUUACACGUUGAAAGUAAAGAGAGAAAAAAUCUUCAAAAAGCCACCAAAACCAAUUUCUCUUUCUUUUUGAGUUAUUUGAUUCAAAAGAUCAAUAAAAUCCAAUUUUUAAAAUUUAACCCUUUGUUCUUUUUUUUUUCAUUUUGAUAAAAAUAUCUUUACCAUUUUCUUGUAGAAAUAACAUUUUUUUUAAACCUAUAUGUAAAUACUUGAAAUGGUAAGAGACGUGUACAUUAAAAAAAAGUUAUUUUUCAAGUAAAAAUAUAGAAAGGAUUAUUUCAUCCCUUUUAACCAAAUAUUUAACAUGAUCAAGGACUAUUCCCUAAAUGAAGGCAUACGGUAGCAAAUACCCUUAAUCUAAACAUUAAAAGUACAACUUAUCUAGUAUCAAACACUCUGUUUUAAAACCCAUAGCCACUCCAAAUAUCCCAAAUAUUCUUUUCUAUGCAACCUCUCUCUCUCUCUUUCUCGCACAAACACACUAAAAUAUUUUCUCAAACUUGGAUUUUUCUCCACAACUCAACCCUAACUUCCUUUCUAUUUGUACCAAGGCUAGAGAAUAUAGUUUAUACUUGUAUUCCUUCAUGUACCAAGCCCACAAGAUGAUCAAUAAGUUUCUCUCUAGAUUUUACAUUGGAGUUGAUUGAUGAUAGUACCCUUAUUAGGUAGUAUAUUAUCUUCCUUAGGUACUGCUUUUUCCAUCCUUAGAUACUACCUUUGUAACCUUGGGUGCAUGAUUGAAUCCAUUGUUUCAUGGCUACUUCAAGUAAGUCAGGAACUUAUGUACAUGUGUGCUACAUGUCUUAUAGAUACUAAAUUUACAUUCUUUAGGUACUACCUUUACCUUCCAUGGGUACAAAUACGGUUAAUGAUAAGAAUUUUAAUAUAAAAAAGGGAAAAACCCUGCUUGAUAAUAAAAUUGCAUAUAUUUUCUUUCUUUCUUUCCUUUUUGAUUGAUUUUUUUUUUUUUUGGUCUUUGCUUUGGUUUUUAUUUAUGUCUUUGUUUCUUUUAGUCUUUGUGUGUGUGUGUUUUAUUUUAUCUUAUUUUCAUCUCUAUGCAGAAGAUGUAGAAGAAACAACAUCACAUCAUAAGGUGCAUUUUUCCGUUCAUUUAAGACUAAAGGUUUUGGAUUCACAAAAUGGUGGGAACUAAGGGUGAGAAGCUGGAAAAAUGUUGGAUUGAGCUACAUUUGAUCAAUGGUGAAUUUGCAAAAAAGAUUGUAGGAGAGUGUAGACCCUCAAUUUUGUCCCUUUAGCACAUGUUUUAAAGUCCAUUACCAAUACUUUACAGUAAUCUCUUGGUAGCCCAUAGCUACUCACGCUACUUACCUUUCUUGAGCCACCUCGGAGACUCUAGUUGAGGGAUUGCCUAACCCCUUAUUGUGACCCUUGGCAGUUUUGAUUUAGACUUAAGGUUUUCAUUCCUUCUUAGGAUAGCUCUUAGGUGCACUUUUAGGUCCACUUAGGCAUCACCCUUGGCUAAUUUAGACAUUUUGGGCCCGUUUAGACACCUUAAACUCGCCUAGAUUCACCUUAGACCCGCUUAAGCACUUCAUUGGGGCUCAACAUUUUUAUAUAAUCUCUUGAUCAUUAUUGCAUGCAUUUGAUGAUUAUAUUUUCUUUGUUUAUUCAUUUAUUUGUUUGUUUAUUUAUUCAUCCAUUUAUUUAUUCAUUUUUUAAUUUCUAUUACGUCUUGUUUUUUUUUUUCUUUCUUUCUUUCAUUUAUUUACCUACUUAAUAGAGAAUUGUUUAGAUAUUAAAUAUGCAUACAACCCCCUUAUUGAAUGAUGGAAUUGUACAAUCUGAUAUCUCAUUUUCUCUUUCAUUUUCUUUUAAUCGUAUUUCACUUUAUUACCAAUUUCAUGACUUUCAUUAGUUGCUUCUCUUUUCCUUUGAUUUUUUAAUCUUAUCUUAUUUUGUUUUGCAUAAGGAGCACCAUCUUGGGGAGUACAAGAGGAUCUACAUUACUGGUUUGAUCAACAUAUGUUUGAGACUAAAAGCCUUCAAGAUGGCAAAAGAUGGUCAUCACAGCCCCAUGCUUCUUCUUCCCAUCUCUCAUAAUUGAAGCCUCUGUACAAAACUUCAUCAUAUCCUGAACAAUAGCAGCCACAGCAGUUGCAGCCACAGCAGCUGCAGCCACAGCAACUGCAGCCACAACAGCUGCAGCCACAGCAGCUGCAGCGACAGCGGCAACCACAGUUAAUGCUGCAACAGCAGCCACAGCAGCAUAGACUGCAUCAUCCAGUUCAACCUUCAUUUGGUCAUUUAUCAGGGUUGCAGCCCCAACUAUUUAAUCCCCAUCUUUCCCCAGCUCCACUCAUCAUGAACAAAUAUGAAGCAAUGCUUGGGAUAGGUAAUCUGAGGGAUCAAAGACCCAAGUCAAUGCAAAAAGGUAGACCAAAUCAUCGGGUUUCUCAACAGGGCUUGGAUACUAGCAGUCGGAAGAGUGAUGUUGGUGGCCACAGUUCAGAUCCAAGUAUAUGACAGCUGAUGAAAUCGAAAGUAUCCUUAGAAUGCAACGUUGCGGAACAGAUGGAUGAGUAGAAAGGAAAAUAGCAUGAAAAUAGAAAGGAAGUGACCACUUUGUGCACAACACGCAUAUAGUGGGCUGUAAGGGGGAUUCUUUUUUGUUUAGAAAGAAAAGUCAACUUGUAUCACUUACUAAACGAGAUGUGGCUGCAUCCUUGAGGGAAUCUCCCAAUGAGCCACCAUGUAUGCACUUUCCUUAUCCAUGUGCAUUGAAAAAGGAUAUAGAAUAUUCAAUAGAGGAAAGGUGCUGCCAUAUAGAAGGAAGGUGCUGCCAUAUAAACAUGUCACAGAGAGAACACACGGUGGACUUUUCUUUUGGGAGCAGAAAUUCACAUACAAAAAGUAAUCUUUUUUAGAGGAGAUGAACACACGCAAGAGUUUUUUUUUGGGAGCGGUAGAGGACCUGAACGACUAAUUGGGCUGCCAUUUUGACACAUCAAGAAAGUAUUUUUCCAAUACAAUACAGGUUAGUUUUCGAUUUUUGAUACCGUAUUUCCUUUUUUUUUUAGUUUGGGUUUUAGUUGUUUGGUUUAAUUAAUUGUUUGUGAUAAAUUCUUUUAAAUCUCGAUUUCGAACAAUCUUUUAUUUUUCUUAUAUUAAAUGUCUAUCUUUUAUGAUUGCAAUUCAUUAGUUCUAUGCUAGUUUAUUUUUAAUUUACAUGAAAGUUUAAAUAAAGUUUAUAUUUUUAAUUCCAAUUAGUUUAUUUUUAAAUUUGAAUGAGUUAUCGAUCUUAAUUAUUUAGUUUAAUUGACCUUGUGAGAUAAAAUUUAUAUUUUUAAUUCUAAUUAGUUUAAUUUUAGUUUAUUUUUAAUUUGAAUGAGUUAUCGAUCUUAAUUCUUUAGUUUAAUCGACCUUGUGAGAUAAAAUUUAUAUUUUUAAUUCCAAUUAGUUUAAUUUUAGUUUAUUUUUAAUUUGAAUGAGUUAUCGAUUUUAAUUCUUUGGUUUAAUUGUCCUUGUGAGAUAAAAUUUAUAUUUUUAAUUCCAAUUAGUUUAAUUUUAGUUUAUUUUUAAUUUGAAUGAGUUAUUGAUCUUAAAUCUAUUAGUUUAAUUGGACUUGUAAGGUAAAGUUUAUAUUUUUAAUUCCGAUUAGUUUAAUUUUAGUUUAUUUUUAAUUUGAAUGAGUUAUUGAUCUUAAAUCUAUUAGUUUAAUUGGACUUGUAAGGUAAAAUUUAUAUUUUUAAUUCUAAUUAGUUUAAUUUUAGUUUAUUUUUAAUUCGAAUGAGUCAUUGAUCUUAAUCUAUUAGUUUAAUUGGUCUUGUAAGGUAAAGUUUAUAUUUUUAAUUCCGAUUAGUUUAAAUUCUAGUUUAUUUUUAAUUUGAAUGUGUUAUCGAUCUUAAUUCUUUAGUUUAAUCGAUCUUGUGAGGUAAAGUUUACAUUUUUAAUUCCAAUUAGUCUAAUUCUAGUUAUUCAUGUGUUUCUUGAAAUCUAAAUGUUAGUUUUUGAAUGAUAAUUUUGUUAGUUUGUUUGAUUAGGAAGUCAUAAAUUUGUUGUCUUAGUGAUUGUUGGUCAAUUUUUUUUUAGGACCACUGGAAACCCAUGAAGGUUGGCCUUUACUCUCACCACUUUAAUUGAUAAGAUUUUCUAAAAUCUUUAUUUCGUGAUCUUUGUUUCCUUUUGUUUUGAUUGAUAUUUUGUUUUCUAUUUUUGUUAUUUUAAAAAUUAAUUUCUUUUAUUUUAAAACAAAACUCUUUUUCUCAAAAAAACCCUUUUUAAAAUUUUUUUUUUAUUAUUCAUUUAAAGCCUCUAGAAUCAAAAUCUAUUUUCUUUUUUAAAAAAUAACAUGCAACCAUAUCUUAAUCAGUUUGCAUCCUUCUCAAUUUUCAACAAAAAUAUCCUUCUCAAUUUUCAACAAAAAUUUUGGUUUUAAACAAAACGCGAAUCAAAGCUUGUGGUCCCAAAUAAAUGGAACAAUUUUAGGCUAAAUUCAUGUAUAUUAAUUUGGGGAAUUGGUGAAACCCCUACAUAAGAAAAUCUUUUCAAAAUUUACUUUUGCUACCACCCUACUAUUUAUCAUAAUCAUAUUUACUUUUUUUCUUUUUAGGAAUUGUAUACAAGAUAUGUAUGAUAAUUAAUUAUUCCGAGUUCUGAUAAUUUUUGCUAAUUAAUUAGAUAAGCAUGCUAGGAUUUAUUAUUUAUUAUCUAUUAUCUAUUAUCUAACCCUCAUGUUCUGAGGAAGUGCAUUAGGAGUUAUAUAUGCUAUCCAGGUACGUUCCCAAAAUCUCAUGAAUAUGCAUGUCAUUACCCUUGUUUGAUGCCAUACUUGAUUGCCUCGAUGCUUGUUUGAUCAUCCUUGAUAAAAUGCAUGUCGUGUGUCAUAUUUCUGAAUUAACCAUUGAUGUUUAAUGAUAGUGCUUAAGAAGUGGUUCAGGUACGCACCCUAACUCUCCUUUAUUGUGAUUGAUCUCCUUAUUUAGCAUGCUACUUUCUGAAAAUCACCUAGCUUACUUAAGUAUCCAUAAUUAAUCAAUUAAUUGCCUCAUUUCCCCAAUUUAGUCAGUAAAGACCUCUUUAGGGCUUAGAAGGGUGCUACCUCCUAGAGGUACCUUCCCAAUAAGUAACCUGAUCCCCGGACCUAGACUCGGGUUUUUCAAAGACAUGUUUUUUUCAAAAAUUAUGGAGUCACAUUUUAGGGUUUUUCUUUCUUGUUUUAUUUUCCCUUUAAAAUAAAAAUAAAAUAAGUGGCGGCUCCAACUUUUCCAAAACUAAAUAAUUUUUCACAAAUAAAAAAAGAGUCUCGCCAAUCGAGUGGGGACGCAUGUGAAAAAUGCAGGUCCACAGAGAGGUUUCUUGAGGUGGACAAGGUCAGAAGCAAAGAGCCUUUCCCUACUUUUUGGGGUUGGUUCCUUGAGUUCUUAGGAAGAACUUAGUUAACGUGUGAAUUCAUUCAGGGUAAUUUAUGUAAGAUUUUCUAGAUUUUGCAAGUGAAUGCACCUUAGCUUUUCCUAUUGUAUUUGUGUUUUUUUAGGUUGAUUAUUUUAUUGAUUGUCACCACUCAAGGAAUGGAAGCAAUAGGGUCUCUAGAUGUAGUGCCUAAAGGCAAGCAUACAGGCGUUGUUAGGAGUGUGCUUCCCAUGUCCAACAAGCAUAUUGACACCACCCAAAGCCAAGGCAUCUUUGGACUAGGAGUUCUAGCUUCUACUUAUGUGGACUUUGUAGAUGCAGUCUGGCUCUUCGAAAUAUUUAUUGUUAUGUAGUAGUUAUACACAUGUACUUUGUUUAAGUGAAUUGAUUUUUGGAUUUUUACUUAAAUCAAAUUUAAGGGUAUGUUGUUUAAUUUACUAGAGAUCUCUUGUUUGUAAUUCUCGUUAUCAUAUAUAGAUCUUUGUUAGUAUUUGCCAAUUUCCUCAAUAGCAACUGUAUUAGUUAUCAAUGGAAUGAAUCUUGAGUAACUUGUAGUAUCAUUUUUGGUUUUGAAUUGGCUAAUCUUUUUUGGAAGAAUGAAUUAGAUAUAUGAGCUUGAUUGCAAGCAAUAGUUGAGUUUGUUUUGAUCUUGGGGUAUUUGCCUUAUUGAUAGGACAUAGAUUUUGGGUCCAAAUAGUUGGAAAUUGAUGAGCUUAACCAGGACAUAGAUUUUAUCCCCUUGGGAGAACCACAACACUAACCAGUGUUCCUACAAAAGCUAAUAACCAUGAUUUAGAAAUGUGAUUUCCCUAAAGGGAAGCAUUUCUAAUCUUAUUUGAAGGGAAACUUUGAUGUCUUCCUUAAUACACUAGAAUAUUAAUUUAAAAACAACAAUUAAGGUUAUAUUAACUAUUAUAAUAAUUUAUAAAUUACAUAAAUAUGAUAAUAACUAUUAAAAUAAAAGUAUUAAACAUAAAAAUGUUUAAUUCUGUUGGGUAAAAACUUCAUAAAUAUUUUAUUAUUGAACUUCUAUCAUAUGAUCAAACAUAGUGAUGAUCCUUAGUUGGAUUAAUUAACACUUGUUUCAUAAAUUGAACAACAUAUAACAUGAUCAAUAAACAAACAAGUAAACAUCAUACUAGAUAAAACUAUCUCUUAAGAUUUCAAUUAUUACAUGUUUAAAUUACAAAUCAUAUUUUUGCAACUUUCGUAAAGUUAUGCAAUAGAUAUAAUUAAAAUUAUGAAACAUUGAAAAUGUAUAUUGAUUCAUUAUUCAAAUUCAUCAUAUCAUAUAUAUACUUUAGUUGUCCAUAAGAUCAAAUAAUAACCAAAAUUCGAAAAAUAUGUUUUAUGAUCCAAAAUUGAUUGACACUAAUAUCAAUUGUUACAUAAACUUUAUGUGAAAUAAUUAUUUUGGAAAAUCAAUUUGGAUGCAUAAAGCAUAAUAGUUAUAAGAAAUAAAGAAAUGACAAAAUAAUAAUUAUAUUUUUGUCUUAAUCCAUGAUACCGAUAACACUUUUAAAGUGAGUUCGAGUCACUUUGUGAAUUGUUGGGUCAAGGUAUUCAACUCAUCAUUCUCAUUUAGUAGAUGAGACAAUUGUGUGGUAUAUGUUGUUAUAAGCAAAACAACUAAAAACAUAAGAAUACAAUACAACUUAGGACCUUAACUUUAAAAAAAGAUUUAUAACUCUUAAUCUUCUCAUAAAAGAUUAUAUGAGAGUUAUACUCAUUAUUUUUAAACAUUAUAUAUAAAUUAAUGGACAAUAGUAAACUACCAACUUGAAUACAUUCAUGUAAUUAUAUAAAUUACACUUUUUCAUCUUCCUCUAUUAGUCAUAAACUUUAUAUAUAAAUUAAAUCUCAUAAUGAUGGAGUUACAAAAGUUGUAAUACCAUAUUCGUAUAAAUGAAAAUUUUCUAACUCCAUAUUUAUAAUUUUAAUUUUCUAUGUUAGAAGUUGAAUUUGUUCCACAUCGCCAAGUUACCGGGUUAUUAUGUUGUUUAUAUAUGUGGAUUGGGCACCCUCUCCCUUUAAGCAAGCUUUUAGGGAUGAAUUAUAUUCAAACCCAUUUAACAUGGUAUCAGAGCUUGGUUUGACUGGGGGUCGUGGGUUCAAGCCACCUCUUCGCAAUUCGUAUGUUUGUUCCUCAUUUGCAUGUUUGAAAGUCUAGAAAAGGGUAUUUGCAUUUGUUUGUUUGUCCCUUCACGUGUGGAUAUGGGGCCACACAUAAGAUAUGGUGUUAAAAAGCAUGAAAUGUAUAUUGAACCCAAAUCUUAUAAGUUUAAGCUUUUAGGAAAAUUAGUAAUUCAACAUUCUAUACAUAAAAUUAUUUGAUGUCCAAUCAAUUGAUUCACCUACCUAUCAAUUAAUAUACUUUUAAAUAAAAUAUAUUUCAAUCCAUUACACAAAUAUAAUUAAAACAAAGUACUAUAAUAAUAUGAGUAUGUGACAAAUAAAUAAAAUAAAAAUAAUCACAUGUUACAUGUAAACUAUAUUCAAAGGAAAAACCACAAGUCAUCCCCACUAUUAAACAAUCCAUUGUAUAAUGAUCAAUUACAAAGACCAAGUAUUACCAAACUUAAAAGUAUCUAAAUCAUACUCACUUUGCACAUUUUCUUUAUACUUGGAUCCUUUAAACUCAUUUAUCCCAAUGUGGAAGCAUCUUGAGUUCUAAUCAAGGAAAUCAACCUUUACUUCAUCAAGUUAAAGUCUCUUUAUAUCAUUGACAACCAUAUCAAGAUUUCUUUUGUUGGUUGCUUUCAAAGUCCCACUAGAAUUAGAUUGAAAUUUUUAUAAUCUCUAGAACUUUAACAUAUUAAUUCUUCAAUGAGUCAAUCAAAUAUUAAGUUUUAUCUCCAUAGAUGGACCUCAAUGAAUUUUUCGACAAAGGUGUUAACACUAAUUUCAUAUUAGUAAAAAAAAAUCAUGUGACACAUAUUGAUAUAUAUAUAUAUAUACUAAUUUCAUAUUCAUAGAUUGAAUUCAUGAGAAAAUUAUUCUUAAUUUUGUAAAAAUUAUAUAUAUAAGAAAGUUUUUAGGCUUACUAAAACACAUUACUAACCAAGUGGCAAUAUAUUUAUAAUUUAGGUCUCAUUAUUUUGUAAUCAAGUUUCAUUCAUUUGUAUCAUAUAUGAGUCCUAUUAUGUCAUACCUUACUCUUAUUACAUUGUACUUUGAUCUUAUUUGUUUAAACAUCGAUUUCAUUUCUUUAUAUGUACAUCACAUUUAUUUAUAUCUCAAUCUUAAUUAUUUGUAUCUUUAUUUAACAGUUUAGAUUUCAUUACAUAUUUUUAAAAUUUUAAUUUGAAAUUCGAUAUCUUAGUAUUUUUCUAAAAUAGCUACCUAUAAUCCUUGUAGAGUACUCAAAAUUCACUCCAACCCAUAAAAAAAAAUGACCUCUCUUCGUAAGUUGCUAUACUCAUUGCUAAACUAUAAUUCCAAAAUUAGCAGAACUUUUCAUACUUAUUCUAGGCAAUUAGAGUUGAGAUGUUCCGGGCAUAUACCAUAUUCUUUCAAGAUUUGAAAGAAAUGUUACGAUUUCAGCAUUAAAUAAUGCAUGUCGAUUAACAAUAUUGCUCAGAUUCUUUAGGCAAAGGUCCACAGACAAAAAAAUUAUUUAUUUAUUUUCUGAACCACCCCUGAAAUUGACACCUCCCAUACAGUCUGAUCUGCAUUUCUGUGGCACUAUUUCCCUUAUUCCUAACCAUAAAUCUGCUGCCAUCUCAAUAAUUCACAUCCUUAUCCACUCCUUAUCUAGGGUUGUAACACUUUUUUCAAAAAGAUUUUUUUUUUUUUUUUUCGAAGGGGUGGAUAAGGGUCCUGAGACAAGCUGUGGUAUAAUUAUAAACCCACUUGGGUAAUGGUUUCAUUGUCAGGGUAAUUCUAUUUAAGGUGAAAAUCAGCUGGGUCUAUCAUUCUUGUUUCCAUGUGACUGUUUCCAAGGAGAACUCAACCCUCAAAUCCAUCGAGCAGUCAUAUAAAAAUACACGCAGAUUUCAUAUCUUGAAGCUUGUCCUGUGUUCAGAUCGGAUAACUCACUCAUAUGCCUAAUCACUAAUCGCCAACUUGAGUGUAAAAAAAGCGUGGGGCGAUAUUAUUUGUAUAUGGGUUUGACUGUUUGAGAGAGAAAGGUGGGGUGUCCCUUGGAGGAGUCCAAAGGCCAUUUUUGAACCUGCCUUUGAUUAUCGCCAUGGCAAAUCAACAGCUUGUAGUAUAUAUAUAUUAAUGGAGACCAAGACUCAAAUAGAGAGAGAGACGCGGGGAUGCGAUAAAGAGAACAGUAUAGCCAAGAGUAUAUAAGCAUUUCUCUUGCUGUAAUGGUGAUUCAGAGACUGGAAAUGUGUAUAUCACUGCUGAAAAUGGCAGUAGAGUUUGUGCUUGUUUUCGCGGAGGCAGUCGGGCUAGUCAUCAACCACAAUGCCACGCCGCUUUUGGCAAACUCAGCCUCAGUUGGCAAUGAUGUUUCUGUCCCUUUUAUCGGUUUUCUUCUUUGAAUUCUUCGUCUUGUAGUUUCCUUCCUUACCAGAAUGCUCAUUGGCCAUUGUAUAUGUUGAGGGUUCUUUUUUGCCUUGAUAGAUUUUCUAAAGGAUGUGCAUGUUUGAUAGGAGAGAGUAUAUAUACACAUCUAUGUAAACUUUGAUUAAAUUUUGUUCUGGGUGAGCUUCAUUUUCUGCAAAUUCAUUUGCUGAUAGCUUUGGAAACGAAUCUUCAGUUGUUUGGGUGCUGAUUAUUUGCUUGCUUCACACGAUUUUAUGUGCUGUUCCUUUGGUAAUAAUCUUGUUGGGUGGAUCAAGGAGAAGAGCGAAGAUCUGAGGGAAAAUAGAGUCUGGAGAAAGAAAAGAUGUAAUGAUGAUUAAGAAAGGCUUUAAUAUACUUGCAAGAUCAGGAAAAAAUAUUUCUUGGGUAUCAAUUAUUUUCUUGCUUGAUAUGGGUUUGAUACUCUUUUUCAAUUGGUGAUCAUUCUGGGAAGAUCAAGAAGAAGAAAAUGGGGUCUAGAUGAAGAAAAGCUAUAAUGGCGAUUAUUAAGUGGAAUCAGAUGAAAUAAAAGUCUGUUUCCAUCAUUCUUAAUAUGGUUUCUUUUGUCAAAAAUGGAAGAUGACUUGAUUUUCAUAGUCCCAGCAGGACUUUAGUACUCAUCAAACUCAUAAAUUUUGAACAACUUUGAGCUAACCUUCUGCAUUAAUUUGGUGCAUCUGCGCAGUUGCAGAGUAUGAACACCCACAAAAUCUUAAUAUGAAUCUUUUGGGGCAAUAGCUUCUAUAUAUGAUGGAUGAUAAGAACAAAGCAAAUCUUGGGUUCUCCAUGGGCACGAUCAUUUAUCCGCCAUAUAAAAUGCAGAUUUUCCUAACACCAACCCCUUAUUUUAAUAAAGUCAAGUUAUUUUAAGGCCCCCAAUAUUAGACAUGCCUUAGAAUCAUUGGGUCUGUGAUUAAAAAUGUAGUAAUAUCAUUUAAAAUACCUAACACUGAAAUUUUGAUAAUUUUGAAUGCCAUAGUGUGGAUUUGAAGAAAGAAAUCGCAUCCAAGAUCUCUUCCUUUUCCUGGGAAACAUUAGUCUUGGUCAAUUAUGAACUGUUACACGUUGCCUAUCAUGGUCAUAUUUAUAUUAGCUUUGAUUUCUAUGGGGGAUAUAAUUUAUUUGUAUGCUAAUCAUAGAGGUGAUACAUGUGAUCCACAUGUCAUAUUUGGACUUGGAAGCAAUCAUUGGAUUCCUUUGAUGAACUGGCAAUGGAAGAAUACUAAUUGCUCCGGUCCCUUUCUUUUUUCAAAGUAGGAUGAUCAGGUCCUUUGAUCCCUUCGACUCCCUCUGGCUGUUUUUCUUUGUUCUUUUUUCAAUCAUCCAUAGCUUAAAAUUAAAGCCUUGAUGCCCUCCUCGACUUUCCCAAGAUAAAACACCUUAUCUUCACUUUAUUUCUCUUCCCUUUAAAUUUGAUUUUAGAUCUGAAAUCCAGGGCUUAUGACCCUGUAGAAGAAAGACAGAUAUGAAGCUUGGGAUGAUUUGAACUUCAGUUUGAUUUUCUGCACACUCUGUUAAAACUCCUGAAAUAUAGUUGUAUAUUGCAAUACAUUUAAUUGUUUGAUACAUCUGAACUAUGAUGUUCUAUUAGUAAAAAUUUCUUUGAAUCAAUCCACGGCUCAAAGUACCAAUUUCUAUUGAAACUUUUUUUCUUUUCCUGCUCAUUCAAUUGUUUCAUUUUCCACAUAAUGGUAUGACAACAUCAAGAAUACUUCUCAGCAAUUGCCUGCAGGUGAACCCAAAGCUCUUUUGGCUUAGAGAUCAUGACCAUGUGAUCAGAUCCUUUAAUCUCUUUAACAGCAUCAGGUGGGUUUUUUUCAAUCAUCCAGAGUUGAAAAUCCCUUUUCCCCAGCUUGUCUUCCUCUGAAAUAAUAAAGACACGUUUAACCGAGGCAUAUUUCUUCGACAACAUGAGCUCAUUUGACAUGUCUUCUUCAAUGAACAAGCGUACGGGUCUCAUCAACACAGUCCCUAGUGCCAAGUCCUGGAAUAUUUGUGCCCGAAAUGAUAUGACAACAACAAUGAAGGUCUCAUGAUUUUGGUUGUAAGGCCUUAAUAAAUGGAGUUCUCACCUCAGUUGGGCUCAACUGAUACACAUUCAGUGAUAAGAACAAGGGGCCAAAGCUGAAAGUGGUGGGAGGAUUGUUGGGGCCAUUAUCAUAUGUGAACUGGCUGUCUAGUAGAGGACCUUGUCUCCUGAGUGACUUCAAUAAGAAGUAGAAACCAGGCUAAAAGUCAGAAACAGGGGAAGCCUUCCCCUCUUAAUCAGCAAGUAAAUUUCUGUAAAAGAAAAAUAGUAUGUAUGAAGUACCUCUUGAUUGAGAGUGGAAAUGUUGAGAGUGGGACCAGGCAUUGAGGCAGUAACAAAAACAGCUACAGAAACCUUUUCUGGGAACUUCUCCAUGGCCUGAGAAAUGGCCAAUCCACCCAAGCUGUGUCCAACGAGAACCACCCUCUCAUCUGCAGGGAGUGACUCCACGAAGUCCCUCAGUGGCUGGAAAUACCAAGAAAUUGAUCGCAGAUCACCCACUUGUUUUGGGUUAAUUCCAGAAGCAGCCAAGUCCAGAGCAGUAACUUUGUGGCCAGAUGAUUUUAGUAGUGCCACAAUCUUGUACCAAGACCAGGCACCAUGGCAAGACCCAUGAACUAGAACAAAGUGCUUGACGGGAUUAGCCUGUCUCCCCUCUGAUGCCAUUGGAUACACUGAAGAAACAAGAAAAAUCAGAAAGGAAACAAAAAUCAUAUGCUUCUUCCUUGCUUCCAUACUCCUUUCCUGUUACAGAGAUGGUCAGCACCCCAGCAUUUUAAAGGGCACAAUUGGGUAGGUUUUCACUACAACUACUAAUCUAAUUGAUUAAAAAUUUUCCCGUGAAAUUGACUCUAGAAAUAAAAUAAGGACUAAGGAUUCAAGAACACGUACACUUUGACUGCCAGAGUUUAUGUCUUUUCAUAGAUGACACAUGCACCUGCGUCACACUCUUUUUCAAUGAUAAAGAAGUUAUGCAAAGGAAGAAAGAAUGAAAUAUACAGAGUCAAGUAGUUAACUCCUCCCCUUGAAUUCUUCUCUUGCCCGGAUUGGUUUGUAACUGCAAACAUUUUCUUUUCCCAAUGUGAUCUGUGGAUUGAGUUCUGAUCUCAAUUUGUUUUUGGCAUUUUUGGUUUUGCUUCUGCAAAUCUUGAGAUGUAUCUUUCAAUUAAUAUAAGUUGUGCAGUUAAGGUUUUUGGACAUAUAAAAUGUUAGCCAAACCUUUCCCGUGGCAGGUUGAAGGUACUUUGGGGUAGGCUUGGUCAUGCUUGAUACCUCAGUCUGACUCAAACAUGAUGUUUUCACCCAUUUGAAUUGAUCAAAGUUGUGUUGACUGGCAUGAUUCCUUUAAUAAAGAAGUUGUUUUAGGAUUAAGGCGUACAACACAAAUUUGACUUAAGUAGAUCUAUUUAAUUAUUGUGUAUUAACAUAAUUAUAAUCAAUUGAGUCGAAAAUGAAUUAAAUUAAAAAGUUAAUUUUAUUGAUUUAAAUAAGACCUAAUUCAACCUGAUUAUUAAAUUACUCAACUUAUUAUAUGAUUUGAACACUGCCCACCAACAUUAAUUGUAACCCGUGCUUUGAGUUCAGGUGGCAGCAAGAGUUUGGCCUUUGUUUUGAGUGUUGGAUGAAUGUUGGAUUAACCUUUCCCAUGGCUGUCAAAUUCCUCAUAAAUUAUUGGUGAUUGUAAUAAUUUCCUCAAAAAGUAAUGGUGCUAUAUGCUUCUUUAGGAUCCAUUGAUCUUAAUAAUUCUCUUCCUGGUAUAGGAAGAAAGUGACUAUUCCAUUACUGCAGCUUUCAUUGCUGCUUAUUUAUCAAGCAAAUUACAUUAUUAUUUUCACACCAAAUCUCCAAAUUCACCAUGUACUUAUCCUAUAUACUGCAUGGUGAACUUCAGAGAGCUAAAACAAGCUCUUAUUGAAUACAUGAUAGAUGAUGUCCCACUGACCCUUUUACUCUGAUACCUUGAAAUGAGAAAUUUGGAGGUUUUCCACAUCAAGCUUCUUGAAAUUACUGCGCCUUCUCGCAGCAAAGAACUUUCCCCAGUUGUAUGCUCUGUACUUUGGCUUUUCUCCCUUCGUCAGCUCCUCCAAGGGCUUCACCCAAACAUGGUGCCCGGGACUGAAAAAGACCGGAAUUGAGAACCUUUCCCUCUCUGAAUUCACCGUCACCCUGUGCUCGACACUUUCAUAAGUAUCGUUGCUCCAGACCUGGUUUAAUAUCAGUAUAAUUAGCCAAAAGGGUGCAAAAUUUCUUGAUCCCAACAGUACUGAUAAGCAUGUACUUAUAAUUCAAAGUUCUUGGGUGGUACCUGAAUUAUAUCCCCAACAUUGAUGAUAAAAGCAUCUGGGGUGGGCUUAACUCGAACCCAUUCUCCAUUGGUUUUUCGCUUUACUUCCAACCCUCCAACAUCAUCCUGGGCAAGGAUGGUUAAGGCUCUGGAAUCCUUGUGGCGACCAACGCCCAAAGCUAGGUGAGGGAUGGGGCAAGGUGGGUAGUGAUUGAGGCGGAUGAAGUUUGUUGAUUCUUCAAAGAGAAUAUUGAAUCUGUUUUCUGGCAAACCUAAGCUUAGUGAGAUGAGUCCUAACAGCUUGAAAGCUAGUUUUCCCAUUUCUCUAGCAUAUUCUUCACAUACCUCCCUGUAUUAAUCAGUUCAAUUAGAACAAAAAAAAAAAAGUAAUUCACUGUAGUGACUGUGCCUUAACUGGUGAAACUUGUACCUUAAUUCAGGAGGGUACUGAGGCCACUGAUUGGUCAGCUCUUUGAGCUCCUUGUCGUCAGGAUCAGGCGAAGCAGGGAUGAAGGCGGGGGUAGGCACCACGAAAUCAAAGACUUCCUUCCAGUCCCUAACGUUCUUGGUAUGCUCAGUAUCAAAGUACCCCAAAGGAUUCACCUCAUCUCUACUCACCUUCCUCUUCUCCUCCAGUGGGAGAGCGAAGAACUUCCUCGCGGCAUCCUCAAUUUUACGACGAGACUCCGAGGGCACCCCAUGGUUGAUGACUUGAAAGAAGCCCCAGUUCUUGCAUGCAUCAGCUAUUUGAGAAACAUGGUUGGAAGCAUUGGCGGAAGAGAGAUCAAUGAGGGGGAUGCCUUCAGCUUCGAUAACAGCGAGCUCAGGCCUGUGUUGGGUGUCUUGGAUGAAGGCUGGAUCGACCUCUCCCAUGGCUGUGGUAGUGGUUAGAACUUAGAACUCAGAAAUGGUGGUUAUGCACUGCUAGUGUUAGCUGCAGGUGAAGAUGGUGACGGGGAUUUGGCCACUUGGCAGGUGGUUUAGUACAUUGAACCUGGACAUAAAUUGGGUUACGUUUUAAGUUUUGGUUGGGGGUGUGAGCUCACGGGUUGCGCAUAUGUUAAUGAUAAUUGUUCAAGUGAUUUUACCGACAUAAAACAAAAUCUGCCGCCCCAAAGGAAUCUCUCUCAAUGAUUUUACCGACAGCACUCUCCACAUUCAAAUGUUUCAUCCGUAUUUGAAUUGGAGUCUAAUACUCUCAUUGUUUAAUUAACUCCAGCUUGAUUAAUGAAUCCAGUGGUGUCGUGUAUAUUUUCGAAUUCUCUGCUUUAUAUUUAAACCUUCUUGGUUUUUAUGUUCUCAUCCAAUGGUUUAAAACCCAAAAACGAUGCAAAGAGAAAAAGAGAAAAAAAAAAAUAUACAACACAAUUGGAAUUAAAAUAUAUGUAAUAAAAAAAAUAAAAACUAAUUCAUUUUGAGUUUUAUUUUUCAAAAUAAUAACUCUAAUAUAAUAACUAAAUAAAUAAACAUAUAGUAAUUAAAUACAUAAUAACUAAAUAUAUUAAUGUCUUCUCAUAAUUGAGACUUUACAACAUAUACUCAAUUUUUAAACAAUUCUAAAAAAAUAAGUGAAAAUAAUUAAAAAUACUUAAAAUAUGUUACCAACAAAUACCUUAUUGUCCUAACAAAUCUCAAAAACCUUAUUUAGGACCAAUUGAAAAUCAAAAAAAAAUUCAUAUUUCUUUACUCUUGAAAAAAAAAAAUGGUUCUUGAUGACAGUCUCAAACAUAUCCUCCCAUUUGGUUAUUUUAUUGUAUAAGUUUUUCAAUAAAAUAAAAUAAUUAAUGAUAGUGUUUGUAAGGAAAAAUCAAAAUAUCAUACAAAAUUAAUACACAUCUUUUUAUUAUUCAAUAUUUCUAUAUCAUAUUUACAUUUUUUUUUAUAAAAAAAUUAUAUAUAUACAAUGUUUUAAAAACCGGAUCGGAUCGGCCGAUCCAACCGAUGACCGGUCACAUUUUCGGUCCGAUCCACUCUAUUAAACCGUUUAACUAUUGGAUCGGUUACGAACCGCCUAAACCAACGGUCAAACUGGUGAACCGAACAGUCCAUAUUGGCCCAUCAUUUUGCAAGUCCAUUGUAUAAAAAAUUAAAAGUUGUAGGCCAAAAACCAUACUAGGCCAUGUCUUAACAUGACAAAGCCCGCACCCAAACCAUUUAAGUAGGCUCAGUUUUGAGCCCACAAGGUGGGCAUGCUGUUGCUUUCAAUGAGGAUACUUUUUAUAGGCAUCCUUUGCACCCUUAUUUCUCUCACAAUCCGAUGUGGGAUUGCAAACUAAUAUGAUAAUAUCAAUGAAAAAAAUUUAACAAAUGCAACAAGAGGGAGGAUUUGAAGUGGGACCUCAGGUUUUGUAAAUAAACUAGGACACCACUCGGCUACUUAUUUGAUAUGCCAAACAAAACAAUAUAUGUUGGAUUUUAAUUUUUUUUUAAUAUUAAAUAAAAAUAAUAUAAUAUUUUUAAAAAUUAUAAAAUUAGUUAAAUUUUUCAUUUUGAAUAUAUUCACAUUUAAAUAUUGUACACAUUUCAUUUAAUAUGAUUUAAUUUGAUAAUAUCAAAUAUAUAAAAUAAUAUUAUUGAUUUUUAAUUUAUUCAUAUAUAUUUUAAAAUUUUUAUAAUUAUUUUUAAUUUUAAUAAUAUAUAAAUUACAUAUUUAUGACGUCAUCGGUUCGACCGCGGUUCGACCAUCGAUUCGACCGCGGUUUGAUCGGUAAACCGUGAACCGGUAACUUUUUCGAUUCAAUGACCCAUCCGGUUCUGAAAACAUUGUAUAUAUACAUAAUUUUAUCAUUUUUUUAAGUUAUAUUUAAAAUUUUCAUAUAUUUAAUCAAUUUACUAAUAUCAAUAUUUCCUUACAUAUUUUAAUAGUCGUAACCAUACAAAAGAUUGUCAAAUUAAAGGAAACAACACAUGAAAUGAGGAUGUGGAAAAAAAAAACACGAUAACAACGAAAUCAUGAUUUGUUUUUUAUUAUUCAAUAUUAUUAUAUCAUAUUUACAUUUUUUUUAUAAAAAAAUUAUAUAUAUACAUAAUUUUAUCAUUUUUUUUAAGUUAUAUCUAAAGUUUUCAUAUAUUUAAUCAAUUUACCGAUAUCAAUAUUUCCUUACAUAUUUUAAUAGUCGUAACCAUACAAAAGAUUGUCAAAUUAAAGGAAACAACACAUGAAAUGAGGAUGUGGAAAAAAAAAACACAAUAACGACGAAAUCAUGAUUUGUUUAAGGCGAAGGAAAUAAUAGUGAGAUAGACAAAGCUUAUAAUAACAAAGUACUGACAUUAUUAAUAUGUGGAAUUUGGUUUUCAGUUUUUUUUUAGAUUUUUAUAUAUUAUAUCUAUAAAUCUUAAUUCAAAUCUAAGUAAUACUUAAUAGAACUAUGAUGUUUGUUUUUUUUUUUUUUUUGUUUCUUUUAUCUAAAUCUUAAAGCAAUUUGCUUAAAAAUUGAAAUCAUUUUUAAAAUUAUUUGUUUAUUUCAUUUUAAUAGGAAAAAUAAAUAAUUUUACUUUUAACUAUGUAUACCUUAGUGAUGGGAUCAAAUUCCCAACGCAAUCAGUUUGAAUAACAACAUAUGAUUGAAGACGAUCAUCGCUAAAAGCUCUAUAUUCCCCAACCCAAUCAGUUUGAGCUCAAAACCAAGCUGCAAUUCAACCUAGUUUUGCAAUGGAUUGCAUCAGAUUUGUUUCCAAGAAGAUAAAAAUAAAACGAAACUUGGAAUAAGCAUCAAUGAAGUGAAUGUGAAACUGAUAGCCAAUAGAGGAUUGUGUAUUUGACACUCCCCAAAAAUCUGACUGCAUUAAUUUGGAGCAGUUCCGUAUAUUGAGUUGCAGAUAAUGGAAAUGGGAAUUCAUGGAUUUUGCCCAGACAACAUGUUGAAUUGAAACUACUCAAUUCAACAGAAAAGAAGCUACCAUGAUGGAGGUUGAGGAGUACUCCAUUGUUGGCAGUGGAGGCUCUCAUACCGUCUGAAGAAGCUAAACCAAAAGAAAUUCCAGCAGAAAAGAAAUGCUUUUUCCCUCAUCUAAAUAAUUGAUUACAAAAUUCUAUACAUAGCUAAUUGUAGAACAAACUUUAAUUAUCUGGAACUGUGAUAACAAACUACUAAUUGGGUCAACCAACUCUCUUGGCAUGAUUUAUUUAGAGUCCAACACCAUGAUUUUUCAGGGACUAAAAGUGGAAAAUGGUCUUACAACAUCAUUGUUCGGAAACUCUGAAAUGAUGAAUCUGAAUGUUUUCGACAGUUUGCUUCUUGAAAUCACUCCUGUUUCUAGUUGCCAUGAACUUUCCCCAGUUGUACUCUUUAAAUUUAGGGGGGUUUUCCUCAUUGGUCAACUCCUCCAAUGGCUUCACAUUCACAUGAUGCACCGGUAAGAAAAAGAAUGGAAUCGAAAACCUUUCCUUCUCACUAUUCGCCACCACCAUGUGCUCCACGCUCUCAUAUUUAUCAUUGCUCCAAACCUGUAUAGUGUUGGAUAAAUAUUGAGAAAAAGUAACACCAAUUUCUCCAACAUGUUUUUCUUUUUUUUUAAAUAAUAAUAAUAAGAUACAAUAUAUAAGACCUAGCUAUUAUAAUACCUAUAAAAAAAACUCAAACCAAUCACAACAUGUCAUGUAUAUAAUUAAGUUUAUUUACUUCGUAUAUGAUUUCAUUUUUCUAGAUCUAGUCUCGAUACUUUUAUCCCUAUCCAAUGCUCUAGAUUUUAUCCUAUACUUUUGAGGAGGUUUUGAAUUGAUAACCUACAAUUUUCCAAUGUGUACAAAUGAAAUUGAAGUCAUUUGAUGGAUCAUACCUGAAUAAUAUCACCAACAUCAAUGAUAUAAGCAUUUGGAAUAGGCUUUACUCCAAUCCAUUCACCAUCAACUUUUCCCUUCACUUCCAACCCUGUGACACCAUCUUGAAAGAGAACGGUUAAAGCUUUGGCGUCCUUGUACCGACCCACAACGAGAGAGCUUCGGCCACGAGAACGGCGGAGAGUGAUAAUUGAGUCGGAUUAAGCUGGUUUGCCAUUGGAAUAACUCAUUCAACUAGUCCCCGGCCAAGCCUAAGCUUAAGAAGAUGAGUUCUAAGAACUUGUUGGCUAAUUUUUCUAUUUCUCCAACAUAUUCUUUCCAAAUUUUCAUGAAAAUAAGUCAUUAUAUAAAAUAUAUCAAUACUCAAAAUGAAUUUAAUAAAAUCUUGCCAUGCCUUUACGUCUCUAUUUGAGUUUGUUUGCCUUUGAGUUGUGCCUUUACGUCUCUACUUGAGUUUGAUCGACUUUGAGUCGCAUUUUUAUGCCUCUAGUUGAGUCUAUUUAGCUUCAAGUCGUGCCUUAACAGUUCGAGUUUAGUCUAUUCGGCUUCAAACCGCACUUUUACAUCUCUUUCAUCUUUGAGCCACGUAUUUAUGUCUCUAGUUGAUUUUGUUUGACUUUAAGCUGCACCUCAUGCCUUUAGUUGAGUCUGUUCAGCUUCUAGUCGUGCAUCUAUAUUUCAAGUUGAGUUUAUUUGGCUUCAAGUUGUGUCUUUACGUUUCAAGUUGAAUCUAUUUGGCUUCAAGUUGAAUCUAUUUGGUUUCAAGUCGCACCUUUACAUCUCUAGUUGAGUCAGUUCAACUUUGACCCACGUCUUUACAUUUCUUGUUGAGUUUGUUCAACUUCAAGUCAUGCUUUUAUGUCUCUAGUUGAGUUUGUUUAGUUUCAAGCCACAGCUCUACAUCUCUAGCUGAGUCUAUUCUGCUUCAAAACAUGCCUUACAUUUCAAGUUGAGUCUAUUCGGCUUCAAGUUGCGCUUUUGCAUCUCUAAUUGAGUCUAUUCGACAUUGAGCUACGCCUUUACUUUUCAAGUUAAGUCUAUUUAGCUUCGAGCAACGCCUUUAUAUUUGGAGUUGAGUCUGUUAGGUUUCAAGCUACGCUUUUACAUCUCUAGUUGAGUCUAUUCGACUUUGAGUCAUGCCUUUAUGUUUUGAGUUGAGUUUAUUCAACUUUGAGUUACAUUUUUGCGUCUCUAGUUUAGCAUGUUCAACUUGAAGCAAUGUCUUAACGUUUCAAGUUGAGUUUGUUCGGCUUUGAGUUGCGCCUUUACGUCUCUAGUUGAGUUCGGCUUCGAGUUGUGCCUUUUUGUUUCGAGUUGAGUUUGUCUUAACUUUGAGUCACACCUUUACGUCUCUAAUUGAGUUUGAUUGGCUUCAAGCUGCGUCUUUAUGUUUCAAGUUGAGUUUGUUCGGCUUCAAGUCGUAGCUUCAAGUCAUGCCUUUAUGUCUCUAUUUGAGUAUGUCUGGCUUCAAGCCACGUCUUUAUGUUUUGAGUUGAGUUUGUUAGGCUUUGAGUUGCACCUUUACGUUUCGGGUUGAGUUUGUUCAGCUUUGAGUCACAUUUUUAUAUAUCUAGUUGAGUUUAUUCGACUUCGAGCCACACCUUUGAGUUUCAAGUUGAGUCUAUUCGGCUUCAAACCACACUUUUACGUAUCUUGUUAAGUCCUAUUCAGCUUCGUGCUAUGCCUUUACAUUUCUUGUUGAGUUUGUUCAGCUUUGAGUAUCGUCUUUAUCCUUAUUAAGUUCAUUCGGCUUUAGUCGUGCCUUCACCCUUAUCCUUAGUUUUGAGCCUAUUUGACUUCAAGCCAUGCGUUUGUCCUUGUUAAGUUUAUUCGGCUUCAAGUCGCCUCCUAGUUUUAAGUUUGUUUGGCCUCAAGCCGCACAUUCCCCUCUAUUUGAGUUCAUUUAGAAUUUUCCCCUUCCUCGAGUUUAUUAUGACAUUCUCUUCCUUCAAUAUCAUUUUUUGUGAGUUAAUCACUUCUUAUCUUGGUUGUCCUUGAGUUGUAUGUUGUGUCACGAUCUAGUGUUGUUCAUUGCAUAUACACUCCCCACAUUAUUUGUAUCUUUAUCUUAAGUUUCUUCCUUAGUAUGUGAUCCUGAUCUUUGAGCUUAGCAUGCCAUGUGUUAUGAAAAAAUUAUGAGUUCUCUUUUGUUCUUCAAUGCAAUUCACUUCAUACCAUUCAUCACUCAUGUUUCACUCUUCGUGUUCAGUUCACUCAUGAACUAUAUCAAAUAAGGGCAUAUUUAUAGACCCUCCAUUUUGUCUCAUAGCACGUAUGUUUGCAUUUUUUAUUUUCCUCUCGCCCCAUGCCCAUUUUAAUUUGGUGUCCGUUUGGAUACUUCUUGCUUAAUCAUUCAUCAUCCCUUAUUAGUUCACAUUUACUUGGCUCAUUAAUCAUUUUUUAGCCACAUUUUGGAGGCCAUUUAGGGCGAUUUUGGGUCUAAGCUUUUUUUUUUUAGAGGCUCUCAGUAGAUGGCUCAUAAUGAGGACACGUGUUUUUAAAGGGGUCUUCUAGAGGCUUCUAGGGUCAGUUGGGAGAGCACGUUCUUAUUUAUAUAUCUAUUGUUUUGGAGGUGAGUUGUACACCAAGAGAAUGAGGGAGUAGAUGGAGGUUUUUUAAACAUUGUAAGAGGAGAUUCGUUUUGAUUGGCAUUUAUACCAAUAAAAUCUUGGGAUUACUGAGAACUCAACGGGACCUUCCCUCUCAAAUCAUACAAACUUGGCCAAAGAGGGGUGGGUACCAUUGAGUUCUUAGGCUUUCAUGUCGAUAACUCAAUUCAUCUUAUUACUAAAGGGAUGAACCCAAUCCGGAAUAUGAACCAAAAAAGAAAAUGUCUAUUAAAUUGAUGACAGGAAUACCAGUUACAGUAGCUAUUAGCCAAAAGGAAUCCUUCCAAGUUGGAGGUGGUUAGAGAGAGAGAAGGCUGGGCGAGAGAGAGAGACACGUAAAGAGAAUAUUCUCUCUGGUGAGGGUUUGUUAGACGGGAAGCAAGAAGCUUGAGGGUAGAGAGGACAAUCAGAGGAGGAGUUUGGAGGAAGAGGGGAAGGGAGCUCGAAGGCAAGCAGAUCAGUGCUUGAGGGGACGUUUUUCCAAGUAUGAUUAUUGGGUCUCUCAUUUUCCGCUGUUCUCCUUUCCUUCCCGGUUGAUCUCUGGAUUUUAGUUGAUGCUUUGAUAUGGAUUCCAGAUGCCACACUUCAUCUUGUUGAGCAUUGGUUAGCUAUGGACUUGUUACUGCUACUCUUCUGUUUCUUUUGAGUUAACUUUGGAAAUGAAUCUGAAUAUAGACUGGUAUUUGCUGCUUGAUGUUUCGGGAAUCAUAUUUUAGUUGUUUAAAAUUCAUUCUGGCAUGUUCGGUUCCUUCAAGCUCAUUGAUGAAAUAAUGAAAUGGAGCUCUAUAUAUUUGUUAAUGGGUUGGUUCUCUGUUUGGUUAUCUUUUAAGUUCUUCCUCUUCUCUUUUCUCGUUGCCUUCUCUUCUCUAGGGGGGUGUCGUUUGAGCAUAUGCAUACUAGGAGAAAUGGGGAGCUGGAGGCUUAUCCUGGCAUCAACCUCGCGUUGGGGACGGCUUGAUCGAAGAACAUAUGAAUUUUUCAGAUACCUAGAACUUACAUCAAAAGAAGCCUCGGAGUCUAGGUCAAACACAAACACAUCCUUUGCCUUGGUGAUUUUAUUGACUUCUGCAUGAUGGGCACCCGAGGGUGGGGACUGGAAGAGAAAUGAUGAAUCUGCCUAAUAUAGUUUGUCUAGAAAGGAGCUUGUAUUAAAUGAUGGUUACCCACUGUGUCAGAUGCUGAAAUCUGGGUAUGAGGACUCCCGGUGGCAUCGGAAAGAUGAGUCGCACCAUUCUUCCCACAGUAGAAAGCUUGACCUCCGAAUUUGGGCUUUUUCAUGGCCAGACGAGAGGAGUGAUCGCAAUAGUGCGAGCAGAGCCAGUCAAAUUAAGCCUGUUAUCAGAGGAGUGAACCUACUGCCUUGUUCUAUCUCCGAUGGUCUGCUCAGCUCCUUCAACCUCCACCGCUCUCCUCUUUCCAAGUUCUCCAUUUUCAGUCUAGAGCCAACAAGAGUCGCAGAAAUCCUCAAAGAUUGACCUACAUGGUAUCGUGAGUACCUCGAUGUGGAUGUUCUUAAUGAGUUGUCAACUGGAGCCAAAUGGGUGUUUGAUAAGACCCAGUGAAGAUGUAAAAAUUAUAUAAUGAAGCUUGCAGAAAGACUCAAGGGUUGAUGGAAGGCAUCUCAACGAAGUUUGGCUUUUGUAUUGUGAAUCUGGCAAAUUACCUAUACUGCAUGGAUCAUCACUCUUUUCACGUGGAGGUACACAUGUCCUUUGUACUGUACACUUGGGGCAUCACAACCUGGUGAUGAUCAACGACUGGAUCCUCUGGUUGGUCCUCCAACAAAGCGCUUCAUGCUUCACUGAAAUUUCCCGGAGUUCUCGAUUAACGAAGUUGGCCAGCUUCUUAACCUGCACUGUUCCACAGAAGUCGCAUAAAGAUUUGACAUUGAAAUUGAUGUGGUUUUUCCUUUGCCAAUGGUGGUGGGCGCGCUUUGUAUGUAGAUUCCGAAGGAACUUCCAACUUGAUGGCUGUGAGUGGUAAUUAGGUUGGAGAAGAAACUACUGGGUCUGCCCCAUUAGUUUUCCAUUGUUAAGGUAGUUUGGUGCACAGCUUUCUGGAUCAUCUACACCACCAGCACCUCCAGCCGCCUGUUUUGAUCAGUUUCUGGAUUUCCAUCUCCAAAUUGUGCAAGCAGCGACUGAUUUGGUGUCCAUACAAGCGGCUACUGAAAUGGUUCAAACCUCAAAUGCUGAAGGGAAAGGAGCUUUUGGAAAAUAUCAUGAAGAAGACUCACCCAUCUUACAUGAAAUUAUACACAACUCCAUGGACCAGAACCGGAACUCAGACUUAAAUUUGUCCAAGAGAAGAUCAGUGUUAUACAAGUCAAUUGCAGUCAUUCCUGAAAGAAGUGAUCAGAAGAGUAAACCUGGAAAAGCAGCGAGUGAAACAAGGUCUGUGACAUUGAACAAUUUGCAGAUGGGUGUUCCCACAAGCUCCUUUCCCCUCUUCCCACGUGCAUGAAAUUCCUACAUGCAUGGCCACCUUCUUAGGUGUGCAAUUCGGUGCAUAUGCUCAAGCGUACUACCCCCCUCUUCUUUUAAAAAAAAAAUGAUUUUAAAUUUAAAUUUUUGACAAAUUCAUUUCCCUUUUAAAAUCCCUCCUCAGUAAUUCUCUUCAAAUUAAUAAAAUCUAUUUUCAAUAAAUUUCUGCUGUCAUCUUCCUUUUGGCGUGGACCAUUUUUCUAUUUUCUUUGAUUUUUAAUAAUUUUCUGAUUUUUUUUAAUAAAUAUGAAUAAAUUCUAUGUUUUUUAAAAUAAUGGAAUUUUCUCCAAAUUUCUAUUAUCUUUUUCUCCGAGAUCAUUAGGAAGAUGAAAUUCCUAAAAUUAAUUCAUGCAAAUAAAUUGGACGUUGGUGGGUCCAACAUAUGAAUUUUUCUCUUUUGAUUAUUAAUUUUAAUUGCUACGCUUGAUUGAUUAAUGAUUGAUCUCUACCUUGCUCUAACAUACAUAAGAUUUAUUGUGUUUGUGAUUGUACACUAACCAUGUUUCCCACGAAACGCUCAACUUAUUGCUAUUGUACGUUCCUUCCUUCUCCUAUUUGUUUAAGUAUAGCUCAACCAUAAUACAUCACUGAUAAUUACUUGGUAUCUAUUGAUUUUUUGAUCAAUUGUCAUAUACCUUAACGUAAUUAUCAGAGACCUGAUUUUAGGGUAUAGAGGGGUUUUACAACUUAUUAUCGUACCUUUUCAAUAAGUAACCUGACCCUCGAACCCAAACUCGGUUUUUUAUAAACCUGUACUUUCCUUUCAAGUUUCAUAUUUAGAGUUUUAUUUUUUAUUUUGUUUUCUAUUUAAAAAUAAAAUAAAAAUAAGUGUCAAAUUUAAAACCAUAUUUUCUAAAAAUCAAUUGUUCAUCAAUUUAAACUGAGUCUUGUCUUCUUUUUUUUUUUUCAAGUGAGGACAUGAUCUCAGGUCCACAAUACUAUUUUAAUAUAUAUCAUGAAAUAUAGAUAUUAACGUCAUCUUAAAGAUAUAAUUAAAUUUUUUGUUUAAAAUAAAUUAUAAUAAUUUAAAAAUAAUAUUUUAUUUAAAAUAAAUUUUAGAAUAAGCAAAGUUAAUAAGUGGACAUAGAGAAUUAUGAACCAUUGUAAAUGUAUUGAUUAUAUCUCUUUCUUCCCAUUUCAUUUUUACUCUAGUUUUUAUUAUUCGCAUCUUUUUCUACUAAAAUUUGAAAAAGAAAUUCACAUUCAAUUCAUUCGCUUCUUCUUGGGUGUAUGUCAUAGGAUUCAAAUUGUUUUUAAAAAAUAUUAAAUUUGUUAAUUGUGGCUAUAUGCUUAUUUAGGAUCCAUUCAUCUUAAUAACUCUCUUCCCGAUAUAGGAAGAAAAUGGCUAUUCCAUUAAUCCAGCAUGCAUUGCUGAUUAUUUAUCAAGCAAAUUACAUUAUUAUUUUCACACCAAACCUCCAAAUUCUCCAUGCAUAUACGCAUCCUAUACUGCAUGGCCAACUUCAGAGAGCUAAAACAAGCUCUUAUUGAAUUCAUGAUAGAUGAUGUCCCACUGACCCUUUUACUCUGAUACCUUGAAAUGAGAAAUUUGGAGGUUUUCCACAUCAAGCUUUUUGAAACUACUGCGCCUUCUCGUAACAAAGAACUUUCCCUAGUUGUAUGCUCUAUACUUUGGCUUUUCCCCCUUCGUCAGCUCCUCCAAGGGCUUCACCCAAACAUGGUGCCCGGGACUGAAAAAGAACGGAAUUGAGAACCUUUCCCCCUCUGAAUUCACCAUCACCCUGUGCUCCACACUUUCAAAAGUAUCGUUGCUCCAGACCUGGUUUAAUAUCAGUAUAAUUAGCCAAAUGGGUGUAAAAUUCCUUGAGCCAAACAGUACUGAUAAGCAUGUACUUAUAAUUUAAAGUUCUUGUGUGGGACCUGAACUAUAUCCCCAACGUUGAUGAUAUAAGUAUCUGGGGUGGGCUUCACUCGAACCCAUUCUCCAUUGGUUUUUAGCUUUACUUGCAGCCCUCCAACAUCAUCCUGGGCAAGGAUGGUUAAGGCUACGCCAUCCUUGUGGCGUCCAGCGCCCAGAGCUAGGUGAGGGAUGGGGCAAGGUGGGUAGUGAUUGAAGCGGAUGAAGUUUGUUGAUUCUUCAAAGAGAAGAUUGAAUCUGUUCUCUGGAAAACCUAAGCUCAGAGAGAUGAGUCCCAACAGCUUGAAAGCUAGUUUUUCCAUUUCUCUAGCAUAUUCUUCACAAACCUCC